rnacentral:lncRNA from 1 species
UAAUAUUCUAGAUCUGUUUUUCUUAUGUUAUUACCUAGAUCUAUUGUUCAAAAGUCUUGGAUACAAUGCAUGUUCAAUUAGAGAAACCUAGAUCCAAUCAUUAGGGUUUGCAUGUGCACAUACGACUGUUCAUAUGGCUAAAACCCAUCAUGAACAUCUUGGACCGUAAACCCUUCUUUAAGGGACAAAAGAGUGCCCUAGUCCCUUCCUUUUGCAAUAAAACUAGCCUAGACUUGUACCCUAAUGUAUGUAGGACUAGAAAACACCCCAAGAACACCAAGAGUAAGGAGUUCAUGGCCCAAGAAGUUCUUGGACCAUGAACCCCAAUCAAGGGUGCCAAAGUGUGCUUUAACUCUUCAUAAGCCUUGGACACUAGCCUAUAUUCAUUCCUAGUUAAGUUAGGGACUUGAAAACACCAUUUCCAUGAUAGAUUACGGCCGUAAUCUCUAAUGGAAUUGGUUCUAGGGCUGUGAACUCCUCAAAGGAGUUGAAAGGUGCCAUAAUCUCUUCCAAAGACUUUGUCAUUAAGUAGAAAUGCUUCUUAGGGUCUUGUAAAGCCUCAAAACAUCAAAUGGUCAAGUAAGUAUGAGCUUACGGCCGUAAACCCAUGAGUUUACGACUGUAAACUCAUCUGUUGAUGACCUUAGGGCCGGGAACUCCAUUAGGGAGUUUUCCUUGAACCCUACACACACUAGCUUUUCGCUACAACACUUAGAUGUAAUCCUUGAGGCUUAUAACACUUGUUAAAGGUGUUUAGCAUGUCCUAGGGUGUCUUGAAUUUGUUUAUUAGUUGUUUAAAAAGACUUCACUUGACACCUAGCAUCCUAUUUCAGUCCGUUCAUCCCAACCACUUGCUACAGGUGAUUUCAUACCCCUUAAUCAAUGUUUUAAAUGUUUUUUAAUGUUUUUAUGGGGAGAUACAAGUAGAAUCAUGCUAGUUAUUAUAUCAAUCACAUGUGAUUAAUAAGCAGCAUUCAAAUGAUUUACUACUCAUUAGCUGUUUUACCAAACAGAUUUCUUCAAAUGAUUUUCAUAAANGGAACGUGUUUUAUAUGUUUAAAACUCCUUAUUAAACUGUUCAUUAUACACUGUAUGUCUCAUUUCAAACUCAUUUACAAUUGUGUUUCAAACAAAUGUUUCUUUAUACUUAAACUGUUUUAUAAAUCAAAUACUUUCAACCCGUUGUAUAGGCUGACAUCAAGUCGACCUUUUCUUAGAUAGUAAUCAUGUUCAAAGGUGUUACAAAACUUAUUUUAUGCUUUUAUAUUGUCCAUUGCAUUCCUAUGUAGGUAUAGUUAUAUAAGAAAUGUUUAAAGGACUUAGGAAGGCUAGCCGCUUUAUUUCCUUUUCCCCGUUGGGAUGUGGUCUGGUAAGGUACUGGGUAUCCGUCCGAAGGUCGUUUAAAUAUUAGUUAUGUAUCAUGUGUACAUAUAUAGUCAUAAAGGUUCUUCCAGUCAGUUCAAUACCCUUGGGUAGCAAGGGUAUACUUCCAUGUUCAUACGUACCAGUUAUAUUACUAGUAAGCUACCAUAUGGGUAGUUUAGGAAGAUACUAAUACGUUUACUAGAAUGCAGAAUCAUACCACGAGUCAGCUCAUUCAUGAGUUUAUACAUGCUAGAUAGAGAGAGAACACACAUUACAGCCAGUACACACAGUACAUUACUAUACAUGCUAGAUAGAGAGAGAACACACGUUACAGCUAGCAUACACAGAACAUUACAGUACACUAGUAUACUAUUACAUGAUUACAUUUAUAUGAUUACAUUUAGAUGAUUACGCUUACAUGAGUACGUUUACAUAGAUACAUUUACAUGAGUGCGUUUACAUAUACGAUAAUAGGACAUACAUCACUAGGUGCUAUAGCAUGGAACGAUUUCAGGAUCUAACUAUACCAAUGAAUCACAACGCAUUGUGAUAGUUAUAUUGGGUAUACAUGAACAUAGUAAUGUGGAUGUUCACGGAUUGCAAAUAUGCAGGGGUCGUGUAUGGGUCCCAAAAUCUCCUUGACAGGGGAGCGUCUAGCCUGGGAUCUACCCAUCACAUUAUUCCUUAUCCCUCAAAUAAGGCAAUAUUAGUACAAAAGUAGUCACUUAUUACAAAUACUACAGUACUUACGAGAUUACAAUAGGUUAAAGGUAGUUAGUACGGUGGUAGUUAUUUGAUACUACACCAUAGUACUAUUUCAUUUUUCCAUUACAUUCACUUCGUGAACAUUCACAUGAUGCACGGUAAUGUAGAAGCUAUAUUAUGGAUAAUGAUAAUCGGAUUUGGGAAAAUACACAAUCUUACAAGAGACACACACACAGAUACUAGAUGCCUUGGCAGAAGGAUACUUUUAGUAUGAAACAUAUGGUUUUCUAGGAUGUUCAAAACGUUUUCAUACUUAUAGUUCAUAUACAUACAAAUACUUACAUUUCACAUACAUACAAAUACUUACAUUUCAUAUACGUACAAAUACUUACAUACAAAUUAAGACACUAAAAUACUUAUGAUCUCACCAGCUUCAAAGCUGCUACUCGCUUUCAAAAUAACUUGUAUCCUCAAGUCAACAGUAGAUAGGUACCGAUGCAAGGUUUAGAGAACAUGGUUCUCGUUCAAGACUCAUUUUUAAUUUUUGAUUUAUACUUUAGUGUCCAUUAUAAUUUGAUAGAACACACUUUUAUUAAAAAUUAUAUUAUUAAUGCAAUGGAUGAUGUUGUCUCUUAUUUACUACUUUUCAUUGUUGUGAUACUGUACAUGACGUCCUCCGCCCCAGAACGUUUCCGCCGUUCAUGGUUUUGGGGUGUGACAUUUCUGUCCUUUCCUAAGUUGAUAUCCUUCGUAUUUUAGGUCCUCGACUUCCCUUUUUAGCAAAUCAUUAUGUUCAUGAAGAAGUUUAAUCGUAGCUUCACAUGCAUGUGUCACCCCCCAAAACCGGAACGGCGGAAACGUUCUGGGGUGGAUGACGUCAUGUCAAGUAUCAAAACAUAUGCAGUAUAGUAAUCAAAGUACAACAUCCAUUGCAUUAAUAGUAAUAAUUUUACAUAGGUUACAUUUCAUAGUAAUAUCAAAGUAAUUACAAAACAUAACAUAGAUGUAGCUCGGUACUAGGUUGUCUUCACAAAAGCUCUCGGGAUGUACCUUUCUAUCGAUGACCUGAGAAUACAAGUUAUUUUGAAAGCGAGUAUUAACAUUUUUAUAAUGCUGGUGAGUCCAUAAGUAUUUAGUGUCAUUUGUAUAAAUACGCAUUUUUAUUCAAAAUAACUUUCUGAAAGAGAGUAAUCUAGAAUCUACGGUGUAAUAGCAUUCUUCCCAGAAAAUCCUAUAUUUUCUAAAUAAAAGAAGUCUUCUACCAAGACCCGACAGAUUUAUAUUUUAAGGAGUAAUUUUCUCCAAAAUACUAUCAUUACCAAAAUACAUAAUUGACUUUAAAAGAAUAAUGAGAAAAUCCCAAGUGAAAAUACUAGGGGAAAAUAAUAUAUACCUCAGCAGUAACACGGCUGACUAAAACAAAAGAAAACAUAGACUCCAGGAGAGUAUCGUAUGAAUGAUAAGCCUGGCUCAGUCUAACACAAGGAAGCACAGACUCCAGAUAGUAUCGAAUGAACGAUACAGCUAGCAAAGUCUAAAACAAGGGGUGAAUGUGAACUCGUAUGUAAUCAUGCUAAUCGACAAUAGAGUACCUGAUGACCCUCCAGGUCACGCGUAGAGGUAGUUGCAUUAUGUCACCCAUGGGCCUUACCUGCGCAGACUGUAGCUAGUAGUCUGGGUGUGGGAGUGCCAGUCCCGUAUAGAUCUAUACACAUGAUGUUCGCUCUCCUUCCUAGAGACUCUGGUUACACGGCGAUGGCGCUAUGAGGCAUUGUAGAGUGAAAUAGUGUGUCACAUUCUAAAGUAAAAGAGAGAGAGAGAGAGAGAGAUAGAUAGAGAGAGAGAGGGAGAGAUAGAGAGAGAGAGAGAUAGAGUCUCCUAACUAUUCCUAUAAUAGUUACUAGGGUUCCAGAAACAUGAAUAAUAGAAAGAUGCAUGUACUAAUCAAGGCGAUGAAUUGACUGAGAGAGAGAGAGAGAGAGAGAGAGAGCUUUUAUGUCCAUACAUGUAUACAUGACAUAUAACUAAUGUUUAAACGACCUUCAGACGGAUAACCGAUACCCCGAAGCCACAUCCAAACAAGGAAAAGGAAUCAGAGCGAGUUAGCCUUCCUAAGUCCUUUAAACAUGACUUAUAUAAUUAUACAUACACGGGCAUGCAUUUAACGAAAUAAAAGCAUAAUAGAAACUUGGGUAAGACUUUUUGAAAAACUUUAUAAGCAAUAAUUUAUGACUCGAUAUCAGUUUAUAAAACAAGCUUUUGAAAACGAUUUGAUAAAACAGUUUAAGUGAAGAAAACAUUUGGAAAACCCUUAACAAGAAAUUACAACUUGAUGUCUCUUUAGUAAACAAGCUUUGAAAAACUUUGGAUAAUCUUUAAUAAUCUAAAAAGGGAUAUUCAUACUUUAACAAGAUUCGAAAACAUGAUUUGGAAAUCUUAAGCUGGAUAAAACAGUUUAACAUGCAAAAAUCUAUUUUGCUAUACAGCUAUUAAUCACAUGUGAUUUAUCUAAUAACUGUACAGUUCAACAUGUAUUCCCCCCCCCUAUAAAAGCAGUUAAAAUUAUUUAAAAGGUUAUUUUAGGGGUAUGAACUCACCUGAAGCGAGUGGAUCGGAUGGAAGUGUCGAUUGAGUGCUUGGUGUCAAGUGAAGACUUGAACACACUUAAUGACCUAGUAACAUAUGAAGACAUAUGUUUACAUAUAAUUAGUGAUUAUAACACUAAUUAAACACGUAUAAACAUCCUAAUGUGCGGAAAAACACUUUGGUCAAGUGCUAGGAGGCUAUUGGGUUGCAAUAAGGGAGUGUAUGGCCUAGUUAGGGAGUUUACUCUUCAAGAGUAAACUCUUAGAGGAGAUUUCGGCCCAAUGACCAUAUCCCCAUGAGUUUACGGUCGUAAACUCAUGGGUGGUGUGUUCUUGGAUGUUUAAAGUUCUUACAACACUUGUGGAAUUAGGCUAGGUUCAAUUCUAGGGCAUAAGAAGUGGUUAAGUCCUCAAAUGGACCAUUUAUGGGAGUUUACGGCUGUAAACAUAGAGUUUACGGCCGUAACUCUUACUUGUCCCCUUACUUCAUGAUUUAAGGUCUUAAAUGAAAGAAUACGAGGUUUUAUGCAUUAUUCCAAGCCAUAUAGGGGAGUUAGGGCAUCAUUUGACCUCCUUAAGGGAGUUUACGGCCAAGGGACCAAUCCUUGGGGGGGUUUACGACCGUAAUCUCCUAAGGUCAUGGUUUCCUUGAUGAUUAAGGUCCCUACUUCGAUGGUGGUUGAUUCUAGACAUUACCUCAAGCCAUAGGAGGUGUUUAAGAGGCAAUUUAACACCUUAAAUGGUGUUUACGGCCUAUGAAGGAGGUUUUACGGUCCAAGAAUGUUCUUGGGCCGUAAACUCAUUUUUACUCCCCAAAUGACCAGAUUCUGGUGUCCGAAGUUAAUUCAUGCAAGUCCCUAAGUCAAAGCUAAGCACUAGAAGUGAUUUGGAAGGGUUUUGGGGCUUCAAAACCCCAUUUAUGGGUGUUUAUGGUUUGGGGCUGUUCCAGGGCCGUAAACACAAGAUUUUGAGGGUUUUGGAUGAUUUAAACACGGAUUUGCAUGCUAAACAAGCUAAACAACAAGCUAGGAUAGAUUACUUACAAGUUUGGAGCUUGAAAGAGGUGUUUUUGGAUCAAAAUUGGCUUGUAGAGAGAGAGUAGAGAGAGUGUGUUAUGAGUGGGAAAAAGCUUCAAAUGAAGUCCACUCACCCUUAUAUAGGGUUUGAUUUUGUGGCCCGGUGGAAAUCUACCCGAUACCGACGUUAAACGGGGCUUAUGGUCGUACCCGAUGAAGUGGUCGUAACUCGAUGUGGUCGAAAUCUAAAAACUUUUCAAAGGGAUACCGAGGAUGUUUCACGUGUUUCUAAUUCUUUUGGACACUCAUGAAGUUAUAAUAAAAGUUCCAGUUUAAUUAACGUAAUCCAAAAGGUUAACGGAACAAUUUAAUAAAGCGAGUUUUAUUAGCGGAAAAGGGUUUACUGUGAUGGGAUAAAUUUCAGGUUGUCACAUCAUCCCCCCAUUAGAGGGAAUUUCGUCUCGAAAUUAGAGUUUUGGCAAGGAAUUCGGCAUGAACAAUCGGGUAAAGAGAUGAGGGUACUUCUUAUUCAGUUUGUCUUUGCGCUCCCAAGUGAACUUCGGCCUUUGCUUGGCGUUCCUUUACGAACUUAGGGUUCCCAAUGAUUUCCAUCAAAAUGAGUGGGAUUUAGAGAGUUACGUCGGGCAAGCACUUUUUCAAGUCUAGGGAGUGGAUUGAUUUGGGGUGAAACUUAUGGAAUUCCGAAAGUAGUUGUGGUCUGACGAGGGUUGGACCAAUUUUUGUAAAGAACCUCGGAUGGUCCUAAGCUCUCGAAAAGAUGGGGAUUUUCAUUACUUAGAACAUAAUGCACUUCUACGGUGAGAUCAUCACUGGUGUGAUCGCCAUUUUAAAGUUCCAGACGUCUUCUCAUACUGGGGGUGUAGUUUUUCGGGUUGGUUCUUAGAAGGCUCGGGUUAUCCUUGGAUUCGUGUUUCCUGCUGACUGGCCUUCAUAGGUUUUCUGGAUCAUCGAAUGAAUUGGAUGUCUACUGGUAUCUAUUUGCUGCAGGGCGUCUAUCUCAACCUAGUGCAAAUGAACCUGCACUUCUGAUUCUUGAGAUGUUUCUAACGGAAACUCUCAGGAUCGGUGAGAUAGGGUUUUACCAGACGAUUGUUUAGAAAGUUUUUAAACUUCUCAUCAUCGUCUAGUUUAUGCUUUCACGACAUGAUUCCUAACAGGAGAGAAUCAUGCUCUUACUUGCUUUGCUGUUUCAUGAAUAGCAAUCUCUGCUCAGGGCUAACUCAGUCCUUAGAGAUUUUCUGAAGUGUUGGACUAUCUCGGGAGGUGGUUCUACUAUUUUUGUGUGAGAUAGUAUUCUUGGAACACCUAGUAGUCCAAUGAAUCUCUAAGACAUGCCCUAUUCUCUAAGGUGUCGGUUUAUUCCAGUUGCAGAAAGUGCGUGCUCUUGUAUAACCCAUCGACUAACAUCUAGACUGGUGUCGAGUCUAUAAUCUCUUUGGGAUCUGGGUUAUAAGGCUUAAUGCAUCCUACUUUCGUACUUUAUUCAAGUAUUCAUGGUUACGGAGGUUAUCCUGUGGUUCUUGGCAUUCUAGUAUUUACUUCGGAGAAUGCAGUCUAUCGUCUACAGGGCGACGGUGACUUCUUCCACGUGCGGAGGCGGAGUGUCCUAGGCACUACUCGUCAGUAAUGGGGUGGACGAAGUGCCUGAGUAGUGUGAGUAUCUUUUGCAACUACUCUUCUGAUGUUUCGGAGCUUUCUCGAUCUAGAUCAAAUCUAGAGAGUACAGGGUUCCGUUACCCAGAACUCCUAAUUUCCUCAUCCACUCUUCUCAGAGUUUAACUUAUCGCAGCUUCCAGAUUUCCGGGAUAUCUGUUGAGAUGCUUAAUUCGUGGGAUUAAGCGCGAAUGGAUGGUCGUAGUCAAUGUUUUGACUCUUACGACUCGGGUUUCUUUACUAACUGAGGGUGUUAGCUACUAUGUUGACUUAACUGGGAUGGCAACAAUUUUUGGAUUUGUGGUCAUUCUAAUAGUUCAACCCACAUCGGUUCUCUUGACUCUAACUCCAAUUCUAUGGGAUAGGAUGAAGGAUUUUAUUACAAGGUUCGUGAUAGAGCUCAUACUCGACUUACUCACUAAUACUUGGUGUAUGCAAGCCAUAUAUAAUUGAGAUCGACGGGAUGUUCUGUUGUGCGACUCCACCCCAGACCCACAACCCAACGAGGAACAGGGAGUAGGGAGGAAGCACACAUCUUUAAUCUUUUUGAUCUAAAUUAUAUACCACUCUUAUGCAUAUACUCAGUUAAUAGUAGUCAAUCCCAUGAGUUCUUUCCUCUUGAUUCAUGAACCUGAUUGUGAGGUGCUAAGGGUCUUUCUGGGGGAUCUACGGAGUAGGUUUCGGGUGGUUAUCGUCUUCUGGAAUGCCUGCAGUGUCUUUUGCUUUGGUUUCUAUCUAUCUAAGAAGGGGUUGGUUAACAGCGCGAGGUGCCCUUCUCCUGGGUACUUUGGAAGGUUUUAGAUAAGAGAGACGACUGACGGAUCGCAUUAGGUUUUAUUAUUAGGUUCGGAAGGACCUUUAUUUGCCGAAAUGGCUAUGGUGAAAGUUCUUUUUACACAGCACUAGGAAUUUACACAUGGUUGUACUAAGUCGAACCAUGAUUGAUAGAGGCGUUGAAGUUGGCAUACAUAGACAUGAUAUAGAAUGAGGUUCGAUAGGGCCAUGUGCUGAACGGGUACACAAGUUCUUGGCAUCUCGGGUUUCGUCCCGUGUAUCACUGUCGCGGAUACUUGGACUGAUAGAGUCGACGCGGAACUUCAAAGGGUCCUGAGGUUUCGGAAUAGUGUACUUUUCAUGAAUGGAUUCUCACGAGGCCUUUCUAUAAUCGCCUAGCAUACACUAGUCAUGUAUAAUUAAGGUGGGAAGGACUGUUGACUGAGCGACUCCGCCCUAAAUCCACAACCAAACGAGGAACAGGAAAUGAGGCAGCAUCACUCACUCAAGGUCUAUCCAUCUUAAUUAUACAUGGCUUUAACGUAUAUACCGAGCCAUUAUAGAUUUACCUGAUGAAAUUUUAAAUUUUUUAACAGUGCUGUGACUUUCGCCUUAACUGGAGAGUAAUUACAUUUAGAAUUAUCCUUUUAAUGUUUUCGGUUAGUUAUCUGGGAUUAAGAGACGUACCAAAAUUUCUACCGGCUUCCUUGAUGCUUCUCCCUAGGCAUUCGGUUUAUACCCCUCCUAUGCCCUUGUCGAUUCGCUCAGUUGGGCAGUCCUUCUUGAAGUGUCCAAUCUCACCACAUAGAUGGCAUACUGGACUGGUCCCAACAUUGGUGGUCGAUGUAAUGAACUCAACCGGGGUUCUGCAGAUGCGAACGGUAUGCCCCUUCAUGUUGCACCUAACACAAAUGAGUUCUCGACAGGUACCAUGAUGAUGGUAGCUACAUUUGCUGCAACGGGGGAGGCUUCCUAGGUAUGGUCUUCUAGGUGUCAGGAUGGAAGGGUUGGCAGGGAUAUUGACUGCCUCAUCGUUGCCCUUCGGAAGGUCCUUGAGCCGAGGUACUUCCCUCCUCAUUCUUGAAAUUUCUCUUUAGUGGCUUUGGUUGGGGUUCUUGGGUAGCUGGGUACGCAUGAUUUGGUUGCUUCCGUCCAUUGCUAGGAUUGGGAAUCUCGAUAGGGCUCUUGCUAACACUGGCGUUGUUAGCAUUCAGUUGAGCCAUGAAAGCUGUUACGGCUGCUGAGACUGCAGCUUGGAACGUAGCUUCAUCGAAUAGGAGAGUCGGUUUCUUGCCAGCGGAUUGGUUACGUUUCUUCGGAGGCAUGGUUUUCCUACACGGAAAGGAACACAAGCUGAUGAGAGACGAUGUUUAACUCUAGACGUAUCUAUCCUUACUAUAAUAGGCAUAAAUUUUCCCACGCCUCGGGUAUUGGUUAUUUGAGUGUCGACCUACAUCCCUAUGUUGUGGUCCCGGUUUCAAGGUAGGAGUAAGAGUAUCGGAAAGCCAUAAGAUGGGAGUCGUUCCUACUAAGUUAUCUUUAUACUGGAGAGAUUUACUCUCCGACUUUGGAAAGAUCUGAGGACAGUUCGGAACGAAGACUGCGGAAAGAAAGGCUCAUGAAGACUUAUGGUUAAACAUUCUCAAUCGAGGUUUUGAGAUCCGAUCUAAUCGUAUUACUUGCGACGGGAAAAGGCGAUUUACCUAACACAUAGUGUGAGUAUUGUAAUCCCUAACUCACUAAAUUGUAUUAUUUUAUGGGUGUAAUAGCGCGAUAAUAACGAGGAAAAGACACUUCUCGGGUUCCAUGUAUUGGCUCCCUCUGUCCACCUCUUACCGCUGACUGGAACAGGCGUUGGUUUUUCUUCAGGUAUUUACCUAGGGUUCUCCUCUCUUAUAGACAUACUGAAUCUCUACUCCACCUUACUUCUGAUCCAGACUCUAAGUGUCAUCGCUUCAUGAUGGAUGACUGGAAAUUUCGGAAGUUCAGGCGAAUUUCCCACCUAUGUCCCUAAAAGGUAUAGGCACUUGGUGGUUUCAAUAGUCUCGUCCUAGUUCGUUUAUUUCCGAACUGGAAGUAUUCUCAAUGAACUUAUUCUGGGUCUGAAUCAACUUUUCUAUCGAACACUGAAGUGGAUAGGGUUUUCUACAGGGUUCGUGCGAGAAUGGAAAUGUCUAAAGAAUCCUAAGAGAUUAUUAAAAAAUUUCACUGGGUGAUCCAUAUAGAGUCCUGCUACAAUUACAUAGGGUACACAAAUUUUAUAUAGCUUAGAUCCGCUAGACCUUCGAAUAUGUGAUACUAUUCUAUAUCCACAUCCAAACAAGGAAAAGGAAGUAGAGCGAAACCACACAUUCUUAGUCUAUGGGAUCCUUAUUAUAUAUAACCUUGGAAGUAUACCCUCUAUAAACAUAGGUAUAUCAAUAAGGAUCUUUUUAGUUUUUCACACAAGGUUAUCUAUGGAUCCUAAAAUACCCCUAUGGUAUUUUAAUUACUUGUUUGACUCUUAACUUCUGAAUAUGAUUAUGGGAUUAAUGUGAGUCUUUUAGUAUCCUAAAAUACUCCCAUAGUAUUUUAAACUUUAAGUUUGGCUCUAGAAUUCCUAUUUGGUAAGUUUCAGAUUCGUUGCAACACCACCAUCACUCCCAAGCACACGCUGGUCGCAUCUCGAAUAAAUGUAGUUGAUCAGGUUACAUUUAUUCCAGCUUACGAUUACAUAACUGCCCAGGUUUGACGGUAAUGGUCAACAUCCAAAGACUUUUAUUUUGUUCUUCUUGUGAUACUUUUCUUCGAGUGUUUAGAUUCUGGAUGUUCUUAUACUUUGGUAAAAUAUGGUUAUAUUUGAAGUAUAAUUCUUGGUCAGAGUGUUUUAUCUCUAUGUAUUUAUAGGUUGUAUAUCUUUUAUGAAUUGAUAUACUGAGCUCACUAUAAACAAUGCUCUGAUAAAAAUCUGUCACACCCCAAAACCAGAACGGCGGAAACAUUCUGGGGUGGAUAACGUCAUGUCAAGUAUCACAACAUAUGCAGUAUAGUAAUCAAAGUACAACAACCAUUGCAUUAAUAGCAAUAAUUUUACAUAUGUUUCAUUUCAUAGUAAUAUCAAAGUAAUUAUAGAACAUAACAUAGAUGCAGCUCGAUACUAGGUUGUCUUCACAAAAGCUCCCGUGAUGUACUUGUCUAUCGAUGACCUGAGAAUACAAGUUAUUUUGAAAGCAAGUAUCAGCAUUUUUAUAAUGCUGGUGAGUCCAUAAGUAUUUAGUGUCAUUUAUAUAAAUACGCAUUUUUAUUCAAAAUAACUUUAUGAAAGAUAGUAAUCUAGAAUCUACGGUGUAAUAGCGUUCUUCCCAGAAAAUCCUAUAUUUUCUAAAUAAAAGAAGUCUUCUACCAAGACCCAACAGAUUUAUGUUUUAAGGAGUAAUUUUCCCCAAAAUACUAUCAUUACCAAAAUACAUAAUUGACUUUAAAAGAAUAAUGAGAAUAUCCCAAGUGAAAAUACUAGGGGAAAAUAAUAUAUACCUCAGCACUAACACUGCUGACUAAAACAAAAGAAAACAUAGACUCCAGGAGAGUAUCAUACGAAUGAUACGCCUGGAUCAAUCUAACACAAGGAAGUACAGACUCCAGAUAGUAUCGAAUGAACGAUGUAGCUAGCAAAGUCUAAAACAAGGGGUGAAUGUGAACUCUUAUGUAACCAUGCUGAUCAACAAUAGAGUAUCAGAUGACCGUCUAGGUCACGCGUAGAGGUAGUGGCAUUAUGUCACCCAUGGGCCUUACCGGUGCGGACUGUAGCUAGUAGUCUGGGUGUGGGAGUGUCAGUCCCGUAUAGAUCUACACAUAUGAUGUUUGCUUUCCUUCCCGGAGACUCUGGUUACACGGCGAUGGCGCUAUGAGGCAUCGCUGAGGGAAAUAGUGUGUCACAUUCUAAAGUAAAAGAGAGAGAGGGAGAGAAAUAGAGAGAGAGAGAGAGAGAGAUAGAGAUAGAGGGAGAGAUAGAGAGAGAGAGAGAGAGUCUCCUAACUAUUCCUAUACUAGUUACUAGGGUUCCAGAAACAUGAAUAAUAGAAAGAUGCAUGUACUACUCAAUACGAUGAAUUGACUGAGAGAGAGAGAGAGAGAGAGAGAGAGCUUUUAUGUCCGUACAUGUAUACAUGACAUAUAACUAAUGUUUAAACGACCUUCAGACGGAUAACCGAUACCCCGAAGCCACAUCCAAACAAGGAAAAGGAAUCAGAGCGAGUUAGCCUUCCUAAGUCCUUUAAACAUGACAUAUAUAACUAUACAUACACGGGCAUGCAUUUAACGAAAUAAAAGCAUAAUAGAAACUUGAAAACGAUUUGAUAAAACAGUUUAAGUGAAGAAAACAUUUGGAAAACCCUUAACAAGAAAUUACAACUUGAUGUCUCUUUAGUAAACAAGCUUUGAAAAACUUUGGAUAAUCUUUAAUAAUCUAAAAAGGGAUAUUCAUACUUUAACAAGAUUCGAAAACAUGAUUUGGAAAUCUUAAGCUGGAUAAAACAGUUUAACAUGCAAAAAUCUAUUUUGCUAUACAGCUAUUAAUCACAUGUGAUUUAUCUAAUAACUGUACAGUUCAACAUGUAUUCCCCCCCCCUAUAAAAGCAGUUAAAAUUAUUUAAAAGGUUAUUUUAGGGGUAUGAACUCACCUGAAGCGAGUGGAUCGGAUGGAAGUGUCGAUUGAGUGCUUGGUGUCAAGUGAAGACUUGAACACACUUAAUGACCUAGUAACAUAUGAAGACAUAUGUUUACAUAUAAUUAGUGAUUAUAACACUAAUUAAACACGUAUAAACAUCCUAAUGUGCGGAAAAACACUUUGGUCAAGUGCUAGGAGGCUAUUGGGUUGCAAUAAGGGAGUGUAUGGCCUAGUUAGGGAGUUUACUCUUCAAGAGUAAACUCUUAGAGGAGAUUUCGGCCCAAUGACCAUAUCCCCAUGAGUUUACGGUCGUAAACUCAUGGGUGGUGUGUUCUUGGAUGUUUAAAGUUCUUACAACACUUGUGGAAUUAGGCUAGGUUCAAUUCUAGGGCAUAAGAAGUGGUUAAGUCCUCAAAUGGACCAUUUAUGGGAGUUUACGGCUGUAAACAUAGAGUUUCCGGCCGUAACUCUUACUUGUCCCCUUACUUCAUGAUUUAAGGUCUUAAAUGAAAGAAUACGAGGUUUUAUGCAUUAUUCCAAGCCAUAUAGGGGAGUUAGGGCAUCAUUUGACCUCCUUAAGGGAGUUUACGGCCAAGGGACCAAUCCUUGGGGGGGUUUACGACCGUAAUCUCCUAAGGUCAUGGUUUCCUUGAUGAUUAAGGUCCCUACUUCGAUGGUGGUUGAUUCUAGACAUUACCUCAAGCCAUAGGAGGUGUUUAAGAGGCAAUUUAACACCUUAAAUGGUGUUUACGGCCUAUGAAGGAGGUUUUACGGUCCAAGAAUGUUCUUGGGCCGUAAACUCAUUUUUACUCCCCAAAUGACCAGAUUCUGGUGUCCGAAGUUAAUUCAUGCAAGUCCCUAAGUCAAAGCUAAGCACUAGAAGUGAUUUGGAAGGGUUUUGGGGCUUCAAAACCCCAUUUAUGGGUGUUUAUGGUUUGGGGCUGUUCCAGGGCCGUAAACACAAGAUUUUGAGGGUUUUGGAUGAUUUAAACACGGAUUUGCAUGCUAAACAAGCUAAACAACAAGCUAGGAUAGAUUACUUACAAGUUUGGAGCUUGAAAGAGGUGUUUUUGGAUCAAAAUUGGCUUGUAGAGAGAGAGUAGAGAGAGUGUGUUAUGAGUGGGAAAAAGAUUCAAAUGAAGUCUACUCACCCUUAUAUAGGGUUUGAGUUUAUGGCAUGGUGGAAAUCUACCCGAUACCGACGUUAAACAGGGCUUACGGUCGUACCCGAUUAAGUGGUCGUAACUCGACGUGGUCGAAAUCUAAAAACUUUUCAAAGGGAUACUGAGGAUGUUUCACGUGUUUCUAAUUCGUGUGGAAACUCAUGAAGUUAUAAUAAAGUUCCAAUUUAAUUAACCUAAUCCAAAAGGUUAAUGGAACAAUUUAAUAAAGCGAGUUUUAUUAGCGGAAAAGGGUUUACUAUGACGGGAUAAAUUUCAGGUUGUCACAGAUUAAGAGCAUGAAACUUCAUUGAGCAGAGUGUUUGCGGAAAUCAUUGCUUUUCCACAUUUCAAAGCAUCAAGUUCUUCAGUUAUAGUAGCAAGAAUAAGAUGAUUGAGAUCUUUUGUCUUCUUGAUGACAGCCACGUUCAUAUCCCACGACUUCGGAAGUGCAUUCAACAACUUUUUGUUUAUCUCAGACUUAGUCAAGAAGAUCCCAGCUAUAUUCAUCUCAGUAGUAAGUGUAGUAAAUCACUGCAACUGAGCUUCCAGGAUUUCUCCAGGGAUAUAAUUGAACAUGUUUAAAUUUUGUCUUAACAUAUUCUGAUGAUUCUCUUUCAUGUCUUCAUUUCCCUUGUUGACCUCAAAACCCAUUAAAAACACAACUAGAAGCCAAAAUCAAACUUAAAUUAAAAAUGUCCUUUGACUAUAAACCUAAAAAUUCAACCUCACUUGUCAAAUUUAAAAAGUUAAACCCAAAAGUCAAACUUGAAAAAUCAAACUUAAAAGUCAAACUGAAAAGUUAAAUUUGAAAAUUUUGAAAGAUAAAUGAAAAAGUCAAAGUUUAAAGUCAAAGGUCAAACUAGAAAAGUCAAAGUCAAAAUUUAAGUAAAAAGUCAAAAAUUAAAAAAUAAAUUAUUUGGGUUGAAAGUGGAAUUUAAAAAAAAAAUUUGAUUUUUAGGGUUGAAAUUGAAAAAAAUGCGAAACUGGAACCGAGAGGGACUUGUUUUGAAUUAAAUUUCGAAGGACUUAAACAAAGUGUUCGCUAGUCGAGUUGGUAAAGCGUUGUGUUGGUCAACCAGAGGUCCCGGGUUCGAUCCCCGGCACCUUCAACUUCGCUUCAAUAUUUUUUUAAUGAAUGCGCAUAUGAAUAAGCCACCAAGCCGACCUCGUCCGAGCCGCACACGGAGCCGCACACAGAGUCGUACACGUCCGAACUGCACACCGGGCCGCACACUCCGACCCGUACACCUUCAACCAACCGCACACCUUCUUCAAUCAGAUCGCGAAAAAAACGACAUUUUUCACCAUUUUUGCUCCAAAACCCGAUCAAAGACUUGUUUUUAGGAAAAAUGCAAAGAACAAACCCCCUUAUUUUGCCCUGGUCUAUCCAAAAAUGCAAAAAUCCUUUCAAAAUAAGAUCAAAUAAGCUCCAGAUCUGACAAAAUUGAUUAAUACAAUCCAAGCUCUGAUACCAACUAUAAGUCCCCAAAUUGUUUGUGUAUCAAUCAGAUCCAAUUGAUGGUGCGGAAUCUCACUCAAUUGGAUGACGUCAGAUCAAAAUAAGAAGAAAAGGAGAAGAAGAAGCUGAUGAAUCUUGUAUUAUUUGAUGAUUAGAAUGUAGAUCCAAAUACAAGAUUCACACACAACACACACUCUUCUCUCUCUCUCUCUCUCUCUCUCUCUCUCUCUCUCUGUAACACCUUUGAUUUCACACACUUAAGCUCCCUUGGCCGUACGCUCACAUGCACUCCUCACCCUAUAUAUAUAUGUGACAAGGGCCACCAGCCGCACACCCCAUGUACGGUCGUACACACCUAUAAAAUCACAGAAAAAUGCAUUUUCUAGAAAAGUAAAGUAUAAACCAAAUUUAAAGACCCAACAAAGAUUAAACCUUAGUAUUUUAAAAGUUUAAAAUACACCCUUAUACUAUAUAAGAUUAAAAGUUUAAUUAUNAUAUAUAUAUAUAUAUAUAAGUAAAGGUCAGUCUUACCGUUAGUAGGCAUCAUUCACGAAGCUGGUAUAUAAGGGUGUUUAAGAAAGCGGCAUGUAAAAUGACUGCUAUUUGGUAUCCACUCUUACCCACCGCAGUCUUCACUAGUGGAGGGUCGAUAGCCUAACGGGUAGGAUAGGACACUAAAACCUCACUAAACGUAUAAUGAAUUAUAAAGUAACUAAAACUUUUAUAACUUCCCAAUCUUGGUUACUUUAGGAAAAUGUGAAAAUGAUGUUAUUCCAUGAAAUUGCGCUUUGUACCUUGCCAAGUCGUUAGUGGAGAAUGUGUGGUUAACUUGUAACACUCAGAAUCAGAAAAACCAAGAAAGGAAAGGAAAACCCUAAGUCAAAGGGGUCAACUCGUCGAGUCCAUAGGUGAACUCAACGAGUUGGAGUGGGUUCCGUGUCGGGAUUUAAGUGACCGACUUGGCAAGUCGGAGGGACUGACUCGGCGAGUCAGGUCUGGUUGGAAAACCCUAAUUUCCAGGCUUAGUGCCCUAUUUAAGCAUCAUUUUAGGCCUUCACCCCAGACUCCAUCACUCCCUUUACCUUACGUCGAAACCCUAAGCCUCCAUUGUAGUACUCUCAAGCUUUCUUUACCAUUUGGGUGCUUAGAAGCAAAAAGGAAGAAAGGAACCUUGGGUGAUUCAAGAAGUGGUUGUGGGCUCUAAGUUGGUGUGCUAUUUCAGAUCAUUGGAAGGUAUGGAGCUCAUACCUUGGUUGUUAUUCAUUUAGAUUCCCUUUCCUAGUUAGAUUUUAUCAAUUUGGGCCAUUUCCAAGGCCAAUUCUUGUAUUGUGCCUCUGUGAGCAAAGAGAACUUCGGAUCUAGGGUUGUCUUGGACUAGAAACCCAUAAAGUAGCAGUCUUUGGUGUGUUGGUGAAGCAUGCUUGUCUCAAACCCUAGUCCUAGAGUUUUUUUAAGCCUAUAGCUCCUUGGUUUCACAUAAAGUUUGCAACUUUACGUGAAGGAUGGGUCUUAGAAGAGUGGAUCUACAGUUUGGAGCCCUUGCAUGGCUCGAAAAGCCACUGUAUGGAUUAAGAACAGAAGCUACUCGGCGAGUCACAUAGGUGGACUCGGGGAGUUGUAAGAAGAUAGGCAGGAACUCGACGAGUUGGAAGAACAACUCGGCGAGUCUGCUGAAGAUUGUCGUGGACUCGGUGAGUCUGUUCUUGGACUCGACGAGUUGGAUCUCAGAACCUCAACCUUUUUUGGUUAAGACUUAGAUCGGUGAGUUGAAUGGUGACUCAGUGAGUUGGACAGGAUGGGACUCGGAUAUCGUUGAACUCGACGAGUCGGCGGGGUGACUCGGCGAGUUGAGGCGUAUUGUGAGAGUUUCUGAGUAUAAGGACUCGACGAGUCAAUGGGUUGACUCGGCAAGUAGAGUCAGUNNNNNNNNNNNNNNNNNNNNNNNNNNNNNNNNNNNNNNNNNNNNNNNNNNNNNNNNNNNNNNNNNNNNNNNNNNNNNNNNNNNNNNNNNNNNNNNNNNNNNNNNNNNNNNNNNNNNNNNNNNNNNNNNNNNNNNNNNNNNNNNNNNNNNNNNNNNNNNNNNNNNNNNNNNNAGUAGAGUCAGCCAGGAAGAAUUGACUUUGACCAGAGUUGACUUAGUUUGGCUUCUAGAGUUCAGUUUGGGACUAAGUGAUAUGUGUAUUGAUAUUGGUAGCUCGGGGAGCUAGUGGAGCAGCGGUUCAAAGAAUUGUCGGACAGCAACCAGAGGGUUACCAGCAAAGUUCAACAGUGCAUGUGAGUUUCCCUUUGUGUGAAUGGGUCUACAGCCACAAUGCCGACCCAUGUAGUUAUGAGUAGGAAGACCCAGGGGUUAGCCCUAGGCACUGUUUGCUAUUAUGAUAUUCAGGACCAAGGUACAAUGUCGGCCGGGUGCCCAAGCAGUGGUUUGCAUGAUAGAGUAUACUUGUUGUCUGUGUGAUGCAUGUAUGUGCUUGGUAGGGAGGUGGGUGUGGGCGAGGUCUCGUAUCUCACCAAUAGCAGAGUAUGGAUGGGGUUCCAUAUCUCAUUAGUAGCAGAGUAGGGGCGAGGCCCGAGAUAGGUAUGGAGUGAGUGUGGGAGGGGGGCCGUAUCUCACUUACAGUAGGAGCUUGGACAGGGUUCCAUGACUCACUAGUAACAGGAUAGGGGCGUGGCCCAAGACAGGCGAGGCCUUAGGACAGGAAUACAGUAGGGUAUGUUCAGUUGUGUAUUAUAUGCUAUUUUGUAUUAUGUGGUUAGCGGGCGGGGCCUAAAAGAAACAGAUUUGUAUCCGAGCGGGGCUCGAAGCCAGGCGGGGCCUAGAGUAGCGGGGCCUUUGUAGCGGGCAAGGCCCGAGGUAGGGGCGAGGCCCGAAAUAGCGGGCGUAGCCAAGUAUGUACUAUAUGUGUUUGUGCAGGGUAUGUGGUAAGUUGGGGAACUCACUAAGCUUCGUGCUUACGGUUUUCAAUUUUGGUUUCAGGUACUUCUGGUAGCGGAGGGAAGAGCUCGAGGUGAUCGCAUGACACACCCCAUUAAUUAGACAGCCUGGGAUGUUUUACUCUGAUAAUGAGAAUAUGUUUUGAAUUAAUACUCUGAAUGUAUGUUAUGAAUUAUGACAUGGCUUUUAUAAAUAUGGUUUUAGUAAUGUUUAAAGAAAAUUUUUCAGUCGUGAUUUUUGGGACGUUACAAAUUGGUAUCAGAGCCCUGGUUUGAGGGAUUCAGACAUACUCUCGGGUGUGUCUGAACUCAAACUAAGGAACUGGUAUAGAAGUUCUCAAAAUGAAAAGACAGUUUUGUAAAAGAGUUUUGAAAAAUGAAACAGUUUUAGAAAAGCGAAAAGAAUUCAGAAAGAAAAGAACUUUGAUAAGAGAAAAUGGUGUGGUGCAUGCAAUCAACUGAGCUUAAGUAAGUACCCCAAAAUACCCAUACAAGAUUAUGUUAUGAUUAUCAGUUAGUAGAACAGCAUGCUAGAUUAGGACUAAAGAUCUAGGGAGGAUGCCUUAUGUGCCUGUUAUAUGUGCUUUUGAGCUGCAUGAUGGUACUGGUUAGACAGUAGUAAGGUAGCCUGUUUAGGAUAUGCCUGAGUAUAUGAGAUUAUGUUUCAUGUUAGUACAAAUUAUUGAUAUGCGAUUAUGAUUUCUUGAGUAUGUUAUGGUUAGAUUUUCCCUUGUCUGAAUGUUGCUUGCUUUGUGCAUUGUGGGAUUCUGAGUGAUGGGAGUUAGCCAUUAGGUGAAUACGUCACGUCACAUGUGAUAAGGGUUGAAUAAUCUCAGAGUGCUAGAUUUGGCCCUAUUAUGCAGCUCUCGUUUGAGUCUAACUGUUGUAGGGACGAGUCUUUUACUUGAAGGAUUAUUUAAGCCUCGCCACAUGUGAUGGUAUUCAGGUGAUGGCUAAUUGACAUCGCAAAGAGGCCUUCAGCAGCUGAGGACUGGUUUGGGUGGAGUCAGAGGUUUCCCUAGGGUAAGCCUAGGAUGAGAUAGUGCUGGGAGCAGUAGUAGUAGAAAAAGGGACCUGGUAGAGUUGAAGCAGUUCUUGAGGAAAGUACGGAUAGAUGUGGAAGGUAGUAUGGGCCCGUACUACUGAAAACAGAGGAUCCGUACUCGAUUCGAGAAAGGCCGAGAUGAGACCGGGAAACUUGUAGUGUGUGUGUAUGAUCCCUCAGCAGUGAUGAGUAUUCUGAUAGUUAUUGUGAUAUGUUUUCAGCAUGGUGACAUUGCGUGAGAGACCAGUGGGUGGGUCGGGCGCCGGAGAGGGAUCAGGCUCAGGUUCAGGGACCCAGCAGCUCGAGGAGCAUAUGAGAGAGUUUGUAUCAGCAGAGGUUAUGCGCAACAUACUAGAUCAGACUCAUGUGAUCUUUGGCACGGUCAAGGAGGGUAUGCUAGAGAUCUUGGAUGAGAGGCUGGGAGCCUUCCGUACCGAGAUGAUGGCCUUGAUGGGAGCGCGUACCUUGACAUUCCGAGAGUUUAGAGCUUGCGGAGCACCAGAUUAUCAUGAGGCUAGGGACCCCAUUGCUAGCAGUAGGUGGUUGGCCGAUAUGNGCGGCAGGUGGUUGGCCGAUGUCGCCAAUGCAUUCCGUACGAGCCGGUGUCCCGAGGGGGACAAGGUCAGAUUCGCCUCCUGUGUUCUAAAGGACAUAGCGUGGGAUUGGUGGGAGGAGGUUGGACAUGUCAUUGGUGAUGAUGCCGCGUUGGGCGCGAUGACAUGGAGAGAUUUCUCGGCCAGGUUUAGGGUUGAGUUUACACCAAUUAUUGAGGUGCAGCAGUUGGCACGGGAGUUUCAAGAUUUGACGCAGACUACUGAGACUGUGGCGGAGAUCACCACCAAGUUCAGGGAGAGGGCCCUUCUUGUUCCGCAAUAUGUCGUAGAUGAGGAGAUGAAGAAGGCCCGAUACCACCAGAUGUUGAGGGAUGACAUCAGGCAGUUUGUGAGAAGGUCCAACUGCAAAACGUUGGAGGAUAUGAUCGCUCGGGCUAGAGAGAGGGAUAUUGAUUUGGAACAGAUCCGGAUGAGGUUCAGGUAUCCACAGGUUCUGGAAAAAGUCCAAAGGGGGCAGAUUCGAGAUCGAUGGAUUACCAAAGUCGCGGCCGAUGCGGGAGGUGCGGCAAGACGCACGAGGGAGCAUGUCGGAGUGGUAGUGGUGGAGAUUCGGGCUGCUUCAAGUGCGGUCGGACUGGUCAUUCUAGCAGAGAUUGGACUGCUACCACCACACAGGGAUCAAACCUGAUAUGUUUCCACUACAGUCAGCGGGGCCACAAGAAGGCCUAGUGUCCUAGUUUGCUUCCGGCAGGACGGGUGAUACCACCUGUCCCUGCAACUCUGAGGAUCAUAGAUGGCCAUCAGGGCCGAGCAGAGGCGCCUGCGGUAGGAGGCAGGGUUUUUUAGAUGACUACCAUGGAGACGCGAGCAGCUCCAGACGUUGCAGUUAUAUGCCAUCUGCAUACCUUGGAUAAUAAAAUGGUAGCUAGGGGGUUGUGCCCUAUGGAAGCAGGUUACUUAGGAUGUAGUAACUAUAGCAUGCUUGUAUGGAACUCAGUAGUGGUCCGUUGGAUUCAGGAAGGUGUUAUUGAGUGAUGGAUUAGUUAGAACCCUAGCUGUGGCAAGCUUGGGAUUUUCAGCAGAUUGACUACGGUAUAGUAGAGAAGAUUGGGAAUUUCUCUCAAGCAUUGAGCAGCAAGGUAUAAGCAGGAUCAAAGUGGGGGAGAACCCUCCGAGUGUACAAGAGUAAGAGCACGCAGAUCCAAAAUGAGUACAUGACCUAUGAGAAGGAAAGGAAGUAGCACAAUGAUUGAUGGAUUGAGGAGUACAGCGUUGGGAGUUUGAGAAACUUCCCAACAGUUAGAUCAUGUAAUCAAGAAGGUUAGUAUCUGGUUUGGAAUUCGGGUUGGAGGAUCGCCCAUAGGACUUGAGAGAGUUGGAAUGAGGAUUUUGAGAUCGGUUGGCAUGGGAUGCUUUUGUGUUAGUAGUCAGGGGCAGAGACAGCAUGUAGAGCAUGGUGGACCGGCGGGAGAGCCGCAACAUUUUUCUAUCAGCACGCCAGUGGUGGAAGGUGUUGUAAGACUAUGGGGUAGCCGUAGCAUUCACCAGCAGUCAGCUAGCAUGGAAGGUGUUAUAAAACUAUGGGUAAGCUGUAGCAUUCCCUAGCAGCUUAGUUAGCGGAGAGUGGGCGGGGGGCCCUAUCUCCUAGUUAGUGGAGUUUGGGCGAGGCCCUUACAUCCUAGUGAUCAAGGUAAGGAUCAGGAAUGGGUAGUUGAUGAGAAUAGUAUGGAACUAGCCUGCAUAGCCCUGGAAAGGUGAGGCCUUGGGAGAGGCCGCUCCAGGAUGUAGUCGGGUGAGACCCGUGGGCGAGGCCCGUAUGUGAGUAGCCGUAUAGGUGAGACCUAAGAGCAGGGUUGCUCGGUAGUAUAGUCGGGUGAGACCCGUGGGUUUUAGUAGCAUAGGUGGCACUUGGUAAGGACCUUAAGGUCAAGUUAGGGGACCGAGGAUCCCAGGACUUGUUGCUCCAGAGUGGCAGGGUAGAUAGAGCAGUAUUAGGUGGCCGAAGUUUCUUCGGAAGUCGCUUGAAGCGACUGAGAGAUUAUGAUGGGACUAGCGACCGGUAGGAGUCCGGUAAUCCAGAUAUUGAUAGAUUAGUAGGGACCAGGGUGGUCUCGGUUCAUCCGGAAGGCGGUGAACCUAUCUAUUAAUAGUAUAGUUUAAGCAAGUAGGGUAUCGAACACAGGGAUUGGUAACAAUCAAAUUAAGUACUAGUAUUACCUAAUUAAAAACAAUUAAUAAAAGAGGGGGUUUCUCUAGUUUUGCAAGACUAGAAACUUAAUCAGUCAAUUAACUUUCAAACAAAGACAAUUAAUUUGAUUGGGAACAACUUUUGAUUGAAUCUUUUAUACUUUGUAGCUUUUCUUCAAUGUAUUCUUCUUUGUCUUCAUAGCUUUAUAGAUUCUUUAUUCAAACAUUUCAUCACUCUUUUUAUUUCAUUUUUUUUCUUUUUUUUUUCUUUUUCUCUCUCUCUCUCUCUCUCUCNAUAAAAGAGGGGGUUUCUCUAGUUUUGCAAGACUAGAAACUUAAUCAGUCAAUUAACUUUCAAACAAAGACAAUUAAUUUGAUUGGGAACAACUUUUGAUUGAAUCUUUUAUACUUUGUAGCUUUUCUUCAAUGUAUUCUUCUUUGUCUUCCUAGCUUUAUAGAUUCUUUAUUCAAACAUUUCAUCACUCUUUUUAUUUCAUUUUUUUUCUUUUUUUUUUCUUUUUCUCUCUCUCUCUCUCUCUCUCUCUUUUUUUUUCAACACACUUUUUCCACUCAAAACUAAAAACCUAGAAAAACAUAUGCUUAAGCAAGGGAAUUUAACUUCAUCCUUUAUUGGUUAAAGGCAUUAGUCUAGUGUGCAAUGACUACUUAAGCUCUCUUGGAUACAUUUCUGGUACACGAUGCUAAACAUGUUGCGAUCCUCAAACUAAGCGAGGUUGUGUUUUUGUCCCACGAUUUUACUGGAAUAAAGGGGGCUACAAAUGCACUAUAACGUAUAUUGGCUCAACUAAACAUUUGGGUCCUCAUAAAAUCAUCAAACACAAUACUAGCAUGGAAUCCUAAUUGCUUUUACCAUAAUUUUCUAAAUUAACCUAGUACUUUUUAUGCAUUUUUUUUUUCAAACCAAGCAAGGAUUCUAAUUUGACUAAAUGUAAUCAACCCCUACCCCACACUUAAGUUAUGCAAUGUCCCCGUUGCAUGUUAAAACAGUUAAAGAACACAAAAGUAAAGAGAGAAUUGGAACAGACUCCCCUGGGAUAGAAGUUUCGAGAUUGAUAUUCUUCAAUUUAGCUCCAUCUCNUCCUAAUUGCUUUUACCAUAAUUUUCUAAAUUAACCUAGUACUUUUUAUGCAAUUUUUUUUUUCAAACCAAGCAAGGAUUCUAAUUUAACUAAAUGUAAUCAACCCCCUACCNUUCGGAAAAUGAUCUCCUUAUACUCUUCAGUGACGAGACUCCUUUUUGACCAUUUUAAGCAUUAGACUCAUACCAUCACUANUUAAAACAAUUAAAGAACACAAAAGUAAAGAGAGAAUUGGAACAUACUCCCCUAGGAUAGAAGUUGCGAGAUUGAUAUUCUUCAAUUUAGCUCCAUCUUCAGCUGACUUUAGACAUAGAAGUAAAGAGAGAAUUAAAACUAUAAUAAUAAAAACAUCUAAAAAAAUCCUAAAUUACCCCUAAAUACUAGAAGUUUAGAAAGAAAAAGAAAAGCAAACUCUAAUGACGGGUUGCCUCCCGCAAGCACUUCUUUUUGUGCGAGUCUUUAGCUGGACUCUCAACUUAAUAAACUUCCAAUAAACUCAAUGCCAAUCCAUCUGUUGCAUUGAAUAUCUUCUUUGGUGGACCAAUUUGUAAAAUUUGGCUCUUUGCUUCUAUAAUUGGCCAAACGAGCUUGAAUAUAUAAAACCCAAGAAUCUUGAUAAGGGUUGGGACCGGUUGGAUACUAAUCAGAAAUGGAUCGCGUUUCAGAACUUUCUCCGAAGUUGGAGUCGUCACCCCAUGCUUUGAAACACAAUCUGGGAGAAUAGGGGGCCAUGUCGUGAUAAUGGUCAAACCACAGCUUGGUUCCUGCAACACAGCUUGUUCGUGUUCUUCAUCUGACCCUUCUGCUAGCAAUCUUUCCAGCUCCUCCAAAUCUCUUUCUGGAUUAAAUUCUUCAUCUUUUAACUCUAGCUCUUGUAACUCAGAUUGCUCUUUUUCAUUAGGCAAGAUGUUAUCUAACCAUCUUCCAAAUUCCUUCAAAUCAUCAUCUAAGUCAUAUUCCUCAUCUUCUUGCUCAAUUUCCUGUACUACCUCCUCAAGAAAAGCAUCAAAAGCAUCGACAUUUGGAAAAUACAUAAUACGAUAAUAAAAAAUUAAUUCAGAAAACGUGUAACUUUAUAUGAUAUUAAUAUCACACAAAGGAUCGAUAACACUAGCAAAUAAAAUUAAGUAUUAGAACCGUUCCCCAGCAACGCCGCCAAAAACUUGAUGUGUGUAAAACGCACUAGUUUUAAUCCUAUUACUUCAAACACAAAUUAAACACACGAAAGGCAGUGAACCUAUCGAUUAAUAGUAUAGUUUAAGCAAGUAGGGUAUCGAACACAGGGAACGGUAACAAUCAAAUUAAGUACUAGUAUUACCUAAUUAAAAACAAUUAAUAAAAGAGGGGAUUUCUCUAGUUUUGCAAGACUAGAAAGUUAAUCAAUCAAUUAAGUUUCAAACAAAGACAGUUAAAAACUAAGAAGCACUACAAGAAAAAAGGCCUUUUACGACGCUCAUUGCGCGUCGUAAAACGCUCAGACGACGCGCAAAUGCGUGUCAAGGAAGGCCCUGUCAUAAAGAGAGACGACGCGCUUUUGCGCGUCGUCUAUAGACGACGCGCAUUUACGACGCGCAUUUACGACGCGCGGUUACGACACGCAAUGCGUAUCAAGGAAGGCCCUGUCAUAAAGGAAGACGACACGCAUUCGCGUGUCGUAACCUUACGACGCGCGUGUUAAUGACACGCAAUGCGUAUCAAGAAAGCCCCUGUCAAGAAAGGCCAUGUCAUAAAUGAAGAUGACACACAUUUUUGCGUAUCGUAAUUUUAAAUGUUUAAAAAAAUAUUUUUUUAUAGAUUUACUAAUUUUCAAAUUAAAUUUGCAUUUAAUGCAUCAUAAUAGAAAAUAAAAUAUCAUAUACAAAAAAUAUGAUCCAUUUCAUAAAAUUUAAUGUCAUACAAAAAUAGAAUCCAUUGCAUAAUAUUUUAUUACAAAUUUGACAUUUUUUUGUUUCCGUACUUUGACAAUUUGUGCUGCUGCUGAUUCCGGAGCCAAUCCGCGACUGCAUUCCAGAGCUGAUUCAGUGGAAAGAGUAUCCCAGACUCCAUCACUUGAAAUUACAAGCCGCCCACAAGCAGAAGAUAGCUGAAGAUCAUGAAUAAAUAAAAUUUGUUAAUAAAAAGAGGAAUAAAUUGAGUUUAAUUACUAAACACCAACAUUCAAACCAAUUAAUGAAAGUUAAAGCAUCUAAAUAAUAUAGCAUGGGAUGCAAAUAUAUCAUGCAUCGUACAAACAAUGAAGAUUUUUAGUUUCUGGAAGAUUAUUGACAUCAUUGGGAUUAAGAGUUUUCUUUGCUUAUUCGUUGCACCUCAUAUGUUUCCAUCACAUUUGAAGGAUUAUAAUGCUACAUAGCUCUAUUAAAGAUGCUACAAUAUCUCUCUAUUGUUAUGCAUGAAAUCAAGACAUAUGAUCUUCUAAUACUAGAAAACAAGAGCUAUUCGGAAUAAUAAAGCUACAUACCUGAGUUUGCAAGAGGUAUCGCAAGGUGCUGCCGACUCAAAACCAAGCAGCCUUAGGCACUUAUCAAGGACUGAACUGAGGAUGCACAUCUGAUAGAAAAAAGAUAAAAAUAUAAUUACAAGGAUUAAUAAAAGCUAUUCGGAAGCCAACAAUGAGAACCAAAUUUAUAAAAAAAAAAGGAGAUAGAGAAAGAGAGAGACUACUUGCAUCUAGCCUCUAAAAAUGUGCUUUGUGUAACCAUCACCCGGAUCAGCACCAAUCUGGAUCUUUUGAUCUGAGGCUCUGUUAUGUGUCUCGCUUAAGACAUCCAGAUAAUCUGAAUGCUUCUUCUCAGUUUGAAACUGCAAUAAUUGAGAUACAUUUCAUUUAGAGGGGAUAGAUAAAGAAAAUAUGAAUGACCAUCAAUUUAUCAGUAAUCAAAGGGGACGGUUCUCUUCAGCAGAAAGAUAGAGCCUUUGAUAGAUCCUAGUGAAUCAGUUACUAAGGAAUGUGACAUGUAGAUUGGAUUGGUAAACCAAAAGGUAACAGUGUCACUGCAGGGUUUUGCAUUUUCUUGAGACUCAAAAGGGCAGUGAUGUCUUAUUCUAGGUUGAUUGUUAAAAAAAUUAAUAUGGAAUACCUAAUAUGGAAACAGUAAAAAAAUUAAUAGUAAAAAAGUGGACUCUUAUUCUACUAGGUUGAUUGUUAAAAAAGUACAUACGUCUCCAGGGGUAUCAAGAAGUGGCUGCUAAUUGGUGGAGCCAACAAUUGGCUCGGGAAUAUGAUCUUCUAGGUAAGCAUACCUACACAAAAGUUAAAUUACUUUUUAGCCCUUGUGGUUAAUUGAUAACACACACAGAUGCAGGAUGAAAUAAAGAGAAGGAAUAACAUACCUUUUUUCAAAUACAACAAGUGUAGAAGAUUCAUAACUCUCAAAGUGAUGCUUUGAGUUAGGAGGUAGGUAAGCAAACGAGUCUACCUACAGUUCAAUGACAAAUAUUAACUGUUCAGGAAUACAUUUACUUGAUUGAAGCAUUUUUCCCUCUUCUUUAUAACAAUAUCUUUCAGGAAUGCUAUUCAACUUCAAAAUUUGGCACAAAACAUGUAACUUUAAUGUUCAUAUAAAUCUUACUACACAAGAGAAAAUUCAAGAUUAAAGGGUUCUAUACCAUCAGUGUUUGGCAAAUUCCUGAAACAUUAGUGAGAAUCACCAAAACUUGAACCGCAAAUACAAACCUAAAUGAUAAACAUAAAUUAAAACACAACUCAAGUCACACUAUGAUUCAAAAGAAACUUGAUUUGAUUAUAAAUUGAGGGGGUCAUUAAUACCUCUCAACAUGUUUAGGAGGUAGCCCUGAUUUUCAACAUGUUUAGGAGGUAGCCCUGAUUUUGUCGUUGCUCUCACGGAAUGAAAACCCAGAUACAACCGGUGGAAGGAACCCAAACACCAGGUACGAUAACAGAGAAACCAACAUGUGAAGCGGGAAAUCCUCUCUUCGCCCCAAAAGUUGUUGGUAUCGAUCCUCUUCUGAAGAAGAAGAUCAUCUGCCUUCGUUUCUCAGGUCCCAAAGCUGUAAUUGUAAACAAACAACAUCAAAGCAAAAUACAUACAUAUACACUAAUAUGCAACUUAUUACUUACAUUAUGACUAAUCACCAACAAUCCGCCAAAUAUGCUAGCCAAUUCCAAUUCCAACACAUUCACUGCAAGCAAUAAUAAAGAAUAUAAAGUAAAUGAUUUGGUAAAAUUUCCUUUUAUAUUUUAAAUAAAAAUAUCACUGGAACGUUUUUCAAUCACUGAAACAGCAUGACUCAGCAUUUCUAACAUGUACUGACCAACUUUGGAGAAGAAAGAAAUUUUUCUUCUUUCAACCUAAUGCAACAAAAUGAUUUGGUAAAAUUUCCUUUUAUAUUUUAAAUAAAAAUCACCAAGAUUAGAGAAUAAAAAUACCUUGUAACAUACGAACCAUACAGGAAAUUUGACAAAAAAGCACAUCUGCAGAAAAUAUCUAAGAGAAUCAUUUUCUCGAUCUCUUUAUUUUCUAAAACCUUAAGAAUGUCGAGUUCUAUUUCAUGAAGCAGUGAGUCCCUUAAAUGACAGGGGAGACGCACAGAAACACUAAAUAAUCAAGUUUUUAAAAUAUUUACCUUUGCCAUGACAAAGUAAAAUAGGCAAGGAUGAAGCACGAUUUGCAGCUUCCUCCCCUUCCACCUUGUUACUCAGAUCCCUAGAGAUAUUUUUUAAAGAUAAAUUGUUAUUAAAAAUAGCAAUGUGGUUUAAGUAAGAGGGGUAAAAAGGUAAAAUGGUGAAGAGAGUCAAACUUUGCACAUGGAAGCCAACCACUAAGGCCAACAAUUGCAUCCAAAUGAGUAGAGUAUGAGUUUCCAUUUCCAAAUUUUCCAUGUGAAAAACAUGUUGCAGAAUAUAGAGCAGUUGCUGCUCCCAUACUAAACCCUCCUACACCAAGUUUGACUACAAAAAGAAGUCAAACAUUUCUUGAAUUUAUCCAAAGUAGAUAAAAGUAAAUUAAUUUUGAAACUUACUAUUAGGAGGCUCAGUAGAUAAGAGACUCAAUACAUGUGCUGCAGAAGCAUCCAUUGAUUCUACAUCUUGAUGUGCAUCUUCAGAUAGGUCACUUACAUCAAACCCUAAAAUCCAUCAUACAUAAUUACAUUUUACAUAUUUACCCUUAGGGAUACAAUUUCACAUUAUGAUAAAAAAAAAAAUAGUGUUGUCAAAAUUUAAAUCAUACAUGCAGUUGUGGGAAAGCCGCCGAAUAAGGUUAAUGGUUGAGAAGGUGAAGUAGGGCAUAUCCAUUUGAUCUAAAAAACAAAAAAAAAACAUUAAAUAAUCAAGUUUUUAAUUUAUAAAUUAUAAUUAUCAUUUAUAUGUAAAAGACUGAAUGAUAAUUGUUUGCUUACAUUUGGAAGAGGAAGAGUCUCCAAGAGCUGGGACCAAAAUUUAAAUCUACCAUGUUUUUUCCUCCUACAAACAAUUGAUAUAAAAACCGUUAGAAUCCCAUUGAGAGCUUAAUGAGAAAAUAUAUAUUAUGACACUUAAUUGUUACCCUUGUAAAAGAUAUAUUCAUCAGAGAUUAACUUUCCAACAAAGUCAAACAACUUCUGAGCAUUUCUAUUAAGGCGAACUUCAUCAUGAGCUUGUUGUAGCUAGAAGAUUCCGGAACCUUUUCUACCAUGCUUCCAGUGAUGCAUUAUAGCAAUUUGUUAAUUAAUAUGUAAUAUCUCAUUCUGUUAUAAUCAAUUAUUCAAUAAAACAUUUAUAGAAAACAUUGAUUUAAUAAAAUUACCUUCAUAUCAUUUGGACUUACACUAUCAAGAUUAUAUAAACGACAUAUCUCAAUAUUCUGUUUACAGUACAAAAGUAAUUGAACAUUAUGUCUUUCUUCUUUUAAAAGAAUUUCUACUUGAAUAUUGCCAGGUGUCAGUAACUCUGUAGCAUGAGCAAUCAUCCUAUUAUCACAAAAAAAAUAUUAUUAGAAAAUAUUAAAAGUUAUGUGAUUAAAAAUUAUUUGCAACAUUAGUUAUAUACUCACCAAUAAACUUCACAAUUUAACAAAAUAUAGCAAAGAUAUAGGAUAAAAGCUCAAUUUGUUUUCAAAUGACAUCAAGUGCAAAUAAAUGCUCAUAAAAUAAAAAUAUAAAAAAGCCAAAUGAGACUAAGGUAUGCAGCCAUAUACAUAGUUUCAUUACUAAACUUUGGUAAACAUGUAGUCUUUCUUGAUUGUUACCACUUACCACUUACCACUUAUCACUUACCACCACCUCUUAGUGCAAGAACAAGAUGAAGAACAGAACCCCCCUCAAUAUUGUAGUCUUUUGCAGUCUUAUCAUCUGCAAGCUGUUUCCCAGCAUAGAUCAGCCUACAAAAGAUUUCAUGUCAUAUUAUUAAGUGCUAAUCAUAAGAAAUAGCAAUCUACUUUUAUUGAUUUUUUUAUAUUUACUACAAAGAUAAAAACAGCAACCAAUCUGUUACAACUUAUUUUAAAUCAGCCAUUUGUAUAAAAGUAUAAAAAAUAAGCAAAUGAUUCUUGUUAAAGGGUGUAAAUCAUCAUAUCAUGUCUUUAUGAUUAAUUCGUUACUUCAGCAAAACAAGUUAUGUUUACACAUAUUGCCUUCAAUACAAUUCGAAGAUAAUGAAAGAAAGUGGCAAACCUCUGUUGAACUGGAGGAAUUCCUUCCUUCUCUUCAACUCUUUCCUUGAUCUGAUCAAUGGAAUCAGUUGGUUCAAUAUCAAUUUCAAUUUCUUUUCCAGUCAGAGUCUUGACCUUGAUCAUAGUUCCUCCCCUGAGUCUAAGAACCAAAUGAAGCGUGGAUUCCUUCUGGAUGUUGUAAUCAGCAAGAGUUCUGCCAUCUUCUAAUUGCUUUCCAGCAAAAAUUAAUCUCUGUUGGUCUGGUGGGAUACCUUACUAUUCCCUCCUUUUCCUAUCAUGUUCUCUGAAAAGGUUCAAGAAAAGUAAAUCAGCAAUGAUAAUCCACAUAAAUAUUAUUUCAAGAUAACAAAUAGAACACAAACCGGGUAUGAAGUUUGAUGUUGUUGAUAGAAGCUCUCGAUACUAAAACAAUCUACAAGUGGCUGAGUAUUUUUCAUGAAGACCCUCUAAUUCUUUUGGUAAAAGAAUCGAAUCAUGAUCUGGGGAAGAAGAUGGAUCAGAUUGAAAUUCAUCAUCACCCACACAAACAAUUGCUCCAUUUUCUGGUAUUCCGUCAUUUUGGUCAUAAUUUUGGGAAUCCGAGUUUGUGAUUUCAAAGCAAUGUCUAGUGGGAAGCCUCAUAGCCCACUGAACCAUAGAGAUCUGGUGGACAUGUGAUUUAUCAGAUGAAAUGUACUCACCGGCUCCCCUAAAUAAAUAAAUAAACCUAAAUUUAACAAAAGUUUGACCUAAAUCACAAAAAAAGAGAGAGCAGGUUUUCCACAAGGUCCAUAAUCGCAUAGCCCUUACUCGAAAUAUCAAAUACUCUUGAAUCAUCGAGAUUGGGAUUCAGUAAAUUACACAAAAUCGAAAUAAACACGAUAUAUCUCAAGAAAAGUUGUAAUCGUUCAAGACAAUAAAAUUUUAAGCGGCAAUUAAAUCUAUUAGGUAGUACUUAGGAACGAAACUAACCGCGAUAAUGAACCAGAGAUCGAGAGGCCAUUGACUCGAAAUUAGGUUUUUGCUUCUGAAAUUAGGUUUUUGGUCCAGAGCCACUCGUACUUCCUCCUUCGAGUUCUGUACCAAAAUAUACACACAGGGACUCGAAAUAAGGUUUUUGCUCACGGCGAUAGUCACAGAGCGCCGGAAUUUGAUUGUUAUCGGAAAGUUAUAUAAGGAUUUUGUAAGGUUUAACAGUGAGGACAGUGUGAGAGAGCUGCAAAUGGUGAUGAUGGAUGAAGUGUUAGUCGAUAAGGCCGAUACGUCGUCGUCGUGCAGGCCUGAAGAGUUGGUGUGGGUUGGAGGUAGUGGAGGUGGGUGAGGGGUGGAGACGAAGGAAUGGAGAUAUUAGAGAACAGAUCAUCGGAACAAACGUAGGAGAAGAAAGCGGCGUUUAAUAUUUUUGGGGAUUUCAUUUUCCCUCUCAGAAGAGAGACGCGCGUUUCUUAAAAAAUAUAAAACGACAUUCAUAGAGGACGCAUAUUUUACAUAAAGUGCCCUCCGUGUUUUUUAUUUUUUUUACAUGAGACACUAAUUUAACGGCACACAAUAAUGCGUGACCUAAAUCCUUAAAUUUUUUGAACAGAUGACACAUUGUUACUGUCACUCUCUUUUGCGUAACAUAAAUCAAUGAGUGUCGUGGUUUGCGCGUCGUAAAAGGCUCUUUUUCUUGUAGUGAAGAACAAGAAAGGAUAACUAGAUUCAAUGAUAAAAGAGACUUCUGCUUAGAUUCGAUUCACUUAUUCCUAUGGUUGAUUUCGUGGCAGGUGCAAUGAAUUAAUAUGUCAAUGGUUACCGAUUCCUAAUGUGAUUGGGUUCAUGUUCAUUAUUACCAAUCCUUUAGUAGACAAGUUAAUUCAAACAGUGAUCAAGUGAUUAAAUUAACAAGUUUCCUAGUGUUCAGUUCGUAUCAAGUAAGACUUAUAAUAAUAAUUAAUCAAAUUGGUUUAAUUCAAUCAAUUCAUGUAUGGUUGUUCAUCACACAUGCUCACACAUUGAUUUACAUAUUUUAUAGUUAACCCUAGUUUCAUAUUCACUAUUCCUAGGCAUACAAUCUUAUAUUCAUAAAACUAUAUGAAUCAAGUAAUCAAGAAGAUAUUCAUGCAACUCAAUCACUUAUUUGUUAACUAAAAACAUUUAUUAUCAAUACAUAAGGAUCUUUAAUAAGCUUAACAAGAUGAAUAACCAAAUUAAUAUCAAUUCAACCACUCAAUCAAACCAUGUUCAUAAGAUUAUCUCAUCCAAACAGAAGUAAAAAGCUUUUAGCUCAUAUCUACAGCAAGUAAUAACCUAAAAUCAAAAUCUAAUGAUUCAAACAUGGUUCAAAACAAAGAUUAAGAAAACAAGAAUGAUUAUUUGCCUUUGAUUCUCUUCUAAAUUGUCUCUUAUGUUGCAAUCUCGAAAAUAGUAGCUCCAAGAACCCUUCUAGUCUUCAAAAGUCGCGGCUAGCCUCCACAAAAAUUUAGGGUUCGAAUGAGAAGCCUUUCUAUCUAUAAAUUUUGAAAACAGCGUCAACUCGACGAGUUUUUGGUGAAAACUCGUCGAGUUUUUUCGAUAAUCCGCGUAUACAGCGUGUACGGCAAGGCAUCUUCGAAUCUGGAACAUUCUGACAAAAUUCGUCGAGUUUAGGCCCAACUCGUCGAGUUUUUCCGGGAUCAACAUUUUCUCAAAACACGAAAGUCGUCCGAAAUUGUGUCUAGUUUUCAGAACAUUUUGAGUCUCGUCAAUCGGAGUUACGGUUCAUGAGAUAUGGCCAAAACACUGACGAGGGGUCAAGCUGUCCAGCAACAUCCUUCUUUCUUCAGUCUUCAAUCUCCAAGAUUCCAAUCACUCAAUCCUCUUCCUUUUUCACCCAAGCAUGUCUUUUGUUGCUGAAAUUGAAAUAUUAAGCUAAUUAAGUACCUUUUGUCCAUAAAAUGAUAUAAAAUCAACAAUAAUUAAUAAGAUAAUGAAUGGUUUCUAUGACUAAAUAAGCCCAUAUCAGGCGAGGCCCGAGAUAGGUAUGGAGUGAGUGUGGGCGGGGGUUCCGUAUCUCACUUACAGUAGGAGCUUGGACGGUGUUUCAUGACUCAUUAGUAACAGGAUAGGGACGAGGCCAAAGACAAGAGAGGCUUUAGGACAAGAAUACAGUAGGGUAUGUUCAGUUGUGUCUUAUAUGUUAUUUUGUAUUAUGUGGUUAGCGGGCGGGACCUAGAGACAGGCAGGGCCUAAAAGAAACAGAUUUGUAUCCGAGCGUGGUCGAAGCCAAGCGGGGCCUGGAGCGACAGGGCCGUUGUAGCGGGCAAGGCCUGAGGUAGGGGGCGAGGCCCGAAAUAAUGGGCAUGGUCCAGUAUGUGCUAUAUGUGUUUGUGCAGGGUAUGUGGUAGGUUAGGGAACUCACUAAGAUUCGUGCUUACGGUUUUCAGUUUUGGUUUCAGGUACUUCCGGUAGCGGAGGGAAGAGCUCGGGGUGAUCGCAUGGCACAUACCAUUAAUUAGAGAGCCUGGGAUGUUUUACUCUGAUAAUGAGAAUAUGUUUUGAAUUUAUACUCUGAAUGUAUGUUAUGAACUAUGACAUGGCUUUUAUAAAUAUGGUUUUAGUAAUGUUUAAAGAAAAUUUCCAGUCGUGAUUUUUGGGACGUUACAUAACUGGCACACUAACUUGGACUAUCAAGGGUGGCAAAGGGUAGCUCGAGAAUUAUCAUAGAUCAAUGGAGCGUGUGUGGUUAACCGACACAUUGAUUAGGUGGUAAUUGACUCGAGAGUGCCAAGCUAAUUUGCAUGGUUAUUCACACAUUGUUUGUGAUCCUCGGUAUCUCAGUCACAAACUUGAAAGGCAUAAUCGAGAUUAAAAAUGCCAUUGAAAAGUUCAAUGAAUCUCAAAAGAUCUAGGAAUUUAAUCUAAAACCUAAUUCGUUAUUUUUUUUCGUGGUGGAAUUGGUAAAUCGUCAUUUACCUACCUUCAAAUAACUUGCAAUUGGAUUACGGCAUCACUCUCCUGAAUUGUAAAUUAUUGUGUUGGGUCCUAUCCUUAAUAUUUCAUUUGGGUGUUAUAUUAACGAUUGGAUCAACUAUCUUGAAUUUUAUCCUUUUAUAGAUGUCUAUUUCUGGCUACCAUGGUCUUCCUUAUCUUUUUGGAAAAAGCUUUCCUCAUGAAGAUGAUAUUCCACGUGUUGAUAGAGGUGAAAGAUUAAUCCGUUCUUCGUGCAUUGGUGGAACUGGAAAUAAUAUUUCCCUUCCUCGAUCUCCUCCCAUGAUUCUCCCUAACCCACAUUUUUGUCGACUUGAAAAGUUCAAGGUCACUCAAGCCCUAUUGGCAUGCAAACAUCAAGAUGGAAGUCCUGUAUGUGCAUACGUUUUGAAAAUGAAUCUGCACAUUGACAGACUGGGAAUGUUGGGUGUCGCUGUUCCGAGGAAGUUGGCUGGUUAUUUGGUUCUUCAAUCGCUUCCCGAGUCGUAUAGUGAGUUCGUUAAAGAUUACUAUAUGAUAGACCACGAUGUGACCCUCAUCGAUCUAACGUAUUUGCUAAUUGUUGUUGAAUCAGUAAUGAUUUAGUGCAUUGGUAAAGCAAAUUUGAUUGGAAGAUCUACCUCCCAAGUUUCCAUGGACAACCGUGAUAGUCCAAAAAUGAUUUCUUCUCCUAAGGGAGAGAAAUUGGCCAAAGUCAAAAGGUUUGAUUUUAAGAGAAAGGCCAGUACAUUCUGGGAUAAUAUCAUGCGCCGAUGCGAAAGAAUCCAUCUGUUUCUAUUGUCAUUUGAAGGGACAUUGGAAGCGAAGCUGUCCUGACUACCUAAGAGAUCUAAGAGAUGGUAAAGUCAAAUUGUAUGAGUCUACAUCAGGAACAUUCACUAUCUAACUAUAUUAAGUUUCUAUUUAUAGAUUCUUAUUACAUGAUGUAAAGUUACACUUUGAUGUUUUGCAAAAUCAAAGAGAAAGAAGGAAGCUUAAAGGAAAAAUCAAACUGAGUCUGAUCAUGAAGAAGUGGAUUCCGAUCGCAUGGUUCGAUGAUCAGAUAUUUUGAGCUACUACUAGGAGUUAUGAUAGAUUGCUUAGGAAUAUUUAGAAACACAAUUUUCAUAUGUAUUUGCACUGUAAGGACAAAUUUUCCGCACAUUAUUAAUAAAAUUGUUUUUAUUUACUUUAUGGUUCCUUGAAAUGGCAUUUAUGGAAAGUUGUUGUUUAUAUACAUAUUUCUAUUAUUAGCAUUGUUGAAAAUAGAUUUGAUUCUUAGUUGUAUGAUUUGUGGUAGUGUCAUAAUUUACCAAGUGAGGAAAGAUUCUCAUCACCCAAGCUUCAAAUGGACAGAAAGUUGGAAUCAUACAAUUUGAAUUAUAUGAUGUAUGAAAAUCUUGAUCCUUGGAAAAUCAGGACUCGUUCCUUAUUCACAUAUGUAUGUGAGUCAAGUGAAGGACCAGAACCGGAUAUGACUAAAGUUAUUAAACAACUGUCAAUGACAAUCUAAGGUUACCAAGGAUUAGUUGCUUGGGACAGUUGGAAGUAUAGUAAUGGAUGGACCAUAUUGAUAUAAUUCUGAAUAGAUAGGAUUCUAUUAAGAAUGGAUUGUUAUAUGACAAUUAUGGAAAUGUUUCCAUAAUAAGAGUUGGAUAUUAAGAAUCUAUGUGUAAGUUAGAAACUUUUAUGUAAGAAGGAUGUUCAAGGAAUGUACCUUGAAUGUGAGACUUCAUUGUCGAGAAAUUGUCUUGUAACAUUUCCUAGUGGAAUGCUUUGUAAUUGGCAAAGUCUCUGUGACUUUGCCUUGAAAUUACAAAAGGAUCAUUGCAUAAUAGUUUAGAAUCUAACACAUUCUGGUAGUGGCAAGAAUUUGGUAUUCUUACACUUGUUAUAAGGAUAUGGAAUUGUGAAAUGAGCAUCAUUGGAAAUGUGUUCAAUUGAUCUAUUUCACAAAGGAAGGACCAUAGAUAAGCAUAGUGUUCAUGCUUGGAGCAUGUGAUAACUAUUGAUUUAGUUCAAGUAUUGAGUUGAUUAGUCGAAACAGUAUACAAUGAGUAAGGUCUAAUUAAUAUGGUGAUUAAAUAAUAAGUGUUUUAUUUAUAUUCGAAAGUUUUGAGACCAUAUUGGAUUAGGUUAUUCUUGUGUUUCACUUCACAUGUCUUACUUCCCGAAUAAUAAGAUUAUUCAAACGUCUACAGUCGAUCAUACUUUGGAAGUAAGUAAUGAGGUAAGAUUGUCAUGAAGCCGACUAUAGAUUGUCCAAGAGCUUAGACAUAGCACAAGUUUGCUGCAGUGUUCAUGAGUACUUCUAAAAUAAGAAUUUGAGUAUUGGAUUAAACCCACGCUUAUUUGAAUCACUUCAUGGAUUUUAUCACGAGUGAUCGUAAGACGAUAAUAUCUUAUAUUCUUGAAACGGAGACAUAUAAUUGUUGUUUACAAGUCGGUUGUGCAUUGAUAAUACGUAAAACAUUAGUAACUUGAUGUUAUAAAACAUAUUGUUGUGUGUGAUUUGAUGAGUAAAUAUGACAAGCAUAUGAGUCAAAGUUUAUCCGUUCCUUUUACCCUUAAUGGGAUAAAAGUGAUAUAUGUGGGCCCAUCGAUGAUUUAGUGAUGAUAACCUAAGCGUUCGGUUAAGCCUGGACUAAGUUGAUCUGUUUAAUUGUAGUCUGAGUCAAUCAUCAGAAAUCGGAAAUCGGGAAACAAAUCUUGGACAAAGAGAAUGAUUAUAAUCCAUGUCUUAUGUCCAUACAAUAUCUUGUAGAACGGAGUAAUAUUUGAUCACUUAUCUAAAGGACGCGUCACUGAUAAGAUCAGAGUUUGAUGGCGGCUUUUGAAAGCUACGAUGGCUAAUCAUAUUUUGAAGUCAUACUUGCAAUAAUAGUCAUUAGACUUAUCCAAGUAGGAGACUGUUGGAUUAGGUGUUUAAGCUCAUAACUGUAUUUGGUAUGUACUUGAUUUGAUUAUGAGCAUUGUCCUUUUAGGUUGCCUUCACUCAUGCAACUUGAUAGGAUGAGAGGUGGAGAGAGAGUAGGAUUUAUUAUAUAAAUAAUAAAUUAGUGCUCAAAAUGAUUUUAUUAAUAUAUUACUACCUCCGUCCCAAAUGGAUAGUCUACUUUUGAUGUUUGAAGUCUUUUUUCUUCAACUUUGACCUUAAAUAUUUAUGUGUUUGAUAGAUAAUACUCGAUGCAAAAUAUAUGAAUGGAUUGUAUUUUAAAUGUGUUUUCAUUGUUAUAAGUUUUAUCAAGUAAUAUAUAACACAAAUAAAAAUAUUUAAGGUCAAAGUUGAAGAAAAAAGACUUUAAAAGUCAAAAGUGGACUAUUAAUUUGGGACGGAGGGAGUACAAGAUUGAUAUAUUAUUUGGAAUUCAUAUUAUUAAUUAGUAAUUAAUCAUAAGUUAAUUUGAUAUUAAUUUUGGGAAUAAAGGAACUAAUUAAUAAUUGAGGGACUUUCGUGCAAAUCAUUGGCAGUUGCAUAACUGGGCUGAUGGACUCUAUAGAGUGGAGUGGACGAAAUCCUAUAGGGAAGCCCUAUAGAUUUCAUCCAAGGGCUCUAAAGAGGGAGUCCAUGGGCUGCUUAAGCCUUAAGCAAGGAAUUAGGGUUUCCACCUGAAAACCCUAGCAACCACAACUAUAUAAAGACCCUUUACAUAUGAAUUCUAGCCCUAUGCAUCAUAAGAGUUGCCCUAGCCGAUUUCCCACAUCUCUCCAAGUUAUCCUUUGCAAUGAUUGUUUGUGACUCCAUUAGAGGUGCAACACUUGGGGAGCUAACAAGUGAGGUAAUCAUCUAAUCCUAUUUCAUAUGUCAAUUUCGAAGUUGUAUGCUAGUAUAUAGGAUUAUUGCUUUGGUGUUCAUAGUUGUAUUUUUAAUAGAGAAAAACUUAGAUCCAAAGCAAAUAGGGUUGCAUGUGCACUAUAGGAAUGUUGUAAUGCUCAAAACCCAUCAAAAGUAUUCGAUGCCAAAGCCAACCGAGGUCAGAAGUAGCCUUUGAUAGAAAGAAAACAGAAGGAAUUCCAACUAUUGGUUUUAUGUCUAGAGUGAAAAUAUCACCUUUCCUCUUCAACUUAACAAGACUUCCUUUGUAGCUUUGUUCGAUAUCACGCUUCCUUCCACCUCAAAAAGAACUUGGUUCUCAAUACCAACAACGAGUUGAGCUACACUUAUAAGGUUGUGCUUCUAACCUUCGAAAUAAGCGACUCUGUUCACAGUAAACUUCCCAUUCGUAACUUUCCCAUAUCCUUUCACUUUACACUUUUGGUUAUUCUCAAACUUCACAACUCAUGCAUUAUUCAUCUUCCUAAAAUCUGUCAGAUUCUCCUUCCUUUCUAUCAUGUGAUGCGAGCAACCACUAUCGAUAUACUUCCCAUUCGUAACUUUCUCAUAUCCUUUCACUUUACAGUUUUGGUUAUUCCCAAACUUCACAACUCAUGCAUUAUUCAACUUCCUAAAAUCACUCAGAUUCUCCUUCCUUCUGACACGAGCAAACACUAUUGAUAUACCAGUUUUCGUUAUAUUGCUCAUCACAUAAUACCUAUGAUUAUUCAAUGAGAUUUAGGUCCCCAAGACUUUUUGGGUCAUUGGAUAUUAGUGUGAAAAAUUAUGUGCAGUGACGAAUUAAAAAUCAAACUACGACUUUUGUUUUGAUUUUGUCAAUUAAAUCAAUUUCGUAAGUUUUGGGCACAAAAAUAUAAUCAUUCAUUUUCAAAGUUUCAACUUUGAUUUUCUCUUUUUUUCAUCCUCUUUCUUAGAAAAUCAACUUUUUUUUGUUUUAACUUUUUGCCAUUUUGACAUUUUUGACACUAAUUAUUGGGAUGAAGUACUUCCACUCAUCAAAUCAUUCAAGUAAUUCUCAUAAACCUUUUUGACUUGUUCUUGAGAAUACUUAUUCGAUUGAAAUUGCUUUCUUUUUCCUCAAACCAGUGACUGGAACUUUUCAUUUCAUUUUUUCCCUUGACAAAUGAAACAUUCGAUUUAUGCCUUGAAUCUAGAUUUGGAAAACACGGACCAACAAGUUUGAAUGGUACAUUUUUCUUUAAAACAUUUGUUGGUUUUGAAAAACUCAUUUGUGAAAAAGUUUUGUGUGAUUUUUGCUGAAACAAUUUUGAUAUCCAAAAUGAGAUUUAUGUUGAAAACCAUUUUGAUUUUGUGAAAAAUUCUUUUGAGCAUUUCUUUGAACAUGAUUUUGCUCUUUUUGAUCUUGUUUCAUUUUUGAACUUUGAUCAACAUUCGUCUGUCGAGAAAAAUCAUUUUGAUUCUUGUUAUCAACCUUGUUGUUAACAACUUUGGGAUAAACGUUCGAAGGUUCUUUUGGAACUUGAGUUUUAGGUUUUUGUGAAAACUUCUUUUCCUGAGUUUGUGGCGAUUUUUGUUUCGGUUUCUUUUCUUUUUGAAAAUCUCUUCUUUUAUUCCAAUAAGCUUUAUUUUUAGAAAUUUCGUCUUCUAAAACAGUCUUUUCAUCACCAUUACUUUUCUCUGCUUCGCCUUCGACAUCAGUCUUGACAAUUUUCACAACCCAAACACCAUUUUUGUUAUUUUUGUUUUCUUUAGGAAAAGAUUUUUUUUACUCUUUUGACGUUGGAAAGUUUUUAACCCUUGAUUAAGAUUAGUUUCCUCAACAUUUGAUUAGAAUAAAAACCUUCAUCAGUCACUUUUGAAUUAUCUUCUUUUAAUAAUUUAUUGAAUUUAGGAUUGGCAUUAUCCUCAUUUCCUUUUGUAACGAAAACUUGGUUUGGAAGUCCUUUAAUGAAUGUUGGAUAACGAACUGAGUUUGUUUCAAGAAAAUGUUUUCCUUUAUCUUUCAAAACUUUCGUGAAUUCCUCAGAAUCCUCAAAUACUUACAACUUGAGGAAUUUCUUUUUCAGAUGAAUCUUCAUCACUUUCACUUUCAUUAUUCGUUAUGUCUUCGAAAACUGGCUCUUAAGAAACACCAAUGCUGGUUGAAAAAGAUGAAUCAUCGUUUAGCUUCAUUUUUGAAUCAUCAUUUUCUUUGCUUUUAGCUAACUAACUGAUAUUAAUGACUGACAAUUUUGUGCAAUCAACACAUUCCUCUUCCUCAAUUUCAUUGAUAUUAUCAGAAUCAUCUUCGAUAUCAGCAAAAAUUUGUUGAGUACCAUGUGUCGAAUUCUCAUUUUUUUUUUAAAUCUUUACUUGUUCGUUUUUAGACAAGGUACCAUUCAUAAUAUUAACCAAAUCAUCAACAUCUAAGCAAUCAUUGAUAUUAACAACACCAUAAGCAUAAGAAUAAUUAGGAACUUGGUCGUAUUUAACUACUUUACUCUCACAAUCAAAAGUAGUUUCAUAAACUAAUUCAUGUUUGAAAUUUAUAAAACAGGAGUAACUUAAUAUGCUAUUCCUUGCAUACGUCAGAUGAAUGAUAAAUUUCAUUUAAUUUCCCAUACAGAUGUUUAGCAAUGUUGCGAUAAAUUUUUAUUUGCUUAAUCAACAUGCUAUAAUGACAUUUGUGAUUUUUAACUCUAAGCCUUCAAUCCUAGUGUUUUUCUCUUCCAAUUUAUCUCUUGUUUCGUAAAUCAUGAUCUUAGUUUUUGCCGCUUCCUUACUUAUAGAAAUCAACAUAUCAUUAGCGAAAAUAUCAUCAAAAAUAAAUUUCCUUUAGACAAAACUUCAAACAUGGUCCCUAUGGUAUCCGAAAAUAUCAAGUUUAGUCCUUAAGUUCAAAAAAUCUCACAGAUGGUCCCUAUAGUUUCAAAACUUUUAACAAAUGGUCCUUCCGCCUAACUCCGUCAGCUUUCUACCGUUAAGUGAGGGGCAUUUUCGUCAUUUCAAUACACAGGGACCAUUUAUGAGGUUUUCUCUAUUUAAAAAAAAAAGAAAAAAAAUAUAAUUAUUUAAUUAAAGGGCCCUACCCCUCUCUCUCUCUCUCUCUCUCUCUCUCUCUCUCUCUCCUGAUUUGUGACCCCAUCUGCAAAAAAACAAUCCCUGUGUCUUCUUCACCGUUUUCUUUUUACCAUUGUUGGAUCAUUCUAGCUUCAAAUGAAAUCCGGUUAAUAAGUUUCGACCAAACAAUCACCCACAUCAUCUUCUUCCUCGCCACUACGACUCAAAAAUAAAGAAAACCCCAAAUAUAUUUUUCCUCUUCCUCUCUCAUACACUAUCUCACGCAGGAUUUGGAAAGUCAAUCAUCUUCUUCCUGGAUUUGGUUUCACGUAGGAAAGUCACGACCCAUAAUAUGGGUCUCUUGUGUCGACUGAUCAAGAUAAGUGAACCACAAAAUAAAUAUAAGGAAACGAUGGUGGUGGUGGUCGAAUAUUCACAGUGGCAGGAUGUGGUGGCCAGUCGAAGUCCUUACGGUGGCAAUAACCCAAAAAAUGGUAGCAGGUGGUGAUGGGUUGUCGAGCUCUGGCGAAUCCAAGUCGCCGCCACCGACGAGUUCAACAAACUGAAAUUCCUAUCAUCUUCAUCCUCAACCACCUACACAAUCAAUUUUGAUUUGGUUUCUUCGUCAACCACAGGAAAUGGCCUAAAUCUUCGCCUCCACCAAGCACCAAACAUCACCGCUAAUUCGGUGACAAUCACCAUGACCACUGAUUUCACUUAUGAUCAACAAUGUGUUGUUUAUUUAGUUUUUUUUGAUUUGGGUGUUUGAUUCAUUUCCACCGGUGUAAAUUACUAGCACCAUGUUCUUAGAAAAACCUAAAACCUCCAACAACAAUGGAGGCAAAACCAAAUCCAACAGGAGAAAAGAGUUUAUCUAAAGCUCUAUCUGAAAAACUAUCUGAAAAAUUGUUACCUGUAUCACCUUUUCUUUCCCCAACUUUGUAGUUUGUAACCUCACAAGAUUCCAACAGUUAAAGUUCUUGUAACAGUAAUGAUAGAUUCUGAAAACUCAUUGGAUCUUGUAAUCUUUGACAAUUGCUUCAAAAUUGGGAUUUUAUCAUAAUCGGAUCGAAUGAAUUCUUUUAAGUCCUUUGAAACGAAUCAUAUUUUGAUUUGGUUGUUUUUUGUUCAUUUGGGUCUAAUUUUCUAGUGAAAUGUAAGGAAGAAGAAGACGGGUUUAAAUUUCAUCUCUAAAACUUGUUCUCCAUCUCUAAAACCUGUGAAAGAACACAUAUUCCAUGCAGAUCUUCUUCUUCAUCUGGAUUCUAAAACUGAUCAUGGAUCUCAUCACUCUGUUCUCCCCUCUGUUUUAUUGGAUUCAUCUGGGCCGUUCGUGGUAUACGCUUUUGGGUAUAUGUGUGAUCGAGUUAAAACUAGGUGUAUGUGUGUGUGUAUGUUUUGAGUUAUAGUUGUGUGUGUCUUUUUGAGUUGUAGGUGUGUGUUUUUUAUGAGUUGAGGUGUAUGUAUGUAUAUGUGAAAUGUUUGUUUAAGCUUUAAUGUGUUUUGAAAGGGAAGAAGAUGAAGUGCCUGUGUAUGUGUAUGUGUAAGAGAGAGAGAGAGAGGGUGGGGCCCUUUAAUUAAACAAUUAUAUUUUUUUCUUUUCUUUUUUUUAAAAUAGAGAAAACCUCAUAAAUGGUCCCUGUGUAUUGAAAUGACGGAAAUGCCCCUCACUUAACGGUAGAAAGCUGACGGAGUUAGGCGGAAGGACCAUUUGUUAAAAGUUUUGAAACCACAGGGACCAUCUGUGAGGUUUUUUGAACUUAAAAGACUAAACUUGAUAUUUUCAGAAACCACAGGUACCAUUUUUGAAGUUUUGUCUUUCCUUUAUCAUGUUUCCUUUCGUACUUUCUUUCUCUUCUUUUUGUUUUCUUUGAUUAAACUCGGGACCAUUUAUGAGGUUUUAGGUUUUUCUAAGAACAUGGUGCUAGUAAUUUACACCGGUGGAAAUGAAUCAAACACCCAAAUCAAAAAACCUAAAUAAAAAACACAUCGUUGAUCAUAAGUGAAAUCAAUGGUCAUGGUGAUUGUCACUGAAUUAACGGUGAUGUUUGGUGCUUGGUGGAGGCGACGAUUUAGGCCAUUUCCGUGGUUGACGAAGAAACCAAAUCAAAAUUGAAUGUGUAGGUGGUUGAGGAUGAAGAUGAUAGGAAUUUCAGUUUGUUGAACUCGUCAGUGGCAGCGACUUGGAUUCGCCAGAGCUCGACAACCCAUCACCACCUGCUACCAUUUUUUGGGUUAUUGCCACCGUAAGGACUUCGACUGGCCACCACAUCCUGCCACUGUGAAUAUUCGACCACCACCACCAUCGUUUCCUUAUAUUUAUUUUGUGGUUCACUUAUCUUGAUCAGUCGACACAAGAGACCCAUAUUAUGGGUCGUGACUUUCCUGCGUGAAACCAAAUCCAGGAAGAAGAUGAUUGACUUUCCAAAUCCUGCGUGAGAUAGUGUAUGAGAGAGGAAGAGGAAAAAUAUAUUUGGGGUUUUCUUUAUUUUUGAGUCGUAGUGGUGAGGAAGAAGAUGAUGUGGGUGAUUGUUUGGUCGAAACUUAUUAACCGGAUUUCAUUUGAAGCUAGAAUGAUCCAACAAUGGUAAAAAGAAAACGGUGAAGAAGACACAGGGAUUGUUUUUUUGCAGAUGGGGUCACAAAUCAGGAGAGAGAGAGAGAGAGAGAGAGAGAGAGAGAGAGAGGUGGGGCCCUUUAAUUAAAUAAUAUAUUUUUUUAAAUAGAGAAAACCUCAUAAAUGGUCCCUGUGUAUUGAAAUGACGAAAAUGCCCUCACUUAACGGUAGAAAACUAACGGAGUUAAGCGGAAGGACUAUUUGUUAAAAGUUUUUGAAGUUUUGUCUUUCCUUUAUCAUGUUUCCUUUCGUACUUUCUUUCUCUUCUUUUUGUUUUCUUUCUCGUGUCUCUCUACGUUCCCCAUCAACUCUAUCGCCGUUCACCACCACACCACUGUGUACCGUCGUCGUCGGCUUCGCAUUCGCAUUCGCCUCUCACCCACCUCCGCCUUCAUCCUCUCCACCGGUUGAGGCUACUUCGCCACACAACCAUCGCCACCAUCUGCCUCCACCACGACGCCACCUUCCUCGCCGAAGAGAGCAUCACCAGUGUCGACGACAUCUCUACCAUUAUUGCCAACGACAGCCUCCCUACCACUCCAUUUUGGGGAUUUUUAUCGUAAGAACCCUAAAUUCAUAAUUUUUUGGUUAGAUUUUAGUAAAAUCUUUGUAAUUAGUUUUUGGUUUUUUGUUAGUUAUCAAUUUCUAUGUUUCAUUGGUUUUGAAACACUUUGAUCAAGGAAGAGCAUCGAUGAUGUACUUUGAAUCUUUCACAACUGAUUAUUUGAACUGAAUACCGUAAUAAAUUUUACUUCACGUAUUUACUGAAUUUUUUGAUUUGGGGUUAGAAGAAACCUCAUCUCAGUUCAUACCUACUAGUUUCCAAUGUUAGAUUCUGUUUUUUGAUGCAAUACUUAACACAAACAAUUAUCAAAUUAAUCUGCACUCUGCAGCACUUUGUAAAUACAUUAUUACAGCCAGCAGUUUCUCUUGAUUAAAAAUUCAUCAUAGAAAAGAUUGCCCAUUUGACAUUCAAAUUUUAUGUUGAUAACAUAUUGUUCUUACAUGAACAAAGUACUUAUUAUUUAUUGGCAUUGUGAGAAGGAUAAAUUGUUUUGGAAUUUUGUAAGCCAUCUAAUGAAUUAGGGUAGGUGUUACUAAUUAUGAAAUAAGUGCUAAUAAUAGGAUUUUUUUUUUUGGUCAUUUCACAUUUUCUACAUCCCAAAUCCUUUGUAUAUAUACAAACCAAACAAAAAUAUACAAAAGACCGAGUUUGAAUUCCAUUUCAUUUCCUUCGAACCAAACACAUUGUAUAAUUGAAUUUCUUAACAUUAAAUGCAUGAUAGAAUUGAUCAAUCUGAUUUCAAUUAAAAAAAUCAUCAGGAUCAAGUAACUUUCAUGUCUUAACCUCCCAAGUGUAGAAUUGAGCUGCAUUGCACUAAUUCAUUUAUGCUAUUAUGGAUCAUGUUUCUUCAUAGUUCUAAUGCUCAAUUGUUGAAAAGUCUUAUAACUGAAAAUAUUUAUAUAAUUAUUAUGCAUGAGGAUUAUUUAUUAAUACCAAUAAAAUGAAACUUAUGGUCUUGAUGUCAUUAUAGCUUCUCUUCUUGAUUGCUAAUGAUAAUGGAGCUUUUGUAGUUUCUCCUCUCGAUUGCUAAAGAACAUUCCAUUUUUUGUUUCUUUGGACAUGCAGUGAUAGUAUAACAAGAUGGAUGACAAUGAUAGUCAUUUUAAAUCCAAGAGAAUUGUUUUUGUGACUGAACAAGUGAAAGAAGAACUGUCAAAGAAAGGAUACACCCACCUUGUCAUUCAAAUGGGUCAUGAAUCUCCUACAUCCCCCAAAAGGUAUAUUUAAUUAUGUUUUUAUAUUAAUUUACUUUUAGUUGAUUGAAUUAAAUUGAAUCUAAUUUGAUUGAAGCCAUAUCUAACGGACUACCGGAUAGAGUUUGACUUUUACGUGUUUGAGUUGACUUGCAAGUUGCAAUCAACAGCUAUGUAAAAAAAUUGUUAAUCCCUCAAUUGCCAUUUCAUUUUGAUAUAAACAUAUAUCGCUUGAGUACUUCAAUAUUCAAAGCAUAUUACCAAAUACCAAAGCAUAUUACCUCAGUGAAAGUUGGAUAUAUUAUUUCUUAGAUCAAGGACUCGUUGCAUUAUUUGGCCUUUUAUGCUUAGCAAACAAAAUAAACUUGAACUCUUUUUCCUUCUUUUUCAAACUAACCAUUGGUCCUGGAGGUAUAAUAUGUCUUUAGAGUAAAAUUAUAUCACAUAUUUCAUUGUAGAAGGGUUACAAAGGGUGGUUGAAUACAAUAUUUAGAAGAAAACAUAAUAUUUGUUGUUAAUAAACUUUAAAGGUUAAGUUGAUGACUUGUCGUAUAGUAUAUUUAGCUUUUAGAUAGAUGCCCUUUUAUGUAAUUUUACAUAUUUCAAAAGCUUCUAUCUACUUUUGCCAAACACUCGUAACAAAAGCUCUAGCUUCUGGUUACCAGCUAGUUUUGUCAAACACGCCCUAAACCUACAAGCAUUUAAAAAUGAAUUGUUUUACCAAGUGUUACAUGAUAAAAAAGAGAAACAAAAUAUAAUAAAGAUUUUAAGAAAGCAUAUAUACAUUAUGCCUUUUUCCAACCUUUAUGUUGUGUUUACGUAUAUACAUGCCACUUUGUUACUUGAUAAACAUGAAAGAUGUGAAUAGUUUAGAACUUAUUCUUAGAGCCGAAUUAAAAAAUCGAUUUUGUUACUUGAUAAACAUGAAAGAUGUGAAGACUUAUUCUUAGAGCCGAGUUAAAAAAUCGAUUGUUUGAUAAAGGUUAUGGAUAUGACUCCUAAUGGCAAAGACAAGCAUAUGUGGAAUUAUAAUUACGUUGCCCAUAAUAAAGUUUUUAGAAGCAAAGUAUUUACAUAUUUAAAAAACUGCAUAAAUUUAUAUUUGUAGAACAACAAUAUAAUAAAAUCCACAAGCACAUAUCUCUAGAUUUAAUAAAGCAUAAACAUCCACCAAUAAAUGAUCUUUAGAUAUAAUAAAUCAUAAACAUUCCGAAGCAUUUGAUGUAUUACCAGCAAAGCAAAGGUUAAUACAACUAUUUCGUAAACAAAGUACCGAAUGACAAAUUCAUGCAUUACAUGUAUUUGGGUAUGUUGUACAUAGAAGCCUAAAGAUAUAAAGUGAUAGCUUGAUGUGUGUUAUCUAGGUCAUGAUUUGUGUACAAUGUUAUAUUAUUUGCCAACGUAAUAACCGGGUGUCAUACAUGAUUAUAUAAACUUGAUAUAGGUUUGCAUGAGACAUCAUCAAUUUGAUUUUGUUUCUUUAGGAGGUUAACUUUUGAUGUUUAGAAUUGAAGUAUGUAAAAUACUUAUGGAUUUAGAACUACUUAUAUGUAAGUCUACCAACCUUUAUUGUUAGUAUUGAUCAAUAAAGAUCUAUCUAUAGGAAGUAUCAUCUAUGUACCAACUAUUAAUUGCUGUAAUUUCUAAUAUUCGGAGGAUACUACCAGUAAGUGCCACAUGUAUCUAAUAGUUGAGUUGAGCAUACAAAAACAAUUGUAUCAAAUAAAAUAUUAAAAGUUUUGCCUUAAAAGCUAUUGUAGCUUUACCCUACAUGUAGAUUUAGAGAUCCUUUUUGUAAAUUUUCCUAGUUUGACCACCCUCAAAGUCCUUUCUGCUGCCACAACAGCCCCCGCGGUGUGCAACUUGCAUUUUUUCUUACAUCAUUUGAAAUUUGAAUUACUAUACCACGUGACCACAUAAAACACACUAUUAUCAAACAUUUGGGAAAAAAAGUAGUGUACUAUUGAAAUUGAUCAAUUGAGAGGAGGGGCUCUUUAUGCAUUAUAUAAUUAAUAUAGCAAACUAGUCCACUUAUGUGAAUGGACUUGAAUCCUCAACUUUAGGAAGGGAGCACAACACUAGUAAAUUUAAUGGGUUACUUUUGAAAUCACAUCAUUUUGUUGAUUUCGGUUUACAAAAACGGAAGUCCUAUAUGAGUGGUAAAAUAGUCGUUUUUUUCACUUAUGUCGUUUAUUCAAUCCAUAAAACAAAUAUUAUUAUUAUUAUUUUUAUACAAUACUUAACUACAAAUACACAAUAUUUAUCGAUUCUAACACUAUAUUCACACAAUAGUUAAUGAGAAAAACAGAACAGAGCUUUUAGAUGUCAACAACUAAGUAUUUGAAAUGGUUGUGGAUUACAAACUACUUAUAAAUAUUUUUAAUUGCCAUUGUUGGCAUUAAGCUAUGAAGAUUUAUGUACGUGUAUGGCAACAUUAGCUGGGAGCGGGUAGCUUGUAGCGUUUUGUUAAACGUUACAUGAAGUAACAUUUGGAUUUGGAACGUUUUAUUUAAACUAAACGCUAGAAGCUUGUAGUGCAAAACAAGGUUUUUUGUUCAAAAUGGAGCGUUUUGUCAAACGCUAGAAGUAGAAGCUCGCAACCGCUCCAUGCCAAACACGCCUUUGUGGUACAAUUUAAUUGCUACCCUUCAUGGUAAUAAACAGACAUAUGAGGUGUUUAUAUAUAAUAGAUGUGAAAUUAGCUUACUAUAAUUGUUGUAAUUAUUAAUAUUAUUAAUUUUAGUCGGAAAAGCCACCAUAAAGAGAACUUGCAAAGCAUCAAAACAUUUUUUCCCAUGAAUAUAAUUGCUACGAGUGAGUGCGUUUUGUUUGCUUUUCUAUAUGUUGCACAAAUUUGAUCCUACAAACAUUUGAAAAAAUGAACUAUUAUACCAAGUGAUCACACGACAAAAAAAGGGAAACAAAAAAUAACGAGGCAUUUCGAAAAGGGCGGUGAUCCGUACACAAAACUUUUUAGCUCUAUACAACAAAUUAUGUUUUAUACAGUUAUACAGCACAAUCAUAUAAAUCAUAAAUUGUUGUGUAUGGUUAAAAAGGGUUAUGUACAAAUCACUACUCUUUUAAAAAACAUACCCAUAUAGGAUCGAGCCAAGAGUUGUAAGUAUUAACAACAAUAUAUGCAUUUUGGCACGAUGUUUCACAACAUUAUAAAAUAUGUGAAUAAUUGUGAAAUUGGAGUGAUCAUCAAAACAGAAUACACGUUGCAAUUAAGUGUUGAAACAACAUAUCAACAACUAAUAAGGAAUAAAGUCGUGCUACUUAAAUGUUCGAGUGGAGAAAGUGUAGUUAAAUCUCCUACUUAAUGAAGGGCGAGCACCAUAAAUCUAUCAUUUCAAAAUCCACUAAUCUUUGAUACCAUAUGUUUUUCUUUAAAAUUGGAUUUAGGUAUACAAUGUCAAUCACUUACUUACAAAACAAAAGAAUUCAAUGAUUUACCAUCUCAUUUGAAUAGCUAUUUGAUUGAAAAAAGAUUGAGAACUUAUAAUAAAUAUGUAGGGCCAUACCUAGUUAGAGUCCCUUUAACCAUCAAAUCCAAAUAGAAUAACAAUAUGAUCUUUAAAAACUACCAAAACAAGAGGUCGUUCUGAGCAGAAACUAAUUACUUAAAGAGUCAUCCUGUCAUGUGGUAGUUAUUGUGACCAUUUGUUGGUUGUUGAAGGCAUCUAGAUGUGUCUAGGUGAUGCAAGCAAUAAUCAGUUCAUUCAUAACUAUUCCUUCUACCUCUUUCGGCUUCGUGUUAUUAAUAAAAAAUCUCCCUAAGUAUUUUAUUCCUUUGUUAAACAAUAAUGUCAAUUUUUUUGCACUUACGAGUUAUUUUAAAUUGUGUAGUCGGAGGAGUUUACACUAUUGUUUAAUGAAUGAAUAAGAUGUUUAAGGAGGUUUCUUAUUAAUAAUACGGAGCUGAAAGAGGUAGAAAGAAUAGUUAUGGAUGACCUGUUCUUUUUCGCAUUACUUAACUGUAUCUAGCUAGGUGCCUUCGAUAUCUAACAAAAUAGCCACAAUAACUGCCAUAUGACAUGUUAGCUCUUUAAGCAAUUAGCUUCUCCUCUGGACGAUUUUUUAUAUGGGUGUUGUCUAUACGGAUCAUACUAUAUGCUAUUUGGAUUUGAUGGUUAUGGAACUAAUAAGACCUUACGUAUUUAUUAGAAUUUUUCAACCAUUUUUUUUUCAAUCAACAUGUAAUUCAAGUGAUUUGGUAGAUCAAUGUGUUGAAGUUUGUGCUUCAGCUGCUGUGUUUAAUUUCCAACAUUUUAGACUUUCUUUUUAUUUUUCUUAUUAGUUGUUUGACUGCUUCAAAUAAGUUGGUCAGUAGUUGCUUAUUUUUAGGAAGUUUAUUUGGUCAUGGAAAUAUUCCAUGUAAUCCCUUUUUUCACGUAUUAUCUGUUAGUUUUUUUAGCUGUAUUUAAAGUCUCUUCUGGCUCAAUAAAAUGUAAACUACACAACAAUUUUUUAUUAUUCUUUCUCUUGUACUUCCAUUUUCUUCAAAACUCCCCGAUAAAAUUGGUAUCAAAGCUUUCUUCCUAAGAUCCCAUGGAUUCAGAAGUACCUUUCACUUUAUUUACUCCACAAGCUUUCAAAGGUGAAGGUUAUCAUGUCUCGGAAGCAAGGAUGGAGGCUUAUCCGGAGGCAAAUGAUCUCUGGGAAGCUGUUGAAGAGGACUACGAAGAUCCCCCAUUGCCUGCAAAUCCAACCAUGCCGUAGAUAAAGGCUCAUAAGGAGAAGAAAACAAGAAAGUCAAAGGAAAGAGCUACGUUAUUUGCAACUGUCUCACAAGAAAUUUUCCUCAGGAUUAUGACACUCAAAUCGACAUUUAGGGUUUGGAAUUUCUUGAAGAGUAUAAAAGAGAUGAAAGGAUAAAAGGAAUGCGUAUUCUCAACCUCAUACCAUAAUUUGAACUUCAAAGGAUGAAGGAUUCAGAGACAAUCAAAGAGUAUUCAGACAAAUUACUCAACCUUGCUAACAAAGUAAGACUACUUUUGAAUUUCCCGAUUCCAGAAUUGUUCAAAAAAUUCUUGUAACUGUUCUUGACAGUUUUGAAGCAACUAUUUCCUCAUUGGAAAAUACAAAAGAUCUGUCAAAACUUAGUUUGGUAGAAUUGAUAAAUGCUUUGCAAGCAUAUGAACAUAGAAUACUCAUGAGGUCUGAAGGAUCUGUUGAAGGUGCAUUAAUUGUGAAAGCUUAGUCCAGUCAAGGAGGAAAAGGAAAAAAUAUGAGAAGAACAAGAAGGGACGUUCAGGUUAUGAUUCUCUUAACACCAAUAAGGGAUCAAAAUCUGACUGCUCUCCUUGUAAACAUUGUGGAAGAAAGGGUAAUGGACCUUCCAAAUGUUUUUUUUUUUUUUUUUGAAAGAGCAUGGACCUUCCAAAUGUUGGAGAACCCAAACUAACAAUGUGAAAAAUUUCAAAAAUGGGACAUCAUCAAAGGAUUUGCAAAAGAACAUCCAGCAAAACACAGUCAUACAAGAAAAUUUUCAGCAAAAGAAUGUUGCUCAAGUUGCUGAUGAAGAAGAGGAGGAGCAAUUCUUUGUAGCAUCUUGCUUCCAAGUAGUCAUUCAAGUGAGAGAUGGGUCAUUGAUAGUGGUUGUACAUAUGAUGACUUAUGACCAAGAACUCUUCAAGGAAUUGGAUACUUCAGUGGUUUCCAAAGUAAAAGUUGGUGACGGAAAGUACAUUAUUGCUAAGGGGGAAGGCACUGUGGCAAUCGAAAGCAUUUCAGGUACAAAACUUAUUCAAGAUGUGUUAUUUGUACCCGAUCUAGAUCAAAAUUUGUUGAGUGUUGGGUAGUUGAUUGAAAACGGUUUCAAAGUACACUUUGAAUUAGAUCAUUGUUUAAUCCAAACUUCAAAUAACAAUGAUUUACUCAAAGUAAAGAUGAAAAGGAGGAACUUUGCACUUGAUCCACUGGAGGAGGAGCAAGCUGUUUUUUAUGCAUUCGGAGUCCAGUGUUAUCGAUGGCGAUAGCGAGGGCAUAGCGACAACCUAUCGCCAUGCUAUAUAGCGAUAGCGAUGAAAUAGCGAUGACUAUUUCAUUUUUAGAAAAUACCUUCACCUAAUUAGCAAUUAUAACUAAUAAAUAAGCUAAAAACCCCAAAGACUAUUAGUUCAACUAAGUUCUAAAACAUGCAUAUUACAAAAAAAAAAAAAAAAGAACAAGUAUUAAUCUUAGACUUUAAAAUACGAUUCACAAAUCAUCCAACUCCUCGUAUACGGGCUCAUCAUCCACUUCUUCUUCUACAACCUCUUUAUAAGCCCCAACAUCAUUUUCAAAAGCAAGGUGCGGUUGUAGAUGUAACUAUUGACCGCAAUUACUCUAUCAAGUGUCUUUUUAAGAUGAGGUAGUUUAAAUAUGUCAUCACGCAUCAAAUCGAUGCAAUGCGCCGCACACGGAGUCUAAUAAAUAUGUGGAUAUUUUUCUUCCACAAGUCGACCGGCUAAAACGUUGUUGCUAGCACUAUUGUUACAAUCUGAACCACAUUUUACGGGCCGUUUUUUUUUAUGAUUUGGUCAAACAAUUUGAACAAAUAUUCACCUGCAAAAAACAGGAAAAAACCGGCCCGAAAAACGUGGUGAAUAUUUGUUCAAGGAAUUGGAUACUUCAGUAGUUUCCAAAGUAAAGGUUGGUGACGGAAAAUACAUUAUUGCUAAGGGGGAUGGCACUGUGGCAAUCGAAAGCAUUUCAGGUACAAAACUUAUUCAAGAUGUGUUAUUUGUACCCGAUCUAGAUCAAAAUUUGUUGAGUGUUGGGUAGUUGAUUGAAAACGGUUUCAAAGUACACUUUGAAUUAGAUCAUUGUUUAAUCAAAACUUCAAAUAACAAUGAUUUAUUCAAAGUAAAGAUGAAAAGGAGGAGCUUUGCACUUGAUCCAUUGGAGGAGGAGCAAGCUGUUUUUUAUGCAUUUGGAGUCCAGUGUUAUCGAUGGCGAUAGCGAGGGCAUAGCGACAACCUAUCGCCAUGCUAUAUAGCGAUAGCGAUGAAAUAGCGACGACUAUUUCAUUUUUAGAAAAUACCUAUUAAAAAUUAAUAUUACUUUUAUCUUCACCUAAUUAGCAAUUAUAACUAAUAAAUAAGCUAAAAACCCCAAAGACUAUUAGUUCAACUAAGUUCUAAAACAUGCAUAUUACAAAAAAAAAAAAAGAACAAGUAUUAAUCUUAGACUUUAAAAUAUGAUUCACAAAUCAUCCAACUCCUCGUAUACGGGCUCAUCAUCCACUUCUUCUUCUACAACAUCUUUAUAAGCCCCAACAUCAUUUUCCUCUUCAUCUUCGUCUAUCAAUUGUGGUCCUCUAGAUCGCGAGCUCGACUCGGCGCCCUCUUUCCUCCUACUCGUUCUUCUUGUAGCAUAAGGCUCCUCAUCCACCCCCAUAGCCUCCGCAACUACAUCCCAUGUCAAGUUAUCAGAAAAUUUGAACAAAUUUUUUCCUGUUUUUUGCAGGUGAAUAUUUGUUCAAAUUGUUUGACCACUUCAUAAAAAAACCGGCCCGGAAAAUGUGGUUUAGAUUGUUACAGAUAGUGCUAGCAACAACGUUUUAGCCGGUUGACUUGUGGAAGAAAAAUAUCCACAUAUUUAUUGGACUCCGUGUGCGGCGCAUUGCAUUGAUUUGAUGCGUGAGGACAUAUUUAAAUUACCUCAUCUUAAAAAGACACUUGAUAGAGCAAUUGCGGUCAAUAGUUACAUCUACAACCACACCUUACUCUUGAAUAUGAUGAGAGAUUUCACGGGCCAAAGGGAUAUGGUUAGACCCGCAAAGACCCGGUUUGCGACUGCCUUCAUAACUUUGAAUUGCUUUAGAAAUCAUAAGAAAAAUUUGAAGAAGAUGUUCGCAUCUGAAGCGUGGAACAAAAGCAAGUUCCCGGGCGAGGCGUGAGAAGGAGGAAGUCAAACGGCUAACUCUAUAUUCUCUCCUAGUUUUUGGACCAAUAUAGAUAUUGCGGUCAAAAUUGGUGACCCUUUAUUAAUGGUGCUUCGAUUGGUAGAUAGUGAAAAAAAGUCUUCUAUGGGAUACAUCUAUGAAGCCAUGGAUAGAGCAAAUGAAAGAAUUGCCUCGUCUUUCAACAACAAAGAAGACAAGUAUAAACAAAAUUUUGAAAUAAUCGAUAAGAGGUGGUAUUGUCAACUACACCAAGAUUUACACGCGGUUGCCCACUAUUUGAAUCCGGGAUUAUAUUACAACAACAGGAGUGUGGAAGAUGAUAGUGAGGUAAUUACGGGAUUGAUAGCAUGCAUAUAUAAAUUGUCACUGUCAGAAGAGGAUGAGUUGAAGAUUCACACUGCGUUACCUAUAUAUAGAGGUGCACAAGGGAUUUUUGGGAUUCCGAUGGCUAAAAGAAUGAGAUCAAUGCUUUCAUCGGCGGAGUGGUGGAUGCAAUAUGGAUCGUCCACACCGACACUUAAGAAGUUUGCUAUUAAGGUGUUAAGUCUUACAUGUAGCUCAUCAGGAUGUGAACGUAAUUGGAGCGUAUUUGAACAAGUAAGUUAUAAUAAAUAAUAUUAUGUUUAAAAUAAUUAUAAAUAUACAAAUAUGUUAUAAUAAAUAAUAUUUACUAAUGUUUAUUUUUUAUUUUUAUAGCUCCAUUCCAAAAAAAGAAACCGACUUGAAUGGAAAAAGCUAAAUGAUUUAGGUUACAUAAAAUACGAGUAGGAGGAAAGAGGGUGCCGAGUCGAGCUCGCGAUCUAGAAGACCACAAUUGAUAGACAAAGAUGAAGAGGAAAAUGAUGUUGGGGCUUAUAAAGAGGUUGUAGAAGAAGAAGUGGAUGAUGAGCCUGUAUACGAGGAGUUGGAUGAUUUGUGAAUCGUAUUUUAAAGUCAAAGAUUGAUACUUGUUCUUUUUUUUUUUUUUUUUUUUUUUUUUUUUUUUUUUUUUUUUCUUUGGGGGGUUUUUAGCUUAUUUAUUAGUUAUAAUUGCUAAUUAGGUGAAGGUUAAAGUAAUAUUAAUUUCUAAUAGGUAUUUUUUAAAAAUGAAAUAGCCGUCGCUAUUUCAUCGCUAUCGCUAUAUAGCGUGGCGAUAGGUUGUUGCUAUGCCCUCGCUAUCGCCGUCGAUAACUUUGAUUACAUCCAAAGGCCCUUUCACGGAUCUUUUAGUGGUUGCAGUUGAGCCACUCGACGAAAUACGCCUCUUGCCUUUCUAUUGGAAAAACUCACUAUUAGUUGUAGCUUCUUCAUCUUCAUCUAUAUCUACAACAUCAUCAUCAAAGUGGGGUAUUUUGUUCGUUGCUUCUUUAUCUUGUUUCUUUUUAUCAGAAGCAUCUAUAAAAAGUUUUUGUAUUUCUAUCGGAACUCUCGGACAUUUUAGUACUUGGGCGGAAUCACCAGCAAGGUGGUGCUUGUGUCUUGUAAUCCCACCCUUGGUUGUUUUAUUACAAAAAGUACAUAUCAUCUUCUGAUUACCCUUUCCUUCAACUGCUGUCCCGUAUUGCCAUCCCGGAUCAUUACUAGCCAUAUCUAUUUCAAAAACAAAUCAAAGAUAAAGUUACACAAUUAAGUGAUAUUAAUGACAAGUAUAUAAAAAUUAGAUACAUAUCGGUUAAUCAGUUAAUAAAUACAUAACUGAUUAAGUUAAUAGAUGCAUAACUAAGUAAGUUAAUCAGUUAAUUAGUUAAUAAACAAGUGAAUAAUUGCAUAAUUAGCUAAGUUGAGACACAAUCACUACAUUACAAUAUUACAUUCAUGCAUAUUUCAAAGAAACUUCCUGCAUUGCAUCUUUCAUUAACAAUACAACUUUAAUUAAAAAUUCAGGGUAUCAAUGUAUCAUAUACAACAUUAAACUAAUACCUAUACUAAAGUAAUACUAAACCCAUAACUAAACAAUUAACUACACCCAUACAGAGUAUUAAGAUUUACAGUUGAAGGCUUGAUUCUUGAAGCUGAUGGAAAAAUACACACCUUUGCAGCUGAUGGAGAGAAGGACCGGUGCAAGUCAGUUGGGAGACUUGAAGUGUCGACUGAAGUCACUGAACCGGAGAAAUCACAGAGGAACUGCCGAUCAGAAGAGGGGCGAUCGCAAUUAAAGGUCGACCGGUCGAGAAAAAAGAUGCGACUGAGAAGCGAACGUUGGAGACUUGUAUCGGAUGCUAUUUUGACUUAGUCAACAAAAAACCCUAAUACGGGCCUUUUUAUACCAUUUAAAAAAAAGCCACCGAUCGCUAUGGUCGCUAUACAGUCGCUAUGGAACCUAUGGCGACACAUGGACGCCUCGCCUCGCCAAACGCCAUAGCGGGCGCCAUGGUCGCUAUUGAUAACGCUGUCGGAGUCCAUGCUGAAGUCUGGCAUAAAAGGCUAGGACAUUUCAAUCAUAAAGCUGUGGUGAACCUCCAAAGAAAGGAGUUGGUUCAAGCUCUUCCCUGCCUUGAAUCUCAAAAUUAUAGAUAGUGGAACUUGCCAAUAGGAAAGCAAUUGAGACUUCUAUUCAAGCAAUCAAUCUAGAGAGCUACUGAAAAGCUUCAAUUGAUACACACAGAUGUGUGUAGACCUCAAAAAACCCCAUCUCUCAAUGGAAGUAGGUACUUUCUUAUCUUCAUUGAUGAUUUUUCCUGGAUGUGUUGGAUCUACUUUCUCAAAUUCAAGUCAGAGCAAGGCUACUGGUGUAUUUUGGAAACUCAAAAAAUUGGAUUGAAACACAAAGCGACCAUAAAUUUGAGCUUUGAGGUCUGAUAAUGGCAAGGAGUACACCUCCGAUCAAAGUAUUUGGAUGCUUGUGUUUUGUUUAUGUUCCUCAGAUUAAAAGGGACAAAUUGGAUAAAAAAGCACAAGCAGGGAUCUUCAUUGGCUACAGCACAACCUCCAAGGCUUAUAGAAUUUUCCAGCCAAACACAAAGAAAAUUCUAACAAGUAGAGAUGUGCAUUUCAUGGAAAAUGAUGAAUGCAAGUGGGAAGGAAAUCAGGUAGCCACUGUUCCAGAUUAACCUUCAAAAUCACAGCUCAAAGAAGAUGAAUUAGUUGAUGAUACUCGUGUAAGAGGUAUGAGAUUACUUUCUGAUAUUUACCAAAGAUGCAACGUGACUUUACUUGAACGAAAUGAUUUUUGGGAAGCUGGGAAGAAUCCAAAAUGUGUUAUUGCAAUGAAGGAAGAACUCAUGAUGAUCGACAAAAAUAAGACAUGGAAGUUGGUAAAAAGACCCACCGAUAGAAAAGUGAUUGGAGUCGAGUGGGUAUUUAGAACCAAAUUGAAUCCCGAUGGCUCAAUCAAUAAACUAUGGUGUUGACUUUUCUGACACUUUCGCUCCUGUUGCAAGAUUAGGUACUCUAAGAUUGUUACUAGCAAUCGCUGCAGAAAAAGGAUGGAAAGUCUAUCAACUUGAUGUUAAGUCAGCCUUUUUAAAUGGUUACUUGGAAGAGGAGAUUUAUGUUGCGCAACCUGAGGGAUUUUCUGUAAAAGGACAAGAGGAUGAUGUGUAGGCCUUGUAUGGCCUGAAACAGGCUCCAAGAGCAUGGUAUAGCCGAAUUGAAGAACACUUGAGGCUGUUAGGGUUCAAAAGAAGUCUAAAUGAAGCAACUCUCUACAUCAAAGGUGAUAAAAUCAAUUUUAUGUUCAAAAGUUGGUCGGUAGUUGCUUAUUUUUAGGAAGUUUAUUUGGUCAUGGAAAUAUUCCAUGUAAUCCCUUAUUUCACGUAUUAUCUGUUAGUUUUUUUAGCUGUAUUUAAAGUCUCUUCUGGCUCAAUAAAAUAUAGACUACACAACAAUUUUUUAUUAUUCUUUCUUCCGUACUUUCAUUUUCUUCAAAACUCCCCAACACAAUGUUUCUUAAUUUUCGUAUAAGUAUAAUGUUGAUAACGUAUACCUCAUCCAAUUUUGAGGAAAAAAAUACGACAUUUUUAUGGUGUAGUCACUUUAAUAGUUUACUUUUCAAAAGCAUGUAAGAUCAAAUUUGUGCAACACAGAGAAAGACAAUUGUUUUCAACAAAUAAACACCAAAAACAUAUAGAAAAAGGAUUACAAAUCAGCCCGACGAUUAUUCAAUCAAAAACACAUAGUAAAAAAGAUUUCAACAAAUAAUCUAAGGUUUACAUCUUUCCCAUGAUUAUAUCUAUAAAAAUCAAAAUGAAGGAACAAUUAUUCAAUCAAAAUCAAAAUUAGAACAAUAACCAAUAACUCAUUUAACAAUUAACAAUAUGUGAAAACUAAAAAAUGAAAAAAGUAACCUGAAAUCAAAAGUGAUUAAGUCAAGUGAAAACAAAAAUAAAAAAUAAAACAAUAACCAAAUAUAUCUUUGUUUUCAGUUUUGUUUGAAGCAUAACCAAAUCAAUUUUUUUUCUAUUCCUGUUCGGUGUCCUAGAGCUUACAUUAAAUCAUAACUGUCAACGAUUAAUUUAAUCCAAAACUUUCAAGAUGUAGUCAUGUAGACAUAUCAUUAUGCUUAUUUAUUACACUGUAGCUAGAUUUAGAAAAAGGUUAUUAAUUGGCAAAUUGACAGCCAAGUUAAAAAAAAAACUCUAAUUCCUAAUUUGGAGUUUGGACCAAGAGAAUCAGAAAAAAAAAGUAAUGGAGAGAAUUAGGGAAACUCAAAAACAGCAAACAUCAGCAGCAAUACAACACAACAAUCAAUAAUCAAAAGAAAGAACAAGAGAACUAGAAAAGAAAGAACAGGAUUCGGGAAUCGGGAUUCCAUACCUGAUUUCUGUGAAUGGCGACUUGGCGAUGGCAAAUGGCAAGAGUGAGACCAGGCGGCAGGCGAGACAGCAACACAAUCACACAAACGAGACAGCAACACAAUCACACAAACGAGACAGCAGACAAGAAAGCGACACAUCGAUUGGCGAAUUGGGCAAUUGGCAUGAAUCGAUUUUGAUUUCUUAAAGAAUCGUCGCUUGGAGAAUUCGUCUAUUGGAGCCUGUGAGGAAUCGGGAGGGGCCAAAGCCUAAGUUUGGAAAUAGUAGGCCUUUAACUAUUUUUUUAAACUAUAAUUUCUACUUCUAGCCCGGGGAGGCCACUACCCCUCCUGUCCCCAAAGAAACUUCGUCCCUGAGCCAUACCGAAGACCUGAUGAUUCAAAGGAACUGGCGAAGAGUUAAGGCUCAGCAAAGAACCUUUUAUGUUUUGAGUUACACCGAAGAGGAGGAGUCGACCGAAGAAUAAAGAUUGCUUAGUUGUCUUUUCACAGAUAGUACAAUGAUUAGCUAUAUGCUGACAUUUCUUGUAAGACUAUACAAAUCAGUCGUAGGCAUGGGCAGUAUGGCCGCCCUAGCUAUUCUUAUUUUAUAUUUUAUCAUGUACUUUUUUUCUCUUUAAAUAGAUGAUCAUGUUGAUCAAUCUAAACACACCGGUUACUCUUAUUUUAUAUUUUAUCAUGUACUGUUUUGCUCUUUAAAUAGAUGAUCAUGUUGAUCAAUCUAAACACACCUUCACUUCCAUUAUACUUCCUGUGUGUAUUUGAAAUAUUGAAAUACAAAAGCCUCUUUCUCAGAUUAUCUCUUAUCUUAUGUUGUUCAUCAAUUACUAACUUGGUCUUGACUGCAAGCCUUGUUACAAUUCAACUAAGUUUUAUUGUUUAGCUUGUUAAAAAAAUCCAUUGAGAUUAACUUAUUCCACAUCUAUCUCAAAUAUUAUUCAAAAGUUAAGUUUUUCUUCUCUCAACAAUUGGUAUCAGAGCAAUAUUGGUUGCUUUUUAAUUUUCUUUUAAAACCGAACUUGUUUUCAAAAGAAAAACUUUGAUUUAAAAAGCGUUCUAUACCGUUUAGCUCAUCUUUUUAAAUCUAAGGAAAAUAGCACAAGCUUAUUCUAUAAAUAUAUUUAACUGAGGUUCAGAUAAAGCUCCAAUACUCGUUGCAAGUGAAUACCAUCAUUGAUCUUAAAGAAUGGAGAGAUAUCUAAGAAGACUUGGAAAGGACAUUUGAAGAUCUGUAGAAGAAGGACCACAUGUUCAUAUUCUCAAACCCAUUUUCACUGACGGUGUCCAGGUUAGGUUAGACUUGGAGGAGGUCAGAUCGCCAUGACUACACCCACCAACGAUGAUAUUAAAAAAAUGGAGAAAGAUUCUAUAGCCAUCUAUGAAAUCUCAUGUGGUGUUUCUCCAGAUAGUAUCGAUAUCAUCAUUAAUUGUAAAUUUGCAAAAGAAAUUUGGGAUAUACUAAAAAAUCUUUAUAAAGGUAUUGAACAAACACAAGACAAGAAGCUCACCAUUGCACUCAACGAGUUCAACAACUUCAAAGCACUACCUGGUGAAAGUCUUGAUGAUUCCUUCAAAAGAUUCAACCUUAUUGUUACAAGAUGUCAAACGUUGGUACAGUCAGAAGCAACAAUGAAACAAACCUAUGAUCUUAGAAUUAUAAAAAUUUUCGCCUUCUCUCUCUUCUUUCUCUCUCUUCCCCUGAUUCUCUCUAUCGGUGGUGCGAUUUAGUUUGUGUUUCACCGGUGCUGUUUCUCCGGUGUUCCUCUUUUCAUCGUUGAAGCAUUUUCUCAUCCCAUUUCUGGUGUGCUGAUGGGUGCUUCUUCUAAGAAAGACCGAUUGAAGGAUGUGAAAGUGAAGCCUCCUGAUAAGAGUGCUGCUGUUCGUUUUGUGAUGACGGAAGUUGAUUUGAGUGAGGUUGUUCCGCCUGGGGUGGUUGAGCAAUCUUCAGCUACCAUUUACAUAUCUAGAAGGAAGCCAAGUGCAUCGGGAGCUGUUGCUACUAGUAUUAGCAAGUCGGAAUGGAAAUUUGAUGGGAAGGUUUAUGCUGAAAGGAAAUUGAGGCGAAAUGGAAAUGAUAAUAGUAGUCCAAUGGAGGCGGUGGAGUAUUAUAAAGAGGAAGUUUCUGAGGAUGAAACUGAGGGUGAUUCAGAUUCGGUUUCAUCUUGGGAAUCAGAUGCUAGCAUUUCGGUAUCUGGAAAUCGCGCUAUACUGAAGGAUCUUGUGGCGGGUGAAGUAGAUGUGUUGAAGACUGUUGGAAUUAAUGAUGCCUCCAUUCCUAUAGUGUUGCCAAGGGAAUCAAAUGUGAGUUUAUCGAUGGCUGGAGAUCGUGUUAUUGCUCAGGAAUCUAAAGAUGUUGAGUUUAUUAAGGUGAAAGGGGAUGGGAUUUGUGAGAUUUCGAUCCCUUCAGGUAAUACUGCUGCUUUAUUGAAGAAUUGGAAUGGAUCUAAGUCUGAUGAGGUUGUUUUAAGUCCUAAUUCAGAGUUAAAUCUGGUUACGAAUCAAAUGAUGUUGGCUAAUCCUACUAUUACUGUUGUAGAUGAGUCUAAAUAUGUGAAUUCUGAGUCUGGUAGUGGAAACACUGUGGAAUCUAGGGGUGAGGUGGUUGGAAAGGGUAAUAUCAAGUCGAGUGAUGAAUUUGUUCCUGGGAUAGGAUUUAGUUUUCUUAAUGAUUUGAAAAAUAAUAAUGCUAAGCAGGAAAUGAUGCAAGUGGAUUCGAAUGUAGUUACUAAAGAUGAUCUUUCUUAUUUGAAUAACCAAGUUAUUUGGAAUGAAAGUGGGAGUGUGAUUGUGGAAUCUGAGAGUGAUUCUAGUGAUGAGGAAGAUUUGAUUGAUGAUGGCAAAGGAAAUGGUUAGGAGAAUUUAGAAUCUUUAGAGUUUUUGAAGGCUGGCUCAGUUAUUAAUAGUAUUAAUUUAGAGCCCUCUAUUUUGGGAGAUGGAAAGAAGAUCAAUAAAGGUGUUGUUGAUGGGAAGAUUGGUUAUGAUAGAGAACAGGUAGAAUUGGGGAUUGAUAUGAAAAUGCAGUCUUAUGCAGGGGUGUUAAAAGGGAAGGUCCAUAGAGGGAAAAUUGAAGUGAAAUUUAUGCCUCAAGUUGAUGGAAAUGCUGAUGGUCCGGUGAUUAUUCCUAUAGAGAAUUUGAAGAAGGCAAGUUUACCUUAUUCUAAUACUCUGUAUGGAUAUUUGUUAGACAAACGUAUUUCAUUUCCUGCUGUCCAAAAAGAGUUAAAGAGAAUAUGGAGGAAUUGUGGGCUGGAAGAUAUGUUUAUGAAUAGCAAAGGAUUUUUUUUCUUUAAGUUCAGUGAUGAAGUUGCUUUGCAAAACAUUUUGGAUGGUAGUCCUUGGAUUUUGUUUGAUAAAAUUCCUUUAUUUCUGCAAAGAUGGAGGCCGGGACUUACCCUUACCAAAAAUAGUCAUGACAAGAUUCCAGUUUGGGUUAAGAUUUUUGACCUUCCUUUGGAAGUUUGGAGUGGGGAAAAUCUCUGCAUUGUUGCUAGUAAGUUGGGUAUUCCAUUAGCUUUUGAUUCAUUUACUGAGGAGAUGUGUUUGAACCAUAAGGGACGAAAUGCGUAUGCUAGAAUGUUGACUGAAAUGUCUGCUGAUAUUGUUUGGAAGAAUAGCAUUGAUAUUUGUACUUGGGAUUUUGUUACGGAGAAGGUUGUUAGUCAGUGUUUCCAUGUGGAGUAUGCUUGGAAUCCUUCUAGAUGUUCACAUUGUAAAGUUUUUGGGCAUGAGUAUAAAGUUUGUGCUGUAGCUAUGAUAGUUGAUAGUGUGACUAAGGAAGGUGAAAAGAUCAAUAAUAAUAAGGAGAUAAAAGGUAAAACAAUUAUGGAUGAAGAGGGGUUUGUUGAAGUUUAUAAAAAAAGAGGUAAUGGAGGUAAUGUGGUGGGGAGUAGUGGAGUAAAAGAUAGGGUUCACACUAAGUAUAAUCAGUUUAAUGGGGCAAACAAUGGAAGUGGUAGAAAUGGUAAUAACAAUAGGGGGAGAGGUGGAUUUCAAGCAGGUAAUGGUCAAGGGCAGAAUAGGAAUUGGGUGAAUAGGAGUGUAAGUCAAUGGAAUAUGGAGAAGAAUAAAGUGUUUGAAGAUACUACUAACUUGGUGAAUGAGAGUUUAAUUCCGAAUGUUUCUGUGAAGGGCAAAACUGGAAUGAAUUCAUCGAAUAAUAAUAAUAUGGAUAAUAAGGAGAAAUUAAAGGAUGGUAUUAUUGUGAAGAAGGGAGGUGUUAAAAAGAGUAUAUCAAAUAAUCGAUUUGAUGUGUUAGGGUCGAUUGUGGAAGAUUUUUUGGAAAAAAUGGAAGAGGAUGAUGUGAUCUCUGGGAAAGGGACAUUGGGUUCUAUGAAUCUGAAUUCGGAGUUGAAUAGCAAGGAUGUGAAUAAAAUGGAUGGGGUUGUUUCUCAGGCAUUAGAGGAGGUUAAUGCCAAUAUUCCAAUUAUUGUUUAAUGAUGAAUAUCGGUGCUUGGAACAUUAGAGGGUUAAAUAAAAAAAUUAAACAAAAAAAGGUGAUUGAGGUGAUUAAGGGUAAUAAACUUGGGAUAUGUGCUGUGUUGGAGACGCAUGUGAAGGAUUGGAAUCUGUCUAGUAUUUGUUCUAGAGUUUUUGGUAACUGGAAGUGGGUGUCGAAUUCUUCUGAAUGUUGCAGUGGAGUGAGAAUUAUUGUUGGAUGGGACUCAAAUCUCUUUGAUGUGAUGAUGCUGAGUCAGUCGGAUCAGGUUAUGCACUUUUUUGUGAGAUUUCUAGAAAAUAAUUGUGAGUUUUUUAUUUCUUUUUGUCUAUGCUGCUUCAAAAUACAUUGACAGAAGAGUGUUAUGGAAGAAUUUAGAAAAACAUAGAGUGGUUGUUGAUAAUAAGGCUUGGGCUUCAUUGGGAGAUUUUAAUGUUGCUAUGAAGCUUUCUGAGUGCUCUAUGAGUUCUUCUAAAAUGCCAGAAGGGGUUGCUGAUUUCUUAGAUUGCAUCAAUGUGAUUGAAGUUGAGGAUAUUAAUUGUUCUGGGCUUCAAUUCACUUGGUCUAAAUCUCCUAAAGGCGGGAAUGGCAUUCUGAAGAAAUUGGAUAGAGUGAUGGCUAAUGUUAAAUUUUUUUGAUGAGUAUCCUAUGGCGCAUGCUAUGUUUAAACCUUAUAGAAUUUCGGAUCAUAGCCCGACUAUUUUGAAUAUUCCUUUGAAUUUGCAUAAAAGAUAUCAUUCGUUUAAGUUUGUUAAUUUUGUUGUGGAUAAAAAGGAAUUUUUGCCAUCAGUUAAGGAAGUUUGGGAAAGAGAUGUUAAAGGGGGUUUUAUGUUUAAAGUUACUCAAAAGCUUGGUAUGUUGAAGAAGCCAUGUCGUAGAUUGUAUUAUAUGUACAAUUGUUCUGGGAAGAGAUUGCAUGAUUUAAGAAGAUUAUUGGAUGAGAAGCAAGUUGAGUUGGAUGGUGAUCCUUUUAAUUAUGUCAUUAGGGAGGAUCAUACUAGAAGACUGACUGAGUAUUUGGAGGUUUUUGAAGAUGAGGAAAAGAUUUUGCUGCAAAAAUCUAAGAUCAAUUGGCUCAAAGAAGGAGAUAGGAACUCUAAGUUUUUUCACAAAAUUGUCAAUUGAAUAAGAAGCGUAUUUCUGCGGUGUUGGAUGAAGAGGGAAGAUGGGUUAGGGGUUUGGGCCUAAAAGAAAGAUUUUUGGGUCAUUUUAAAGCUUUUUUGGGUUCGGAGCAUUUUGUGGAUUUGGAUAGUCUUGAUGAUAAUUUGUUUAUUAACUGUUUGGAUAAAAGGGUUGCUAUUGAUAUGAUUAAGGUGGUCACAGAUGAUGAAAUCAAAGCUGCAAUGUUCGAGAUUAAUGAGAAUCGUGCUCCUGGUCCAGAUUGAUUUUCUUUGAAAUUUUUUAAGUCAGGAUGGUCGAUUGUUGGUCCGGAUGUUUGCAAGGCAGUGAGAGAAGUGCUGUGGACUGGGAAGUUACCUAGAUGUGUGAAUGCUAUGAGAAUUGUGCUGAUUCCUAAGGUGGAUUGCCCUAGAUUAGUCACUGAUUAUCGUCCGAUAGCCUGUUGUAAUACGCUCUAUAAAUGUAUUAGUAAAGUGCUGGUGAAUCGGAUCAGAGGAUGCUUGGAUUCUAUUGUUGAUUCUAAUCAGUCAGCGUUCAUUCCAGGAAGGUCUAUUUUGGAUAAUAUAUUACUUGCUCAAGAUAUUCUGGUGGGUUAUAAUAAGAAGGCUGGAGCUCUGAAUUGUACGCUUAAAAUUGAUAUCCAAAAGGCUUAUGAUACGGUUAAUUGGAGGUUUCUUGAGAAGGCUCUUAAUGGGUUUGGGUUUCACUAUGUUAUGGUCAAAUGGAUAAUGAUGUGUGUGAAAUCUUCGUGGUUCGUGAUAAGUAUUAAUGGAGAGGAUAAUGGAUUUUUUGAAGGAAAACGGGGUCUAAGGCAAGGUGAUCCGUUAUCGCCUUACUUGUUCACUCUAGUCAUGGAAGUUUUUAAUCUCAUUAUCAAAAGAAAUAUUGAGAUGUGUCCGUUGUUUAAGUAUCAUAGGAAGUGCAGGUUUCAAAAAAUUACUCAUAUUUGUUUUGCUGAUGAUCUGUUGGUGUUUUGUAGUGGGUAGACUAGAUCUGCGAGGAUUAUUAAAAAUUCUUUGGAGUUAUUCAGGGAUGUUUCGGGGCUUAAUGCUAGUAUGACUAAAAGUCAAAUUUUUUCAGUUGUGUUAAACCGGAGUUGAAGAUUUCUUUGAUGGGUAUAUUGGCAUUUGAGAUUGGUAAAUUUCCUUUUAGAUAUUUGGGAGUGCCUUUAGAUACUAAUAAGAUGUUUAUAAGGGACAGUAAAAGGUUGGUCGACAGAAUCAAAUUCAGAAUUUUAAGUUGGAAGUUCAAAACUUUAUCUUAUGCGGGUAGACUUCAACUUAUUGGUUCAGUUUUGAAUUCUAUUUAUAUCUAUUGGGCUUCAGUGUUUAAAAUUCCUAUAGGUACCAUUAAAGAAAUUGAAAGCAUUUGUCGUGGUUAUUUGUGGGGUGGAAAUGCGCCAGCUAAGGGGAAAGCUUGUAACACCCAAAGUUUUGAAGGCCAAGAAAGGAAAGAAAACCUUAAUGUUAAGGGGUGACUCGGCGAGUCCAAGGAGGAACUUGGCGAGUUCGAGCGGGAUCCGGGUUGAGGAGUAAGUGACCGACUCGGCGAGUCGGCCAAGGUGACUCGGCGAGUCUGGUCUGUGCAUGGAAAACCCUAAAUUCGGGACUUGGAGCCUAUAUAAACGUCUUAAUCUCCUUCCUAGGGUUCCUUACUGCCUCUUAAGCCCUGGAUAUCAAACCCUAGCCGCCAUAUCCUCUAUUUGAGCCAUUUAUUGCCUUCAAGAGUGCAUUAAGCUUGGAGAAAGAAGAAGAAUCUUGAGAGUGCAAGAAGGGGGCUGUAGAUCCGGGAUUGGGAAGACAUUUCUGAGCUUUUGGAGGUAUAAACUAGUUCCUGGACCCUUUUUGCAUCUAGAUUUAUGUGUGGUUGUUGGGGCUCUUUAGCCAUAAUGAUAUUAUUUUGAGUUAGGAGCCGGAUCUGGAGUUGCUACUUCAGAUCCAAGUGUGUUAUGGACUGGAGAAGCAUAAAGUAUCAGCCCUUGAGUCGAUUUUGAAGCCCCUUGGCCUUAAACCCUAGUUUAUGGUGCUUUUUGCCUAGAUCUCCCUCUCUACACGUAAAGUUUGCAACUUUUCGUGGGGAUAGGCUUGGGAAGGGUAGAUCUACAGUUUGGAGUCCAUGCAUGACUCGAAAGUCCUCUGCAUGUAUGUAGAUCUUAAUGGACUCGGCGAGUAGCUUGAAGAUGAGGAGAAACUCGACGAGUGGGAUGAACAGCUCGUCGAGUCGGAUGAAGAUGGGUAUGAACUCGACGAGUUGGAUGAAGAUUGCCUUGUGCUCGACGAGUAUGCUCUUGGACUCGACGAGUCAGGUCGCGUAGCCCCAAACCCUUCGAGUUGAUAUUCGAAUCAGUGAGUCGGGUGGAGACUCAGCGAGUUGGUCAGGUCAGGACUCGGAAAUCGUGGGACUCGGCGAGUCAUGUCGCGAAUGGAAGGACCCUGAGUAUGUGAACUCGGCGAGUCAGUAAGUGGACUCGGCGAGUAGGGUUGACCUGGAAGGGUUGACUUUGACCAGGACUUUGACUUGACCAGAGUUGACUUGGUUGUCUGUCAGGGGUCAGUUUGACUCAGUGUUGUAUUGAUAUUGGUAGCUCGGGGAGCUAGUGGAGCAGCAGUUCGGAGUCAGUGGUCAGGUAGCGGUCAAAGGGAUUAGCAGCAGCAGUUCAGCAGUAUCAGGUGAGUUUCCCAUUGUAUGAAUGGGUCUACGGCCACAAUGUCGGCCCAUGUAGUUAUGAGUAGAAGACCCGGGGGUUAGCCCUAGGCACAGUAUGCUAGUAUGAUACUCGGGACGAGGUCCAAUGAUAGAGGGCGGGUGCCCAAGGAAUGGUUUAUGUGAUAGUUUAUACUUGUUGUCUGUGUGAUACUUGUAUGUGCCUGGUAGGGAGGUGAGUGUGGGCGAGGUCCCGUAUCUCACCAAUAGCAGAGUGUGGAUGGUGUUCCACAUCUCAGUAGCAGCAGAGCAGGGGCGAGGCCCAAGUCAGGAAAGGAGUGAGUGUGGGCUGGGCCCGUAUCUCACUACCAGUAGGAGCAUGGACGGGGUUCCGUGACUCAUCAGUAGCAGGUCAGGGGCGGGGCCCAGAGAUAGGCGAGGCCUUAGGACAAGAUCCGUUAGUAUGUGUUUAGCUUAUGUGAGAUGUUUAUGUGCUAUUAUAUGUUAGUGGGCGAGGCCCUGUGACAGGCGAGGCCUACGUGAAACAGAUCUGUAUCCGAGCGGGGCUCGAAGCCAGGCGGGGCCUGGAGCGGCGGGGCCGUUGUAGCGGGCGAGGCCCGAGGUAGGGGGCGAGGCCCAGGAUAGCGGGCGUGGCCCAGUAUGUGCAGUAUGUGGUUAUGCAUGGUAUGUGGUAGGGUGGGGAACUCACUAAGCUUCGUGCUUACGGUUUUCAGUUUUGUUUUCAGGUACUUCCGGUAGCGGAGGGAGGAGCUCGGGGUGAUCGCAUGGCACACACCAUAGAUUAGUCAGCCUGGGAAUGUUUACUCUGAUAAUAAACAUGUGUUUUGAAAACUUAUACUCAGAUUAUGUUUUGGAAUGAUGUCUUUGGUUAAAGUAAUGUUUUAUUAAAAAGAAAUUUUUGGUCUUGAAUUUUGGGAUGUUACAAAUAGGUAUCAGAGCCUUGGUUUGAGGGAUUCGGGCAUACUCUCGGGUGUGCCUGAACUCAAACUGAGGGGUCGGAUAAAAAGUUUUCAAAAGUGAAAAGACAGUUUUGUAAAAAGAAUUUUGAGAACGAAAAACAGUUUUAGAAAAGCAAAAAGAAUUCAGAAAGAAAAGAACUUUGAAAAGAGAAAAGAGGUGUGGUGCAUGCAAUCAACCGAGCUCAAGUAAGUACCCCAAAAUACCCAUACAAGUUUAUGUUAUGAUUAUCAGUUGAUAGAACAGCAUGCUAGAAUAGGACUAAGGAUCUAGGGAUGAUGCCUUAUGUGCCUGUUAUUUGUGCUUUUGAGCUGCAUAAUAGUGCUGAUUAGACAGUAGUAGGAUAGCCUGUUUAGGUUAUGCCUGAGUUUAUGAGUUUGUGUUGCAUGCUAGUUCAGAUUCUUGCUAUGUGGAUAUGAUUGCUUGAGUAUGUUAUGGUUAGAUUUUCCCCUUGUCCGAAUGCUGCUUGCUUUGUGCAUUGUGGGAUUUUGAGUGAUGGGAGUUAGCCAUUAGAUGGAUACGUUACGUCACAUGUGAUCAGGGUUGAAUAAUCUCAGAGUGCUGGAUUUGGCCCUAUUGCGCAGCUCUUGUUUGAGUCCAACCGUUGUAGGGACAAGUCUUUUACUUGAAGGAUUAUCUGAGCCUCGUCACAUGUGACGGUAUCCAGGCGAUGGCUAGUUGGCAUCACAAGAAGACCUUCAGCAGUUGAGGACUGGUUUGGGUUGAGUCAGAGGUUCCCUAAGGGUAAGCCUAGGAUGAGGUAGUGCUGGGAGCAGUAGAAGUGGUUAAGGGACCUAGUGGAGUCGAAGCAAUUCCUGAGGAAAGUACGGAUAGAUGUGGAAGGUAGUAUGGGCCCGUACUACUGAAAGCAGAGGAUCCGUACUCGAUUCAGGAAAGGCCGAGACAAGACCAGGAACCUGGUGGGGUAUGGUUGGUCUCGCAUCAGGGAUGAGUAUUCUGAUAGUGGUUGUGUUAUAUGUUUCAGCAUGGUGACGUUGCGAGAGAGACCAGCGGGCGGAUCAGGCACCGGAGAGGGAUCGGGCUCGGGUUCAGGGGCCGAGCAGCUUGAGGAGCAGAUGAGAGAGUUGAUAUCAGCUGAGGUUACACGCACUAUUCUAGCUCAGACUCCUGUGAUCUUUGGCACGGUCAAGGAGGGUAUAUUGGAGAUCUUGGAUGAGAGGCUGGGAGCCUUCCGUACCGAGAUGAUGGCUUUGUUGGGAGCGCGUACCUUGACAUUUCGAGAGUUCAGGGCUUGCGGGGCACCAGAUUAUCAUGGGGCUAGGGACCCCAUUGCUAGCAGCAGAUGGUUGGCUGAUGUUGCCAACGCUUUUCGUACGAGCAAGUGUCCCGAGGGGGACAAGGUUAGACUCGCCUCCUGUCUUCUGAAGGACAGAGCGAGGGAUUGGUGGGAGGAGAUUGGUCAUGCUUUGGGNCGGAUGGCCGCCAGGGCCGGGUAGAGGCACCUGCGGCAGGGAGUAGGGGUUUUCAGAUGACUACCUUGGAGACGCGAGGAACGCCGGACGUUGCAGGUAUGCAAUUUUCCCAUUUUCAGUUCUUUUAUUUGUGCAUGAUUUUAUUGUUAUGGUUCUGCAUCAUUAUCGGUAAAAGUAUUUUAUUUUGAGUGGUUGAUUGUGAUCGAGUUAAUGCCAUCUGCAUGCCUCGGAUAUUGGUAUGGUAGUUAGGGGAUGUGCUUUAUUGGAGAAGGUUUUGGAGGAUGCAGUAGCUGUAGCAUNNNNNNNNNNNNNNNNNNNNNNNNNNNNNNNNNNNNNNNNNNNNNNNNNNNNNNNNNNNNNNNNNNNNNNNNNNNNNNNNNNNNNNNNNNNNNNNNNNNNNNNNNNNNNNNNNNNNNNNNNNNNNNNNNNNNNNNNNNNNNNNNNNNNNNNNNNNNNNNNNNNNNNNNNNNNNNNNNNNNNNNNNNNNNNNNNNNNNNNNNNNNNNNNNNNNNNNNNNNNNNNNNNNNNAUCCGGAAGAGGAAGCCGGAUGAGGUUCAGGUAGCUACGGGUUCGGGCAAAAGGCCCAAGGGAUCGGAUUCGAGAUCGAGGGAUCAUCAGGACCGCAGUCGGUGCGGAAAGUGUGGCAGGGCGCACGGGGGCGCGUGCAGGAGUGGUAGCGGUGGUAAGUCUGGCUGUUUCAAGUGCGGUCGGACUGGUUAUUUCAGCAGGGAUUGUACUGUUACCGCCGCGCAGGGAAUAGACUUGAUAUGUUUUCACUACAACUAGCGGGGCCACAAGAAGGCCCAGUGUCCCAGUCUGNGUUUUCGGCAGGACGGGUGAUGGCACCCGCCCCUGCAACUUUGAGGAUCACGGAUGGCCGUCAGGGCCGGGUAGAGGCACCUGCGGCAGGGAGCAGGGCUUUUCAGAUGACGACCUUGGAGACGCGAGCAACGCCGGACGUUGCAGGUAUGCAAUUUCCCAUUUUCAGUUCUUUUAUUUGUGCAUGAUUUUAUUGUUAUGGUUCUGCAUCAUUAUCGGUAAAAGUAUUUUAUUUUGAGUGGUUGAUUGUGAUCGAGUAUAUGCCAUCUGCAUGCCUCGGAUAUUGGUAUGGUAGUUAGGGGAUGUGCUUUAUUGGAGAAGGUUUUGGAGGAUGCAGUAGCUAUAACAUGCUUGGGAGAGAUUUGGUACGUCUCGCUAGUUCGGAAUGGUGCAGUGAUUGUGAUGGAUUGGCUAAAUCCCUAGCUAUGGCGGGCUUGGGUUCCUCAGUAGAUGGGUUAUGGAAUGGUAGCAAAGAUCGGGAUCUCUUUUGAGUAUUGAGCAGCAAGGGGUAAGCAGGAUCGAAGUGGGGGAGAAUCCUCCGGGUGUGCCCAGAGAGGAGCACGCAGACCCAGAAUGAGUACGUGACCUCCGAGAAGGAAGAGAAGUAGUUCAACGUUUCAUGGAUUGAGGAUUUCAGGGUUGGGAGUUUGAGAAACUCCCCAUCAGCUAGUGCUUGUGAUGGUAAUGGUUAGUUUAUGGUUGAGAAUUCAGGUUGUGGAUCGCUCGAAGGACUCGAGGGAGUCGGAAUGAGGACCUUGAGAGCUAAUGGCACAUGGGUGCCUUCGUACUAGCAGUUAGCAAUGGAUGGUGAUGUAAGACUAUGGGUAAGCUGUAGCAUUCCUUAGCAGUUUUGUUAGUGGAGUUGAGGCGAGGCCCUUAUCUCCUAGUGAUCAGAUAGGGAUCAGGAAUGGGUAGUGGACGAGAAUGAUAUGGAGUUUGCCUGUAUAGCCCUAGAGAGGUGAGACCUUGGGAGAGGCCGCUCCAGGAUAUAGUUGGGUGAGACCCGUGGGCGAGGCCCGUAUGAGAUUAGCAGUGUAGAUGAGACCUGGGAGCAGGGUUGCUCAGUAGUAUGGUUGGGUGAGACCCGUGGGCGAGGCCCGAGCGAGAGUGAUUAGACUAGUGGGAAUAGAAGGAUAGAUGCGGGUGGGACCCGUGGGCGAGGCCCGUGAGUUUUAGCAGCACAGGUGGGACCUGGUAGGGACCUUAGUGUCAAGUUAGGGGAUCGAGAAUCCCAGGUUUGUAGUGCCUGAAUGGCAGAGUAGAUUGAGCAGUUAUAGGUGAUCGAAGUUCUUUGGAAGUCGCUGGGAGCGACUAGUGGUGGUGUUGGGACUAGCUACCGGUAGGAGCCGGUAAUCCAGUCAUUGAUAGGUUGGUAGGGACCAGGGUGGUCUCAGUUCAUCCGGAAGUCAGACAAGGAAUAGCAGAAUUUUCAGUCAGUGGUACUGCGGUUAAGCAGUGUAUGGUGGAAUUCAGUUAGUUGAAUCGAGGGGUGCUCGGCACCAAGUUUUGACAGAGAGGAGUGUCAGUGGUUACUGACGGUGAUGACCCGUACUGGAAAUAGCGGGGGUGAUGGAGUUGGUGAAGGAUAGGACCUUCACAGUGACAGAGGAAAUAGUUGGUUAUGGAGCUUUGCCUUGGGAAGGCAAGGAAUUUGCGCAAGGAAAGAAGGGGUGAACCCCUAUAGGUUCAGUGCAGUACUCGGUGAGUACCAGAAGGAUUGUCGGUGAGUAAGUUGUGUUUCCAGGAUGUUCAGGGUCAGGGUGACCCGAGUCUAUUAUCCGCAAGGAUUAGUGUUAGUCGGAAUGACCGAGCGGAAGGCCAGCGAAGGUAGGCAGCUGGUGUUGGAAUAAUUGGUGGGAUAUUGGAGGCAGAUCGCAGGCGGUGGGCCAUAGCAAACUUCGAGGACGAAGUUUAGUUUAAGUGGGGGAGAGUUGUAACACCCAAAGUUUUGAAGGCCAAGAAAGGAAAGAAAACCUUAACUUUAAGGGGAGACUCGGCGAGUCCAAGGAGGAACUCGGCGAGUCCGAGCGGGAUCCGGGUCGAGGAGUAAGUGACCGACUCGGCGAGUCGGCCAAGGAGACUCGGCGAGUCUGGUCUGUGCGAGGAAAACCCUAAAUUCGGGACUUGGAGCCUAUUUAAACGUCUCAUUCUCUCCCCUAGGGUUCCUUUACUGCCUCUUUCACCCAGAACAUCGAACCCUAAGCCCCAUUGUUGCCCAUUCAAGCUUCCAAGCCAUCUUUGAGUGAUUUGAAGGAAGAAGAAGAAGGGGAAUCAUUGAAGCUUCAAGGAUUGGCCUUAGAUCUGAAGAUUGGGGAAACUUUCUGAGUUAUUGAAGGUAUUAAGUCGUUUCCCUCCUUUAGAUCUAUUAUGGUUGUGAGUUUUGGGGGCUUUUAGCCAUGAUUAGCUACCCCUUUUGAGUUAGAAGCCAGAUCUGAAGUUGCUACUUCGGAUCUAAGCAUAUUAUGGUCUUGAGAAGCAUAAAGUAUCUGCCCUUGAGUUGAUUAUGGAGCCUCUUUGCCUUAAACCCUAGUUUAUGGUGUAUUUUGCCUAGAUCUCCUUCUCUACACGUAAAGUUUGCAACUUUACGUGAGGAAUAGGCUUGGGAAGGGUAGAUCUACAGUUUGGAGUCCAUGCAUGACUCAAAAGUCCUCUGCAUGUAUGAAGAUCUGAAUGGACUCGGCGAGUCCUUUGAGUGGACUCGGCGAGUAGCAUGAAGAUUUGGAGGAACUCGACGAGUGGGAUGAACAGCUCGUCGAGUCGGAUGAAGUUGGGCAGGAACUCGGCGAGUUGGAAGAACAACUCGGCGAGUCUGUUGAAGGUUGUCUUGGACUCGGCGAGUCUGUUCUUGGACUCGGCGAGUCAGGUCGCGAAACCCCAAACCCUUCGAGUUGAGACUCGAAUCAGUGAGUCGAGUGGAGACUCGGUGAGUUGGACAGGUCAGGACUCGGAAAUCGGUAGACUCGGCGAGUCAUGGACUGACUCGGCGAGUCGAGUCGCGAAUAGAAGGACUCUGAACAUAUGAACUCGGCGAGUCAGUAGGGUGACUCGGCGAGUAGGGUUGACCUGGAAGGUUGACUUUGACCAGGACUUUGACUUUGACCAGAGUUGACUUGGUUGUCUUUCGGGGGUCAGUUAGACUCAGUGUUGCAUUGAUAUUGGUAGCUCGGGGAGCGAGUGGAGCAGGAGUUCAGAGAGUUGUCGGGCAGCAGCUAGUGGGUUCAUCAGCAAGUUCAGCCAGUGCAGGUGAGUUUCCCUUUGUGUGAAUGGGUCUAAGGCCACAAUGCCGGCCCAUGUAGUUAUGAGUAGAAGACCCGGGGGUUAGCCCUAGGCACAGUAUGCUAGUAUGAUAUUCAGGACGAGGUCCAAUGAUAGCGGGCGGGUGCCCAAGGAAUGGUUUAUGUGAUAGUUUAUACUUGUUGUCUGUGUGAUACUUGUAUGUGCCUGGUAGGGAGGUGAGUGUGGGCGAGGUCCCGUAUCUCACCAAUAGCAGAGUGUGGAUGGUGUUCCACAUCUCAGUAGCAGCAGAUCAGGGGCGAGGCCCAAGUUAGGGAAGGAGUGAGGGUGGGCUGGGCCCGUACCUCACUAUCAGCAGGAGUAUGGACGGGGUUCCAUGACUCAUCAGUAGCAGGACAAGGGCGGGGCCCAGAGAUAGGCGAGGCCUUAGGACAAGAUCCGUUAGUAUGUGUUUAGCUUAUGUGAUGUGAUGUGAUAUGUUUAUGUGCUAUUAUAUGUUAGUGGGCGAGGCCCUGUGACAGGCGAGGCCUACGUGAAACAGAUCUGUAUCCGAGCGGGGCUCGAAGCCAGGCGGGGCCUGGAGCGGCGGGGCCGUUGUAGCGGGCGAGGCCCGAGGUAGGGGGUGAGGCCCAGGAUAGCGGGCGAGGCCCAAUAUGUGCAGUAUGUGGGUAUGCAUGGUAUGUGGUAGGGUGGGGAACUCACUAAGCUUCGUGCUUACGGUUUUCAGUUUUGGUUUCAGGUACUUCCGGUAGCGGAUGAUGGAGCUCGGGAUGAUCGCAUGGCACACGCCAUAGCUUAGACAGCCUGGGAAUGUUUACUCUGAUAACGAAUAUGUAUUUUGGAAACUAAUACUUUGUUUAUGAUGGAAAACGAUGAAUUUGCUUAAUGUAAUGUUUUAUUAAAUGAAAUUUUUAGUCUUGAAUUUUCGGACGUUACAAAGCUUGUGUUGGAUGGGUGGUUUCCGGGGUUGUUAGAUGGGCCUUUUGAAUGGUUGGAGUGAUUUCCGGGGUUGUUGGAUAGGCCUAUGUUUUUGAAUGAUAGGACUAAUGGAGAUGGAAUAGUUUGGAGGGAUAAAGAAGGAGUUAGACAGUUAUUUUUCUUGUAAACAAGUUUGGAAGGAUUUGAAUAAUUUUGGUCCAAAGGUUCCUUGGUGCAAAAUUGUUUGGUUUAGUAACAAUAUUCCGAGAAAUUCCUUCAUUCUUUGGAUGGCGAUUUUGGAAAAAUUAAAAACUCAGGACAAGGUUAUAAACUGGGGAAUAAAUGGUAAUCUGCUUUGCCCUUUUUGUACCAUUGGGGGAUUCUAUUUGGGUAUGAUCUUUAGUGAGAUUAUCCGAAUGGAGUUCCCUAGACAUGUGAUUGACGCCAUGUCUAGAAUGCAACUUUUUGACAUUGAUGGUUGGUUUGUGUUUUUUGUUGCCUGUUUUUGGAUGAAUUUUAUGCACAGGUACAACUCGAUGAUUCUGUUGCUUGGGAAGAGUAGGAGUUUGCUUUAUAGGAGCUGUGAGAACAAGGAUUGGAUUGGUUGGCUAAGAAGUAAAAGAUGGAGGACUGAAUGCUGGAAGCAGUCGAAUAGCAAUUGGAAUGAGAUUUUAUGGUUUCUUUUUAUACAUAUGGUGGGAGAGUUGUGUAGUUAUAAUUUUGAUAGACAUGGUGUUUAUGGUAGUUUAUUCGUUUUGUAUUGGUUGUUGGGUUGGGUUCUAGGAUUAGUCUAUUGGACAGUGGGUUUUUUUAUGGGCCUUUCCCCUUGCAUUAAAUUUUUUGGUUUGAUGUGGGCUUGGUGGUGCAAGGGGUUGAAGUUACCUUUUUUCCCACAUAAAAUAAGUCUUUGGACUAAUUCUAGGAUUUGUAAGGGUUUUUGGGGUAAAGGUAGGGGUUAUUUGAGGAUUAAGAAAUGGCUUGGUAGUUGGCUUUGGAUUGGUUGGACUUGUUAGGGUUGGGUUUUGUUGUUUGUUGUUUUUUUGUUUGUAUUCUUUUAUUUUUUAUUAAGUUUGCUGAGCUUCGGCUCUUUCCAAAAAAAAAAAAAAAAAACAAUGAAACAAACCUACAAUUUCUAAAUGGCUUGGGUAGAAUAGUGGAUUACAACAAAGAUGAUCGGCUAAGGAGAUAUCAAGAUCAAAACGCUCUCUCUGUACAAACUCUACAGUGAGCUCCAAGCACAAGAGUCUACGGUGAUGAAAGACUGCGUGGAUCUCGGUGGACCACUAGCAGUUGUUGCUCAGACACCUCAGUUUCCCAAAGGAUCUCAGUAUCCUUAUACCAGAGACUCCUCAUAUCAAACUCCAUAUGACAACUGUUCUUAGUCAUAUGAAGCACAUAUAGAGCUAGAAGAUGAAGAAGCUUUUCAAAAUGCUUUAGCUCUUGUCAGUUAACAACUCAACCAACUUCUACCACCCAACUUUCACAAAAACCAACAGUUCACCGGACCACCUUUUAAUAGAAACUACACGACCACCUUUCAAUAGAAACUACACGACUUUCAAAACAAUCCAUCUCACCAUCCAAAUCAAAGAUAUCACAGAAAUCCACCUUAUCAGUCUCACUCUCAAAAACACCUAUGAUGAUCACAAACUCCACUAAACACCACAUGAAGACAAAUACUUAGAUAUCAACAUCCAGGAAGAGAAAAAGGAUGGAGUUCUCAUCUGUUAGAAGUGUUAUAAAGAGAAUCAAUUUGCAAGGGACUGUAAAGCCAAUGUGGUCAAGGACAAAACAUUCUACCUCAGAAUGGCUCAGGAGGUGGAAUAUAAAGAAAAAAGGAAAAGCGUUGGUAACUCAAGUUCGAAGAGACCACCAAGUUUGGUCUUUAGGAGAUGAAGAUGAUGAACCUGACAACAAGAGAAGAAGAGGAAAUAUAUGUCUUGUUGCAAUCGAGGAAUAUGGCUCAACUAAUCUGAAAAAGAACUAUUGUUACAUAGCCAAAGAAGGAACUCUCAGCAUCGUGGAACAAGUAAAAAUUAUGAUUCAAUUAAAUAAUUAUAACAUGCUUGAAUGUGAACAUAGCGACCCAAAAGCUGUAUCACUUGAGAGGAAGACUAGAGGACAACAAACUUAAGGUCGCUAAGCUAAAAAGGAAUUUGUUAUUAGAAAAAGAUGCUAGACUACUUUGUGAAACUCAACUAGAUAUAACUUUCAAUCAAUAGGAUUUAGCGCGCAAUAAAAUUAUACUUUUAAAUCUUUUAAUAGAGAAACUGUUUAAUGAAAGCGAGGCUAUGGAGAACCUAGUGAACAAUGGAUUUGUUGAUAACUCUUAUUACUGGGGAUUGUCCAAAGGUUAUCCUAUCGGAGAGAAAUCUCCACCACGGUUUGACGCUGAUCAUCCUUAUGUCCCACCUGACUGGACCUUUCACUAUCCCAUUAAUAGCAAGACCUUUCCUGAGGACUUAAGGUGUCAUUUUGGAAAACUUCAUGUCCUUAACAAUAACUAUGUAAUAGAGGAAAUCGUCCCAUAGGAAACCUCUAAAAAUUACCAGUUGCUACCCAUCACUGGAACAAUCCAUUCAGGAUCUAUUUCCGAGGUAGAUGAGGAAAUCAUUGUAGAAGGACCUAAUGCACCAUCAAAGUCCAUCGAGGACUUCGCCAUCUCAUGCUCUGCGGUACCCCAGUCCUUGUCCAAAAUAGAAGUCUUACCGAAGACCUCUGUUAAAACUACAUCCAAAAUUCAACCUCUUCCUCAAGGGGGGUAAAAACAGACAAAUUUGAAAUUGGUCAAUGCUCUCGAUGUUAUGAACGUUAUAGUUCUAUUGACUAAUCUCCCAGACCUAUACUGAAGAAUCAACUUUUCAAAGCAAGAAUUUCAAGGAAAAAUGGUUUAUCGAAACCCCUAGAAGAAAAAAUCUUUUCAAAAUCAUUCUGCGGAAGUCAAAUCAUUUCAAAAUCACUCUGCGGUGAUGCCAUCACUCCAUACCAGCCAGGUGAUGCCAUUCCGGUUGCUAAACUAAUCAAUUGGUAUCUGGUAUCUGGGUUUUCCUUCAGGUUGAUCAAAUCAACCUGUUGAUAUAUUUAUUAUGUCCAUUUAUUGAAUUCUUGAAUACUCUUUUCCCCUUAAAAAACAUUGUAAAAAUUCAAAUGUAAAUAUGUUAUACCUCAUGAUUUUUUUAGUCAUAGAAUGUUGGAUCCCUUGCAAAUUGCAAUCAUCCUUUUAAAGGUCGAAAUAAACAACUAUUCAAAUUGGUCUUAUCAAUAAAAUAAUAUACUUUUUUUGUAAUAGUAUACCCAAAUAUUUCCAUCUUUGUCAUUAUAGAUUCUUUUAUAGAGAUUCAAACUUCACUUAAAUUUCGUAAGAUUCGUUUGCGGAAUUUGAAUUCACUUAAAUUCGUUCAAAGAAGAUUCAAACUUCACUUAAAAUAAUAUGUUUUUUGUAACAACAAUAACACCCAAAUACUACCAUCUUUGUCAUUAUGUACAAACUUCCUAUCCUAUCUAUCUAUGUUUUUCCUCAUCGUACAAGAAAUCAAUUUCCCCUGUUGACUGAAGAUUUUGCUGUGAAAUCGCAUGCAUUUGAGGGACAUCAUUCAAAACCAAAUUCCCACUUUGCCACACUUGAUUAACAACAGAUCCACCUGAAAACGGACCCACAUCAGCAAAAAUAGUAAUCUCAUUAAUCGAUGACUCAGCAGAUAAACCUGAAACUUGAAAGCUAAGAUUUCCUGGCACCAUUGAAGGACUGUAAUUAUUUAUCAAAGUUGUAUAAACUGUCAUACUUCCAUUACUAUUAUGAAAAGCCACAAGUGCUUCUGACCCAACCAUGCCUAUUUGGUUCGGGUUAACCGCCCAUGCAACCCACCCACGUGGGCCCUGGCGGGCGUGGUAUGCGAUCUGGGCUAUGCCCGUUGAUGAAUUGUAGGUCCAAUGAAGUUGUGCAGAUAGAUGGGGUAGAUCCCUACAAGAACUAUAGAUUCUUCUUGAUGUGAAUUUGUAUUCUGAACACAUUUGAGCAUAUGAUAUAUCAAAAUGGGAUACAAGAAAAUGAAAAUAUAUAAGUAGGGCAGAGCUUAUAGUUAUGGCCAUUGAUGGAGUUAAAAACUUAGGUUAUUGAUCUUUGUUUAUGUUUAAUAACAAUUCUUAGUAAGUGUAUGUAGGAUUGUCAUGAAACAUUUGUUUACUCAUAGAGGUGUAUCAUGUGUGAUGAACCAACUACUUGAUGAGAUCAAAUCAGUAAAUGUGUGAAAAAUCAUGACUUUACGAAUCACAAAAAAUAGGUUUUGCGUUGAGAUACUCUUGUAAUUAUGCCAUAGCUAGAUUUAAUAGUUUGAGAAUUGUUUUCUUUUGGGGUAUAAGUGGUUGUUAAGAGAGAGAGAGGGAGGAAGCUACCUUUUUCCUUGAAAGGUAUUUACUAUUUAUUGAUGCUUGGGAAUAAACAUAAUUUCAUGCUUGUAAUUAAAUAAAGAAUUUUAAUAAACUCUUUUUCUAAAUCUGUAGGUGAUGGUGUAAUACAAAAACUGGGAUGGGACUUGCACCAGCCCUCUUAUAUGUCAUAUUUGUGCUAGUUUUUAGCUUUUAUUAUUAUACAUUUAGCUUUAUAACUAUAAGUUGACAAAGCCUACCAAUAUUAAAAAUCGUAGCUCUUUUCGUUGUAGCUUCAAAUUAAACAUAAGAUCACAUUUGGUUAUGAAAUAUUCUUACGCAUGGGUGGUCUUUUGAUUUUUGUAGCAAAGAUCGAGGUUGUUGUGUUGAAACUAACAUGAGUCACCAUAAUUGGAUAAAUGAUAUAUGAUAAAAAUGUAGAAACGAUGUAUGACUGUAAAUGCAGAAACGAACUUAAAGGAACUAAGCUAAUAUUAAAAUAAAAUUUUAUUUUAUAAUAAACUUUGUUAGUAACUAUAUUUAAAUUCCAAUUGAAACUUUCUUAGUAACUAACAUACAUGAGUCAUAAUAAUUGGACAAACGAUAUAUGAUAUAGAUGCACACAUGAUAUAUGAUAAUAUUAACAAUAAAAUAUUAUUUUAUAACAAACUUUGUUAAUAUCUAUAUAUUUAAAGGAAAUCUAAAGAAAAGUUUCAAUAUUUGGAUCAGUUUAUGAAAGUAUUGAAUUAAUUAUUUUUUUUACAAAAAAGUUGAUCCUAAAAGCCGGUAAAAUGGAGCUUUCUGAUCAUUUUCCCGGUUUAGUUGGUAACAAAUUAAUUGAGACUACUUCGUAAACUGACCAAAAAUAUUGAGAUUUUUUUGCAAAAACCAAAAUGAUGGGAGUAUUUCGUAAACUGACCCAAAAUAUAUAUAAAAAACAUUUUUAUAUAUUUUUACACCUUAACAAACGUUUUCACACACACACACACACACACACACACACACACACAUAUAUAUAUAUAUNNNNNNNNNNNNNNNNNNNNNNNNNNNNNNNNNNNNNNNNNNNNNNNNNNNNNNNNNNNNNNNNNNNNNNNNNNNNNNNNNNNNNNNNNNNNNNNNNNNNNNNNNNNNUAUUAAUAUUAAAUUAAUAUAAUAUAAAUAAUAAUUAUAACAAAAAGAUUUUGACAAAUUUAUAAAAGGUAAUUAAAAUAAAAAUAAAAUGAGAAAAAAAUUAAUAUUUAAAAUAUUUUUUUUGGUGUAAAAAAGAGAUUGAAAAAUAGGGUGAAGUUUUAUAUGAAUCACUAUUAACUAUAUUUCUCACUCUAAAGAUGGAAUAAAAAACAAAAUGUGAUUGUAGAUGGUCUUAAAAAAUCUAAAUAAUUAAGGACUUUAUUUUUUGUUUGUUGAGAGAAUAACACAAAUUAAAUUUAAAUAGAAUAUAAUCUAUUGUUCAAGUUAAAACAAAAAAAAAAAGUUUAGGCCCAUAAAAAAACAUUUUGUCUUUAUAGAUGUAAAUAUGAAUCUUAGAUUGUGUCUAAAUAUUGUUAUGACAUAUUUAUUAUUUACUAUUUAUUAUGUCUAUUGUUACUGUUAUACUAUUUAUUUGGAUCUCACCCACCUUCACUUCCUAUGGAGACCCGAGUUUAAAAGUAACAAAUAAAACAAAUUAUGUUAUUAUACGUAACUUUAAAAGGUUUAAAGUAUCAUAUGAUACAUUUAGGAAUAUCUUAAACAAAUGGAAAUACUUUUUUUUUUUUUUUUUUUGCAUUCUAUUAUUUGGCCAGUGAGUGUAAUUUUAUUUAUAUCCAUUAGUUUGUAGGUGAGAAGGUAAAAAUAAAAAGAGUUGAUUCGUAUACAACAAUUUUUUCUUUUUAUACAACAAUUUGUGUGUUAAAGUGUUGUAUUUUACAACUCUAUAAAAAAUAAAUUGUUGUGUACGAAUCAUUUUCCUAAAAAUAAUGAUGAAUAAAUCAUUCACUUAAGAGGCUUAAAAUAACAAAGUGGUUUUUAUAUUAAAAAAAAUUUAUAUUACAUAAAUGGUAGCAAUUCAAAUAGAAAUUACAUGAACAAUCCUUUAUGAAAGCAUUUUGCUGUAAUUAAGAAUAGAUUUUAUUUUAUUUUUCACAAGUGUCACAUACAAACAUACGAAGUAACACACCAUUACAUACACAAACAUUCAUAUAUACACAAAAUAGUCACUGAUAUAUGAAAUUACAAAAAUGGUCCCUCAUUUGAAGGAAUUUUUUUUUCAUUUAGAAAUCAUUUCCCCCCUUCUAAAGUUGAAUCAAAUACAUGAAUUCGAGGGAAUUAGAAUCUUUUUCCUAUAAAUUUCAUUCAUUUCUUGCCAACCAAACAACAUCUUACUCUAUAACCUAUAAAGAAGAGUAUUUUAGAUAUUUUGACUACAAAAUAACACUUUUGUUGGGAGCAAAUAGAAAACAAUGGUUACAGAAAUCACACAUACGCAUUACACAGUGACAGAUACAUGCAAAUAACACAUACUUUUGAUGUUGAAAAUUUGUAGUAAAUUUGAAGAUAUUAUAAUUAUAGCGGGAAUCAGUUAAACCAAACUUUAUUCGUUUACGUCGAUUAUUAGUCAAUGUAUACCGCUUUUCUAAGUUAAGUUUUGAAUUUAAGACAAAUUUUACAUCCACGAAAGUUUUAGAAAAUAUUCAUCAUCAAAACUUAGAUAAAUAGAAGUACAACCUAUAACAUCAAAAUACUUGGAAAAUAAAAUUUUGGUCCUUAUGGCAUGCUAAUUUGUAUAUUUUUUUCAAAGGCAAAACCAGUUAUUCUUGGAAUAGCAUCCAAAUAGUUUUACUUUAAGAUUUAAGAACCAAAAUCAUUAUUAAAUUACAAGAUAAGGACCAAAACCGCAAACAAAGUCCUUUUGAGACCAAAACUGGAAAAGGUGCUAAAGUGGGAGACCAAAAAUUGUAAAUUACUCUAAAAUCAUUUCUUUGCAAAUAUGUUAUUUAUGCUAAUGUUUUUCCAUGAGAAGAAUUGAUGAUGGAUUACAAACUUUAUUUUUAUGAAACAGAAUAUUCCUGUUGUAAAGAAGAACGAUAAUAUACUAUAUACAUUAUAAAACAACUAAUGAUUAUGAUAAUUUGAUUAAUUUUCUUAAAUUCAAGAAGUGUUACCUGGAAUGCAGCUUAGGCGCUUACAAGCCAAUGAAUUGGUGCAUAACAUAUCAACUACUUCUAAAUAUUCACAACAAAAGGACCUGGGGCAUUAAGAAAAUCAAACAUCUUCCUUAGAAAAUCAACAUUGUUUUCCUUUUAAGCACCAUUGGGUGAGAAAAUACUUGUUUUUGGAAGCCUUAAAGUUUUAGAUUUCACACCAACAUACAACCUUUGGCUAGUCUCCUGCAAGCAUAACAAAUCAUAAAAUAAGUUAUAUCCUGUUUUGGAAGCCAAUAUAUAACCUUUAGCUACUUUCUAUUUUCAUACCUCAUAAAAGAAAAUCAAACCAUAUACUUGUAUUAUCACAGAGGAGCGUUGUAAACAUGUCUAGUUCCUUUUGUCGAUAACGAGUUGCUAUUCAUGAACACUUAUUUUUUAGUUUGCAAGCUCUAUAAAGAAAAUCAAAAGCCAAUGUGUUCCAAAAUUUUGAAAUACAAGAACAAACUUUGAUAAAAAAAAGCCAAAUAGCUGAUGUUCCAAGUCGUGAAAAAAAUACCAUACUUAUGUCUUCUACUACAAAAAAUGCAUGAUAAAAACCUAUAAUACACAUUAACAUGGAUCAGGUGUAAUUACAUAAAAGAUGGAUUAAGAUACUAAUAGCCCUUAUAGAUUCAAACAUGUAAGCUAUAGAUAAAACUAAUAUUCGAGACAAUGAAUUAGGUGUGUACUUAAAUAAAAUGAUAGAUUAUUACCUUCUUGUUGGUAAAGAAGAAACAUCUAUUAUGCAAAACAGUUGAAACAAUUUCAGCACACCAUGUUCAUCAAUCACAUGGUGUGCUGAAAUUGAAGCAAUUCAUGGAACACUUGAUAAGAACAAAAAAUCUCAUGGUAAUUUUAUCAAACACAGAGUGCAACAUGCAGUAUGUAAGGUAAAAAAGAGAAGCACCAUGUUAUUUUUAAAGGUGUGCUAAUACAGAACCUUAGAUUUUGCAUAUAACCCUAAUUUCAAUAAAAAAAACAAAUAAAGCAUCAUCGUAUUCGAAAAAAGUCCCAUAUCAAUAUGAACAGUUAAAUAGUAAAAUAAAAAUUGAAAUUGAAUAUGUAAAAUACACUUACAUGAUUGAGUUAUCAAUGACCAUUUAUGUCAGAAUUUUAGUAGUCAGCUUGUAGCCUUAAAAUCAGAUUUUAAAAGAAGAGGAAGAUUAAAGUCUCAUAUUUUUAGAAGAGAACAAAAUGCUAAGGUAGGGUUCUGUAUGAUUAUAUGGAGACUAGAGAGUACGAAAUUAUGGUCGUAAUUUUGGAGAGGGUUUAAAGUUUCAGUUUGGUUUUACCGAAAGGAUUAGAAUCCCUGAUUUCUUGUGUAAUUUAAUUAGCAAAGUUCAAAGUGUAGCUAAAAUGAAGGAGCGUAAAAGAGCGGGAAAUCAAAGAGGUUGGGGAAUAUGAGCCUGCCAAGUGGCAAAAUAAGUGUAGAAAAAUUAACAUGUGGCAUCUUAACGGAUUCUUUUAUCAGAACAGAAUAUAUAUAUAUAUAUAUAUAUAUAUAUAUAUAUGAAGCAUUCUACACUUGCUAUAUGCCACAUGUCAAAAAUUCAGCCUGAAAAUUAGGAUUUCAUUUGAAUCCUGUAUAUCACUUAUUCUUUAUAAACAUUUCACAUCCUUGAUUCAUCUUCUACACCCUCCUUUAUCAAUAGGCAAACCCUAGAUGAUAAUCGUCAUUAUGAACGUCGCCGCCUGCCAUCACCUUCGUCACCUCUAUCACCACCACUACUGACCUUUUAAUCCACUGCCAUUACCCUUCCUAUUCUUCCUCCUUAUCCCUCUCUCUCUCUCUCACUCAACACCAUCGCAACUUACAUCAGAACCUACUUCUCUGGCUAAACAUAAGGUUUGAAGCUUCUUUCUUCUAUUAUAGUGUCAAUUCUUUUAAACAUUUGGAAGAUACAAUUGAUCUUUUUAUUUGUUUAAUUUGUUUGUCGAGGCCGCUUUUUUAUUCUCUUGUGUUUUAGUCUGUUGUGUUGCCAGAAAAUAGGAGGUAAUGUGAGCAACAUAUGUAAAAAUUUGUGAGGCAUGAUCCCGAAACUAUAUUGGCUUAAAUCUUUAUAUAUAUUUGCAUAAUGUAUGAACUUUGUAGUGGCUAAAUUUUGAGCUUGCAAGUUUUCUUUGAUUUUUUAACUGUUUUUUGUGUGUAUGUGUGUGUGUGUGUUGAUAGGAUGUGGAAAGAACAUCGACUAGAGGCUAUGUUAUGGAUUUGAUUGUGGUUAAAGCAGUUGAAAAGGUAUAACAUCUGUUUAUUAUAAAGUAACUAGAUUUAUGCCAAAGGGUGUAUUUUUUUCAAAACACAUACCAAGGCUUAUUUCUUAGUAGGACUAUUUACAAUUUGGGUGUUUGAUUGAUUUAUUUUAUCUAAAUGCUUUGAUUCGUAUAUCUAAUUGCUUUCCAAACCACUAAUUAAAAAUUAAAUAUAUAAUUAUUAUGACUUUUAGUUGUGUUAUUGGCUGAUGGAAAAGGAUUUGGUGCUAUACCUCAAAACUCCCAAUAUGUUGGAUGUUUUUUAAACACAACAGUCAAUGUGUAUGUAUAUAUUUACAUGAACAGUAACAGGUCGCCUAAAACGUAUUUUAUAAACCCUUGAACUUGAAUCAUCUAUUUUGUUGCUAUUUGGGGGUUUUUUUAUAGUUAUUUUAUGUUUUGGGUUUUUGUUUUUGGGUAAGUAAUUAUAAGUCUCGAUGGUUGUGUGAUUGGUCCAAUACUAUUUGUGGUCUCUCCUAGCUUAAUCAUGCAUUAUCUCGGAUAUUUUAUAUGUGGUUUGUGUAUCAAUCUAAUUUAUUUUUAGCAUAUGCCUUAUCAUUUUUCGAAAUAUUCUUGAUUGAUUGAAUCGAUGUUCUAUGUCACUGAUUACGGUUGUAUUAGACCCUAUAUAAUUAUAAAUGUUGCUCUUCUAAUGUGUAUUUGUGUGUUUUUUUGAUAAAUCCAACACAAAUAUGUGAUUUAUAUAUUAUACAUUUGGUUAUUUUGUAUUUGCAGAUUAGAAUGUGCUAGAAAUUAUUUGCAUUUGUUUGUGAUUUUGUCUAUUCAAAGAUUAGGAAGUGGGUGGUUUGAGACUUUAUUCACUCUAUUGACUACUGUUUGGUAAUCUAUUAGAAAUCACAACAGAUGAUCAAAGCCUGAUUAUGCUUACACAGGGAAGAUAACUUUUGUAUGAAAGUGAUACUGAAUCUUCUUAUAUUUCUUCACCAAACAAGUUACAAAAGCUUGCAAUUUAUAGACUCUUCUACAUUUAAAACUAAAAUAAAGUGCUUUAACAACUACUAAAACUAUAACUGAAACUUUAUUACCAGGUUAAUCAUAAUAAGAUAACCGUUCAUUCCUUUAUUGAAUUAAACUCAAAUUUAAAUUAGAAUCAAUACCAACACUCUGCCCCUUAAUCCUGAUUUGUGUCAUGCAGAUCCUUAACUCCCAACAUGUUUCGCAUUUCGACAAAUUUCACUCGUGGGAGUGCUUUAGUCAAAAUAUCAGCCUUUUGUUCUUCUCCACUUAUGUGCCCAACGCAGAUUAGGCCUUUCUCAACACAUUCUCGAAUGAAAUGAUACCAGGUGUCGAUAUGUUUACUUCUACCAUGGAACACGGGAUUUUUCAUUAGCUCAAUUGUUAACUUGUUGUCCACCAGUAACUUGACUUUUCCUGCUUCUUUGAUGGUUAAAUCCUUCAACAAACUUUUCAACCAUAGUGCUUGGCAGGCCGCUGCAUUCGCAGCCAUAAAUUCAGCUUCACAAGAGGAUAGAGCUACUGUACGUUGUUUCUGGGAACACCACGUGAUCAAGUUACCGGAGAAGUAAAAUGUUGUUCCUGUAGUACCUUUCCCAUCAUCCCGAUCCAUGUUGUGACUACUGUCGCUAUACCGAAUCAGCUUUCUGUCUCCACCUGGUCUAUACACCAAGCCAUGAUUAAUUGUGCCCUUUAUAUAUCUUAGAAUCUACUUUACAGCUUUGAGACGACUGACUCUUGGUGUUUCCAUAUACAUGUUGACCACUCCAACAGAAUAUGCAAGAUCCGGUCUCGUAUGUAUUAGAUAUCGUAAGCUUCCAAUAAGACGCCGACAUUUAGUGGCGUUUGCCAAUUCCCCCUCUUCAUCCUUUGUUAAGGAUAGCUUCGGUUCCAUGGGGUACUUUGAUUCAUUGCAGCCAUCCAUCCCGAAGAGUUUUAAAAUUUUCUUUGCAUAUCCCGCUUGACCAAUUGCAAUCCCAUCUUUACUUUGUUGCACUUCGAUGCCUAUGUAAUAAGAAAGCUUCCCCAUAUCGCUCAUAUCGAACAUCUUCCACAUCCUGUUCUUCACUUGAUCCUGUAACGAUCAAAUCAUCGACAUAUAUUCCGACUAUAAGCGUGUACCCUAACUUUUGAAGCUUGUACACGACUUGUUCUUGAGGACAUCUUUGGAAUCCCAAAUCUUUGAGUGCCCGGUCAAGAUGGAUGUUCCAUGCCCUUUGGCACCUGUCGCAGCCCAUAAAGGGCUUUGUUUAGACGAUAGACUAAGUGUUCCUUCCCUUUAAUCACAAAGACAUCCAGUUGGGAUACGUAAACUUCUUCUUGCAACUCGCCAUUCAAGAAAGUUGAUUUUACAUCUAAGUGAUGAACUCUUCAUCUCUCCUUAGCUGCUAAAGCUAGUAACAGUCGGAUGGUUUCCAAACGUGCUACCAGCGCAAAGACCUCUUCAAAGUCUACCCCUUUCUGUUGUACAUAGUCCUUCGCGACUAAUCGGGCCUUGCGUUUUAUAAUGUUCCCAUAUGCAUCCCUUUUGAGUUUAAAUACCCACUUUAAUCCUAUUGGUUUUUGCCCUUUCGGAAGAUAGGCUAGUCUCCAGGUUCGAUUCUUAUUAAUUGAAUCAAGUUUCAUCUUCAUCGCUUCUAGCCAAGCCUGAUUAAUCGAUGCUUUUGUGUAAGUGGUUGGUUCCUCACCAACAAGUAGUAAUUCUUCUGGUUCAAAUUCAAUUGGCUCUAUUUCGUCAUAGAGUUCAAAUAAGUUUCGAAAACCUCAAGUGGGUGUGUGAUCAUUGAUGGGUUUUGGUCAUAAGACAUCCUAUGUGCUCAUACAAACCCUAAUGCUUGGAUCUAGGUUUCUCUAUUGUACAUGCAAGUUAUCCAAGACUAUAAACCCUAAUUCUAGCAUUCAAGUAAUCAUAUUAACAUGAGAAUAGGUUUAAGAUGUUACCUUGAUUGUUAUGUAGCAAUAACAAUCCCAAAUCUCCUUGUAUUGACUUUAGAAAGCUUAGAGUCACAAUUAUCACUCCUCUAAUGGUUCACAAACACCAUAAGCAAGAGGAUGAAGAGGAGAGAGGAUGGAGGCUGCCCAAAAACGUCUACAAACCCUAGAGGAGUCUUGGCCACGUUUUUGGGUCAUAAGGGUCUUAUAUAUAGUUAGGCAAUUAGGGUUAUCUAACAAGGAAACCCUAAUUUGGAUGCUUAAGCCCUAAGCAACCCAUGGACUCCUUUAAUUAGGGCCUUGGACGAUUUCCUGAUGGGUUUCCCAUAGAAUUCAUCCACUCCUUAACUUAAGACAAUCCAUGGCCCAAAUUGCAAUUAUCUUAUAAUUACAAUUCCAGUCCCUUAAGUUUAAUUAAUCUCUUUUAGUCACAAAACUAAUUACCAAUUAAUUAUUGAAUAAUAUUAAUUAAACAAUAUGAUUUCUCCUUUAAUAUAUUAUUCUCAUAAUAUAUUAAUAAAUCAUAUUUAAUCCUUUCUCUCCAUAAUUCAUCCUAUCAAGUUGCUUUGGUGAAGGCAACCCAAAAGGACCAUGCACCAUCGGGUCAAGUACAUACCAAAAUAGUUAUGGACUUAGACACUAAUCCAACAGUCUCCCACUUGGAUAAGUCUAAUAACUAUUAUGCGUAUGACUUCAGAUCCUGAUCUGCAAUCGUAGCUUUCCAAAGCCGCUGUCAACUCUGAUCCUAUCAGAUACGCGUGUCCUUAGAUAAGGGAUCAUAUAUUCCUCCAUUCUAGAUAUCAUAUGAGAUAUGAUUUCAAAUCAUUCUCUUUGUACUAUAUCUCGAUUCCCGAUUUAUGACGACUGACUAAUUGAACAAAUCAAAUUAGCCCUAGCCCAGCCGAGCAUUUACGUUUGUCAUCACAAAAUCAUCGAGGGGCCCAAAGAUAUCGCUUUUAUCCUACUUUGGAUAAAAGGAACGGAUAAACUUUGAUACAAUGCUUGCUUGCACUCACUCACCGAAUCACACACAACAAUAUGUUUUAUAACACCAAGUUACUAGUGCGUUUACAUAUUAUCUAUGUGCAACCGAUUUUCAAGAUACAACUCACACAUCUCGGUUUCAAGAAUAUAAGAUGUUAUCGUCUCACCAAUCACUCGUGAUACAAUUCAUGGAGUGAUCCAAGUGAGCGUGGGUUUAAUCAUGUAGAUGUUAGUUGUAAAAGUCGAAUAGUGUGUCUUGUAAUGAUUCGCAUUUUGUAAGUUUCCUAUAAAUAGGGACUUAGGCUUGAAGUAGAGAUACGAAAUCGAAACACAAAAUCUCUCUUCAGCUUACUCUGUAAUCAGUCUUAAUAAAACGAGAUCUGAUUAAUAUUUACUUCGUGUGUUCUUUAUCUUUCAUCAUUCAAAUAUAUUGUUUCAUAUAUUAAUUCUCGAUAACAAUUCUCUUCAAUUGGUAUCAGAGCAGGAUUCAAACUGCUUAGAUCUGAUUUUCGUAUAAGAAUCAUUUGCUUUUUGAGUUACAAAAUUUACUCAAAAUUUUCCGCGCAAUUUUGGUUUUGAAAAUCACUUUUGAUCUUCAGAUUUGAAUUGAUUCUGCAUUUGAAUUGUUAAGUCGAGUAAUCGAUUAGUGAUUUUUGAUCAAUUCGUUUGAUAGAAUUCUGAAAUUCGUCAAGUUCUCAAGAUUUCAGAGAUUCUUUUGUUGUUCAUUAAUGGCAAACUUCAACAUGAACACAAUGACUUCAUUCUCUCAUUUGCUUGGUUCUUCAACCAAAAUUCCGAUGUUAAUUCCAGAAUACUAUGAUCAGUGGGCUGAUAGAAUGGAAGAUUACUUAAAUGGAAUUGAUGAAGAACUUUGGAAUUGUAUCGAUGGAACAGUUCAAGCUCCUGCAAAUGUUCAACAAAUUGGUUCAUCCACUGGAUCUCCUGAUGUUGAAGAUCAACGAAAACGACUGAAGGAUAAUGAAAAGAGGUGCAUGAGGGAACUAAGAGGUGCUCUUCCUCCUGUGGUUUACAAUUACAUUCGUAGUUGUAAAACAGCAAAAGACAUCUGGAAUACUCUAAAAGAGAAGUAUCAAGGUAGCGAAAAGACGAAGAUCAAUUCUGUGAAGCAAUGUCUGAUUGAACUGAAGGAAUUCAGACAAAAGGAUGCAGAAACUCUCGAAAGUUACUAUGAUCGUCUGAAUGAGCUUGUGUUUCGCUGCAAUAGGUAUGGUAUCACUAGAUCUAUCAUGGAAUUCAAUUUAACUUUCAUUAUGGGACUUCGCAAGGAGUGGCGAAGUGUGAGCAUGAUGAUUAAGAAUCAACAAAGUUUUGAUAUAACCAAAUUGAAUGAUCUUUACAAUCAACUGAAAACACAUGAAUCUGAGGUCUCAGAAAUGUAUGAAGAAUCAAAAUUAGCUAUUGGUGGUCCUUUGGCUCUAGUUUCAAAGGUAUCAGAAAAUGAUGAAAAAGAUGGAUCAGAUGAUGAAGCUGUAGCAUUCUAUUCAAACAACAGAAUUAAAAAGUUUUUCAAAAAGCCUUUUAAUCCAAAAGGAAAGAUGAAUGAUGCGAAGAAUGUUACCACAAGGACUGGAGGGGAUGAGAGAAAGAAGAUGGAGAAAAUUGAGGAAAAACCGAAAAAAGUGAAUGAAGAGAAAAAGUUGAAAGGUGAUUCAGGAAUCUAUUGUCAUUAUUGCAAUGGUGCGAAUCAUUUCGCAGCUGAAUGCAUGUUGCAAAAGAGAGAAGAGAAGCAAGAAAAAGUCAAAGAUGAAGCAUACUACUCAGAGAAGAUUGAAGNNNNNNNNNNNNNNNNNNNNNNNNNNNNNNNNNNNNNNNNNNNNNNNNNNNNNNNNNNNNNNNNNNNNNNNNNNNNNNNNNNNNNNNNNNNNNNNNNNNNAAUCUUAUAUGUCAAGGAGUCGGUGGGAGUCUUAAUGGUCUUGAAGGUUUUCAAGAACAAAUCAAAAUAGACCUUAUUGAUCAUCACUAGCACACAAGUUGAGGUUUACAACCUAUCGUGUUGACAUUAUUUUCUUUCUAUGCCGUUCCAAUAGAGUUAAUUAUGCAUGUGAGUCCUAUAAGUUAUCAUUUGAAUGCAUAAAAGGCAAGGACCUUGAUCAAUGGAAAGUACAUUGAUAAGAAAAGGUGAGCUGCUUAACUACUUGGAAGAAAUGGUGGGCAGCUGUGCUACCAUAAGGCAAGAAAUCGAGAUUAAGAAAGUUCGAUCCAUAUGAGUUUGAAUUUGUUGUAAACCUUGGUUUUGACAAAUUCACAUGGAUAGGAACAAAUACACCGUUUAAAUCUAAGUAUCAUAAGAUUUCCUCCUUCAUGAAAAUGAUUGUGAGGAAAUACUUUCACUAAGAAAGAUUUUAAGAAGAUACUGAUUGUAAAAUUGCAUUCUCGAAUUCAAAUAUGGUUACGAUAUCCCUUUCCAUAAUUUGAAUUGUGAGGUUUGGCAAUUGUUUAGACACACAUAUGAACUAUCUAAGGCAAAGGUGUAUAAGUUUAAGAGGCCUUGAUAAAAGAUUAUCAAAUCAUUAAGUAUUAGAAACAUGGACUUAAGAAAUUCAAUAGGUAUUGUUCUUCUGGAAGUUAGCUGUUUCUGAAUACAUGUCGAAGCUAGUGGGAGCAUAAGUGUUAUGUUUAUAAUAAUCAUCAUGAUAGUGGGAACAUAAAAGUUAUGAUUGUAUGAUUAUUAAGGCACAUAUUGCAAGUUGGCAAUAUUAAUUAUAGAAAAUAAGAGUUAUACCUUGCAAAGUCGUAAGGGUUGUAAACACUACUAGAAAAAGGCCUUUUACGAUGCUCAUUGCGCGUCGUAAAACACUCAGACGACGCGCAAAUGCGCAUCAAGGAAGGCCCUGUCAUAAAGAGAGACGACGCACUUUUGUGCUUCGUCUAUAGACGACGUGCAUUUAUGACACGCAAUUACGACGCGCAGUUAUGACGCGCAAUGCGUAUCAAGGAAGGCCCUGUCAUAAAGGAAGACGACAUGCAAAUGCGUAUCGUAACCAUACGACGCAUGUGUUUUAUGACACGCAAUGCGUAUCAAGGAAGCCCCUGUCAUAAAUGAAGAUGACACGCAUUUGCGUGUCGUAAACUUCAGUAACCAUUUUCAUAUGCAUUUACGACGCGUCUUUACAAUACUCAUUUACGCAUAAUACAAAAAUAUGUAAACAAAUAUAUACCGAAACAAUCAAUUUCAUCCAAUAACAUCAUGUCAAACAAGUUAUCAAAAAAAUUUAAUACAUUGAUAUUAAGGGGAUCUAAUUGUACAUUGUUAUUAAAGGGUUUUCCCUAACUAUAUAACAUGAUACUACAUCCCUAACUAUAUAACUGGAUCCUUCGUGUCAUUGGAUUGCCACCUGGAACUUUAGAAGUACCUUAUAAGCAAGUGGGCUUUGGAAUAAAUACACCACACUCGUUGAACCCAUGCUCCGAUAAUUCUUGUGACCUGAUCAAAUAAAAGUUAAAAAAUUAAUAUGAUAAUAUAAGUAUUAGAAGAAUCAAACAUGAAUGUUAGUGGUAAAAGACAAAAUUACCCUUUUCUCCAUCCAAAGAAUGUGGGAUUUGGAAUACAUACACUACAAUAUGAUUUACCUGAUAUCAACAAUGACAAUCACGGAUGUUGGACAACUUAUACGACACAUCUAAUGAUUUAAGCGUAAUCCACCAAAAGCUUUUAUCUCAAACUAGUAGAGGCAAUCAUAAGACAUUAUCUCUUUUAUUUUAAGCGGUAAUUCAAACAAAUAAGUUACAAGAUGGAGAUAAUUAUUUACAGUUAUUGGUGAUUCAAAUCAAAUAGGUGCACAAAAGAGAAGAUCAGCAAGUACCACUAGAUUGGCCGAGUGAAAAGGCUGAUAGCAAACAUUAGCCCUUAACUACCACUUCUGAAGAGAAAAUGACAACAUGUUCCCAAUUGAAUUCUCCUCACCAAUGGAUCCAAUCACUUCAACUACAAGACUUUCAUUCGGCCUGUAGUUGCAUCCAACUGCAUUCAAUUAAUAGAUUUAAUUUAAUUUAACCAAAUUAAUUAGCAUAUAAAAAUUUGUAACCUUAAUUAUAUGAAACAUAACAUGUGGGCCCUAUUAAUUCCUUUUUUAAUCAUUCUUUUUAUUUUAACACUUGUUUUCAUUUAAUAAAUAGAAUAGGAAGAUUAGUAUGAAAACAUAAAAUAGAAGGAUAUACUCAAAGCCAAAACAGUUGCACGCCUAACAUGCUGCCCAUGUUUAUCAAAAUUUAACAGAUCAUACUAAUAACUCAUACAUAUAGAAUUAUAAGGGAAAAAAGAGUAGGGUUUUCUCCAUUCCGUUGAUGAAGAAUUCCAUUCUUCGCCUGAUUCCAGCAUAUAUAGAGAUACUUACCCGAUCUUGAUCCUUGAUAAGCAUAAGAAAGGAGGAAAUUUCCGGGUACAGGACUGCAUCGAUCUUCUCUGGUCUUUCAACUAUUGAAUACUUCGCAGCAACAACAACUGUUGCCCUGGUGAAUGCAGCAGGACUAGUUGUUCGCUCCACUAAAACAGUUGCAGCAGGGCAUGAACAAGUUUUGAAGGCUUGAUCACCUGAAAAGAUUAAAAUGAUCUUGGUUGAAGUCCCAGAUUAGAUAAAUACAACAACAACAAUGCGUACAUAUAGAUGGAUAUUAAUAUGACUCUGUUGAAUUUGAUCAAAAAAAGAAGGCGGAUGGAUGUAUCUCAAUGUCGGAUUUUAGAUUUUUCAGGCCUAUUUCGGGGAAUAGCCAGGAUGGCUACAAGUGUACUAGAAAAGGUUGUAACUGCUGCGAUAGCAAAGGCUGGAGAAUUCCCCCCUCCAAACAACUGGUCCCAUGGUCCACUUCAAGGAGACACCAGCAUCUAUUAUCAAUCAAACAACAUAAACCUCAUCUUUUAUUACCAAACCAACCCUAAAUAAAUAACUAACACAACUGUUGACAUCUCUCCUCUUCUCUUGGCUAAUAUGAAACAAGCCUUUAAUUUGGUGUCCCAAUCAAUAAAAAAUAUUUUAGGAAUUUCAUCCUUUCUUUUCUUCAAUGUCUGUUUCUUUGGUAACUAUAAAUGAAUGGAAUGGAUCUAUCAUUUCUAUUCUAUUCCAUUCUCAUCUUAACUUCACUUGCUUCAAGGAGUGUAAUAACAUUAUCUAUAAGUACAAAACUAAAUAAAAUGAAUUCUUGCCAAAUAUACAAAAUUUCUAAUUUUUUAGUAUAAACUUUAAUNGUGCUUUAAAUUAUUACAGAAAUAAAAGUAAUGCUUGAUUCCAUUCCAUUCCUUUCUGACAAACAAUCUUAAUUUUUUCACUGAGCCAUAAUACUUCAUUCUAUUCCCUCAAUUACAACAUACCAAACACUACCUUAGAGUAUGGAAAGAUGUUAGUCAAAUAUUUGGAGGGUGGUGGGGAGACUAGUCUAUGUCAUUGUAAUAAAGUCAUGCUGUGGAAAAAAAAUUCUCUUUGUUGGCUUAUUUAGAUCUGUGGUCAUUUUGUGUUGCUUUCUAGUGGAGGAGUUACUGAAAAUCUUUGAGAUCACGUGCCCAACAGCAUUGUAGCUGCCAAUCCAGUUGAACCCUUGUGCACAUGUCACAAAAUUAAUAAAAACUAUAUAUGUUACUAUUUGAUUGAUGGUUUUAAUUUUUAAUGUGAAAGUAAGGUGUAAGAUUAGGGUGAUGUGUACUUACAAAGCUAUAAGGAAAAAUACAAAGAAACGUGUGCUUUGGAACAAUGCAGACCAUGGGAUUGACUUCCCUUUGUAAUGGUAAAAUAGAGAUAACCCUCCAGCCAAAGUUAAGGCAACAGGAAAACCAAAGGACAAAUACCCCAAGGAAACUUUGGGGUCCGCUGGAUACUUGCAGAUAACUAUGGCUUUUCCUGUUUUGUAGUAAUUGUCAUUGCACCUUAAAGACGUAGAUUCCCUGCAAUUAAAAUUGAAUGAAGAGUUUAAACAAAGGGAAAAACCAAGAAAUCAAAAGCUUAUUUCAAAAAAGGCUGAAACUUAAGGAUGUUGUUAUUGUUGAUCAAUUACUUGUAUUUCAUAUUUCUAUUUUGGAAAAAGAACCAGAAAAAAGACACCCGUGUUUAUUAAAAAAAAACACCUAAAUUUAGUCUCUAAACGCGCUGCAAUUCCUACACCUCAAACAACCUAACAACAAGAGAAGAAGAAAGAAAGAAUACACCCAUCUGUGUAAAAAGACGUAAACACCCUCCUCAUCCUCAUCAUAAAAAAAUAGCCUAACAACAAUAGAAGAAGAAAGAAAGAGAAUACAAGUAACUAACAAGCACAUUGGGCCUAUGUUAAGGAGCCUUUAUCAUUUUUAUCAACAGAUUGAUUAGCUAAUCUUUCCAUUUCUGCCCUUUGAAAAGCUGGAGGCUCUGAACCAUAAAGUCCACCACAAAACUCCAAAUAACAAUAUUUACAAAGCACAAAACCUGAUUGAACUGCAUUGCUUUUCUAUUGACAAACAACUUCUGUUAAUCCAGGCAUCUUUAACUCCUUUGAACUCUGUUUGCAUGAUUGCAUUUCCUUCUCAUACUCCUUUGUUUUACUAGUAAACUCAUCAAUCUUUUAAAAAAAUCACAUCAAACUCAAAUUUACAAGAUGAACAAAUUAUGAAUAUACACAUGAAAACUCACAGAUAAACUCUAGCUUCUGUAUUUUCAAACUCAAUCAAUUUCUUUUGCAAUGUUGCUUCACAUAUAUGUACAGUUUUAACUUGAAAAUAAUACAAGUAUAUAAAGAAAUGAGUUAGAAACUUUUCAUUCAUAGUAUUAUAUUGACAAAAAAAGGUAAUUAAAUGCAUUGAUUUAGAUAUAAGUCAUACGUACAACAUCCCCUCUUGAAAAAUUAUGUCCAUGUAACACAGAAGAAACAUAUAUUGCUGUUGCACAUAUCCCACUAGGUUUUCUACAUGUCUGUAUAAUAUAUAUAAAAUAUAAAAAAUAAUUUGAUGUAAAAAAUAUAAAAAUAAUAAUAGUAUUCAUAAAGAGGGAGAACUAUGUGCACCUCGUGCACCGCUGAUAGUUGGUGGAUGUCUGAGACUCCAACUGAUAAAGAUACAAUCCAGCAAAAGCAAGAUGUGAGGGCUUCCAUGAAGCAAUUGAAUAGCCAAUCCCCUGAACCAAAUAAAAAUUUUAUUUAAGAAAUGAAGAAAAAGGGAUUUAACAAGAAUCGGAAGUUUGUUCCUUCAAUCAUAAAUCAAAUGGAGAAAAAAUAAGCCGGGAAGAAAACGGGAUUUAGAAAGAGGGGGAGCAAUGUACUCAAUCCCUUCUCCCUUGAUAUCUAGGACCCUUUCCAGGGCCUUUCCAGUGCUCUCUGCAACCUUCCCGAACCAUCACACGAAACAGAAGCAAUUGCCAACGCCAGAAUCGACAGGAAGGAGACGCCGGAGGCGCACAUUUUCAGGGCGGACUUGCCUGGGUUGAAGAAAGAGGAGGUAAAGGUGGAGGUUAAAGAAGGAAGGUUGUUGCAGAUAAGCGAAGAGAGGAGCAAGGAGCCUGAGGAGAAGAACGACAAGUGGCAUUGGGUUGAGAGGAGCUCUGGAAAGUUCUAAGGUCGUCGGACCUGAUGUUGCCGGCAUGGGGAGGCGAGGUGAGAUCUUUAUUCGUGAUCAAGGAUAGGUUGCAUAUGUUGAAUAGAGUUAUCAGUUGUUGGACGUGUAUAGCAGAGAUGGUAUCGUGAUUAGGGUUUGCAGAGAGAAGGAAGAAGAGAAUGAAGGGGAUCUUGAAGCGGGGCAUUAAAAAAUUUAAGAAUUUUGAGUGGAUUUCAUUUCCCCCUUUAAAGAACGCGCGUUUUGAGUAAAACAUAAAGCGACAUUCACAAAGGACGCGCAUUUUAGAUAAAGUGCCCUCCGUGUUUUUAUUUUUUUUACAUGAGACACUAAUUUAAGGUCACGCAAUAAUGCGUGACAUAAAUCCUUAAAUUUUUUGAAGAGACGACUCUUUUUGAUGUCACUCUCUUUUGCGGAACAUAAAUCAAUGAGUGUCGUGGUUUGCGCGUCGUAAAAGGCCUUUUUUCUAGUAGUGAAAGUUGUUUUGCUAUAAUUAAGGGAGAGAAUAUUAUGCUUCAUUUCAAAUAUAAAGGAUUAGGUUGAGAAAUGUUAAUAAGUUUAGUCAAGGGUAUAUAGUGUGUUCUUAAAAUUUCGAUUAUGAUUACGGCAUUCCUCUUCACAAUUCGAAUUUUGAGAACAUAGCAAAUAAAACAUUAUGCAUCGUGCCCCAUACGCUUCGGGUAUAGGAUCGAUUGAAAAUGCUUUAAUGUUUGACCAUUCUAAAAUUUUCCAAAUGUCGAGCGCAUUUAGAGGGAAAAGGGACUAGAAUUGGUUUUGACUAAAAUAAUUAAACAACUAUCAAAGGACAAUCCAAAGUUUGACGAGGAUUGGUCGCUUGUGAGUAGUUGGAAGCAUGGUAUUGGAUGGACCAUAUCGACAUUAUUAUGAAUAGAAAAGAUUCUAUUAAGAAUGAGUUGUCAUAUGGAAAUUAUGGAAAUGUUUCCAUAUUGGAUGGACCAUAUCGACAUCAUUACGAAUAGAUAAGAUUCUAUUAAGAAUGAGUUGUCAUAUGGAAAAUAUGGAAACGUGUCCAUAUUGGGAAUUGAAUAUUGAAAAUCUAUGUCUAGAUUAGAAACUUUUAUGCAAAAGGAUGUUCAAAGGAAUGUACUUUGAGUGAGAGACAUCAUAUCUAAGGAAUUGUCUUGUAACAAUGUCCAAUAGAGGACUUUGUAAUAUCAUUGGCAAUAGUCUUUGUGACUUUGGUGCAGUGACAUUACGAAAGGAUCAUUGCAUAGAAUGUUAGAAUCUAGCAUAUUUUAUAAGUAACAAGAAUUUGAUAUUCUCACACUUAUGAAAAAGGAUUUGGAGUUGUGAAAUGAGAAUGAUUGGAAAUGUGUUCAAUUUGAUCUAUUUCACAAAAGUAAGAACCAUAGGUAAACAUUGUGUGCAUGCUAAGAGCAUGGGACAAGUGUAAUAAUUCAAGUAAGAAGUUGAUUACCCGAAACGACAAAUAAUGAGUAAUCGAUAUGGUGAUAAAUAAAAGGAGUUUUAUUUAUACUCAAAGGUUUGAGGCAAAAUGGGAUUAGUAUUAUUCUUGUGUUUCACAUUUGCAUGUUUUGACUUCCAGAAUAAUUGAGUUUAUUAAGAAUAAUCGAAUUAUUCGAACGGGCCACAGUCGUUCAUAUGUUGGAAGUAGAUAUGAAUGAAGACUGUCGUGAAUUGGUGUGUGGAUUGUCUAAAAGAGUAUUAGACAUAAGCAAAUGUUUGCUGCAACGUUCAUGAGUGCUUAUUAAUAUGAUUUGAGCAUUGGAUUUGAAGAGAAUUGUUAUCGAGAAUUAAUAUAUGAAACAAUAGAUUUGAAUGAUGAAAGAUAAAGAACACACGAAGUAAAUAUUAAUCAGAUCUCGUUUUAUUAAGACUGAUUACAGAGUAAGCUGAAGAGAGAUUUUGUGUUUUGAUUUCGUAUCUCUACUUCAAGCCUAAGUCCCUAUUUAUAGGAAACUUACAAAAAGUAUACUAAGUCUAUACAAUGAAACUUCGCAUGCUACACUUCGCAUAUAAAAUUGACUUAGUAAAAUAACAUACAAAAUGCGAAUCAUUACAAGACACACUAUUCGACUUUUACAACUAACACCUACAUUCUCCCCCUUUGUAAACAGUCGAUACAAUUCAACUUAAGAGCUUUUGAAUUGUAGAGUGAAUCGUUCUUCGCACUGCUCCAAACCAGGAGAUCACCUUCUUCAAGUCCUUCUUGUCACCUUCGUUAUUUUUCUUGCAAUUAUUCAUACGUACAAUGAAGUGCGUAUAUUGCGAAGAAUUGUAUCUUUCAAUCUCUGAAGCUUUGAACAAGAACUUCUUCGGUUUGCCUUUAGUGUCACUUCCCGAAAACACCAUGCCAAAUGGUUUAAGGCAUAUCUCCCCUACAACAUACUUCGACAAAGCUGAUUGUGUCAAAGUAUCUUCCCAUGGAACUUUCACCUCUCUUCCAAGCACAUUCGCUAACUCCUCAUCAGUAAGUGCAAGACAAUCGAAGUAGUUGUCGAUAUAAGUCUUCACAUGUGCGAAUCCGACUUUAAAAACAUCUGUUUCUGAUCCUUUAAGUUUGUUCUCUUCCAUGUGCUUCAGAAUAAGAGCAACUUGAAUGAGAUCGUUGCAGUUCAUCAAUGGAAAGUCAGCAACAGUAAAGUCGUAUUGUUUGUUGUCUGCCCUGAUGACAAAAUAUCGAAAAUUUUGAAGCAUGUCUUCAAACAAAACAUCCUUCUUUAUCGUGAGCACCUUUUUGAUCUUCAUCAGGGACCAGACUUCAUUAGGAUUCUUCCCAAGAACAGCAUGAAAUCUGAUUUUCAUGUGAGUGUAGUCAUCCGGAUUAUCGAAUUUCUGACUGAUCUUUUAUUGAGCUGUGAUGAACAGCAUUUCAUUGAUAGGGAAGUCCAGCUGACAGUGAUCUGAGUUCGCAAUGUCAUAACUUCUUUUGGGCUUCUUCUCGAACUCAUACAUCUCCCUUCCUACAACUUUAGACUCUAUCGUUUCGUAAGAGUAAAGUUUUGUAGGAUCACCUUUGUUCAUUGAUGGAGGAUCACUUGCUCGUUGUCUCAUUAUGCUUUGGACUUGUCUCAUUCUUUCAAGUUCAGCCUCAGCAUCAUCUUUUAUCUCCUCUUUCGACUUUUCAUACAAGAUGCCCUUUCCUUUUCCUGUUACAUCUUUCUGAGGUUGAGAACUCGAACCUCCUUCGUUUCCUCCAAUAACAAUUCCCUUGGAAAUUGUUUUUGUGGUUAUUGUUGUUGAAGAAAUCGGUUUAGUAGGAAUUGGAAGAGUUGCCACCAGUUGAGUCGAGAUGACUUUUCCCACUAUUUUGGCUUCACCUUCUUUGCUUCGACUUUUCUCUCCCCCUUGCGCCCCUGUGAAAACAGGUGGAGCACCCUUCGGAAGUAAAGAAGUGAAAUUGGAUAGCGGAGCAAGAGCCUUUUGAAUAGCUUGUUCUAAAGUGUUAAUCUUUAAAGACAAGAAUUCUGGAGUAAGGAUUUGCGAAGACGUUGAGUGCGAAACUGCUGAUUUGAGCUCCGUGACCAAUUUGAUCAGGUGAUCAAACUUCUCCAAGGUAGCAGCUUUGUGAUCAUCAGCAACAGGAAUGUUGUUGAGUUUGUGGAGUUGAGACGAAAUUUCCACAACCUGCUUGUGAAGAUCUUCUUGUCUGGUAUGCACUGCUUGAAGAUCCUUCGCAAGGUCAGACUUCAACUCCUGAAUUUUGAAGUUGACGUCCUCACGAACUUUCUUGACGUCUUGGAUAAAAAGAAGAUGUCUUUCUUUUGUAGCAGCUUUAAGAUCUUUAACUGCAGUCGUGAAAUUAUUCCCUUGUGCUUGCACUCGGAGUUCAUUAUUUUUGUCGGACUGAUCGACUUUCUCCAUUAUCCUUUUCUCAGCUCCUUUGAUCAUCACAUCCACCUCCAUUGCUGAGAUUGAAGACAUUCUCCCAGAAUCGGCUUGCGAUUGGAUAAUAGCCUUCAAUUUUUGAUUCAGUAUUUUGAACUGCUUUCCUGUCAUCAGCAUAUGAUCAGGAAUGUCUUCUUCAUCGGAAUCAAAAGUAAUGUCAUCCAGAACUCCUCCAAAAGCACCUCCUUCGAUUUCUGGAUCCGACAUUUGUUGCGAAGGUGGAGGAUUCUCAGGUGAUUGGAAUGGAAAAAGGGUGGUGAAUGGGUUCUGAAGAGCAUGAUCGAAUAUAGAUGAAGUGGUGAUAGGUAAGGAUAUUGGUAGUGUGGAUGCGACACUCGGGAUAGGUGCCCCCGUAUUAGAUACGUUGACAACCAUAUCCGAAAUAGGUACCUCCUCAGUAACUGACUUGGUAAGAACUAUUUCGAGUGGUUGGGUUUGAGAAAUAUUGGUGGAAAUAUGCGAAGGUUGAGAGAUUGGUAAAGAAACGGUUACCAUGGUUGUGACGGGUGGUGUUUCUGGGACAAUUUCUUCGUCGGAUGAUUCAUUGCGAAUCACCAUCUUCCUCUUCUUGCCCAGUGUUCGUUGCAUGUUUUUCGCAACGUCUUCUGCCCUUUGUCGUUUCUUUCCAGGAGAUAUUGGUGCAGGAAUGCUGCGAAUAGUAACUCCCUUACUACUCACCUCUGCCUUGCGAAUCUGUUUUAACACUCCAGACUUGGAAGGUAAAACAUCUUUCUUCACUACUUCAUCUUGAACAGUUGGUGAAGAUGAACCCUUCGCAGGUUUCUUGCUCCCCUUCUUCUUCUUCGACGGAGUAGCAACUUCAGGUAAUACACCUGACUGAUCAGCGGUAUCAAUGUUUCGCAAAUAUCUCACCAACACUUUGUGAGUGGGAGAUACUUUGCGAAGCAUCGCAUCCGGAAUGCGAGCUACCCGGGUAAAAAUGGCUUCGUCAUCUUCUACCACUUUGGGAAAUUGGUAAAGCGAAAACUCAGCAACUUCGACAUCUGAUACGAUCGGAAUUGCUUCUUUCUCGUAUACUUUCUCCAGGAUCAGACUCCAGUACCUGGCACAAGAUAUCCCCUUCUCCGAGUUUAUAUUUUCUAGACUUUUCACAAACUCCUUCCACAGUUGCGUUGCAUNNNNNNNNNNNNNNNNNNNNNNNNNNNNNNNNNNNNNNNNNNNNNNNNNNNNNNNNNNNNNNNNNNNNNNNNNNNNNNNNNNNNNNNNNNNNNNNNNNNNAUGUGCACAUAGGAAUGUUCAUAUGGCUAAAACCCAUCAAGAACAUCUUUAUCACAACUAGAAAUUUUUGUGCCUUAUAACUACAACACUUAAGCCAAAUUAUGAAUCAAAGACAUAAGAGCAUGUAUGAUGCAUACUCUAUGACAACAAAAUUUCAAUCAAACACCCCAUGCAAACAAUUCAAGUAGUCAAUAAACUAUUAGAAACCCUAGAAGUUCUUGUUUAAGUCCAUUUUGGACUAGGACUUCCUCAUGGGGCCCAAUGGACCAAUAAGCUUCCAAUUUGACUAUCUUGGGCUUAAAACUCUUAAAUGGGCUCUAAUUGGACCCACUUUCAUUUAUUUUAACAUUUUGGGCCAUAUUGGGUCUAGAAUGAAAUAAAAUACAUAAAUGGGCCUUAUUGGGCCAUAACUAGCCUAAGUUAGCCCUAAUAGGUCAUAAAAAUUAUAUUUUUUUUAUUUGGGCCAAAAAUCACUUAACUUAACUACAAAAUGGGCUUAAGCAUUCAAGGCCCAAAUAUUCUUUCUUCCCUCUCCAUUUUCGGCCGAAGCCCAACCCAAGAAGAGGAGUUGACUUUUGGAUGCCACCUCACAAUUAUUCAAGGGAUUUCCAUGCAAGAUGACUCAUACUUCCAUGCACCAUCCAAUCACUCACUCUCUUCUCCCCUCUCUUUCUUUCUCUUGGCCGAAACAACACCCACAAACACACUUCACACAAAAAUCUCUCAAAUAAACUCUCUCCAUUCCUCUCCAAAACUUUCGAGAUCUAAGGAGCUUUCAAGAAGAUAUUUCCAC